rnacentral:lncRNA from 1 species
UAGGAGUAUGGUCAAAGCCGUCGUCACUUAGUAGUGGUGAGGAGGAGGAGGUGAAGAGUAGAGAUAAUGGGGUGGUGGUGGAGGAGGAGACUUGUAAACGGGAGGAGGUGGUGGUGGAGACUUGUACUUGUAAGGGUACUUGGGUGGUGAUGGCGGUGGAGGUGGUGGAGACUUGUACUUGUAAGGGUGCUUGGGUGGGGAUGGAGGUGGUGGUGGGGGAGACUUGUACUUGUAAGGAUGCUUUGGAGGUGAUGGUGGUGGUGGUGGUGGAGACUUGUACUUAUAAGGAUGCUUUGGUGGUGAUGGUGGUGGAGGUGGUGGGGACUUGUACUUGUAAGGGUGCUUGGGUGGUGAUGGUGGUGGAGGUGGUGGAGACUUGUACUUGUAAGGGUGCUUGGGUGGUGAUGGUGGUGGAGGUGGUGGAGACUUAUACUUGUAAACUGGAGAUGGUGGGGGUGGAGACUUGUACUUGUAAGGGUGCUUGGGUGGUGAUGGUGGUGGUGGUGGGGACUUGUACUUGUAAGGAUGCUUGGGUGGUGAUGGUGGUGGAGGUGGAGGAGACUUGUACUUGUAAGGAUGCUUGGGUGGUGAUGGUGGAGGAGGUGGUGGAGACUUAUAGUUGUAAACAGGAGUUGGUGGGGGAGGAGAUUUGUACUUGUAAGGCUUCUUGUGUGGUGGUGGUGGUGGAGAGUAGACCGGAGGAGGCGGUGGUGGAGACUUGUAAUGGUAAGGUGGUGGUGGGUACUUCUUAGGUGGUGGUGGAGGAGAAGAAUAAGUGUAAUCUGCUGAGGUUUCAAAAGGCAAAUUGAGAGACACUGCUAAAACUAAAAGAGUGAGAAAGAGAGAGGUCAUUGAUGACCCCAUUUUCCCCAUCCUUACUUCUAAAAAUGGGUUUAAUUUGGUUAUGCUCUUAGCAGCCCUCUUCACUCCCUUUAUAUAGACUUUGUUUUAAAGUUACAAUCAUGAUAAAAGUGUGAAGGUGGACCGAACCUUCAGCAGCAUUGAAAAAAGACGUUACGUUUAGGUUAUUAGCAUGGUAUGACAUAAUAAUUCUCUAUUCUCUUCCUUGUCGUUUCCCAUAAAUUUAAUUUAAAUAGUCCAUUUGCUAUAUUUAUAUUUCUGUUUCUCUAUUAAAUAUUUAUCAAAUUCAUUUCUCACUCCUUAUAGAAUAUGAAUAAUUAAUCAUUAAACUCGAUUUAGUAAAUACUUUAAAAAAUGAUUUAUCUUAUUUUUAUGCUUUAAUUAAGGCAUCAAAUCAUUAAUCCCAUUUGAUAUUAUGAAAAUUUAUCACUUAAUUGAUCAAAAUGUGAUUCUUGGCAGGAAAACAUAAUUUACUUUCCUUAAAAUGUAAUUUUUAUUGAGAGUUAUUUUUCCACUAACAAUAGAAAGUGAUUCUCUUUAUAAUUCGUGAAAAAAUUACUUUCACAUGUAAAUAAAAAUUGUUAGGAUAAAAUUAACUUUUCUUUUAUUUAUGUUAAGGUUACUAAUUAACUUAUUCAACUUUAAUAAAAGAUAAACAUAGUUGUAGCUUGUUUGUUGAUGUUAGUUUUUUGUCUUUACAACUUCAAACCAUUAUUCUAGUGUAAUUUUUUUUUCUUUCUAAAUAGUAGAUAAGUAUCUAUAUUUUAUUUUGCUAUAAGAAAAUUAUAUUUUUUAGCAUACAAAACUUAAGAUAACUUGUAGAAUCAAGUAGUUGUAUACCUAUUACUCUAGCAAUAAUAAUAUUGACAUUGUCUACUUUCAAAUUAAAAUUUCAAAUUAGUUCAUUGCCCAAUUUUCUCAUUAAAAAAAAUUAUAUAUAACAUGUCAACUUAACGAAACUUACAUGAAAUUUUGUAUGUGUUAAAAAUGAAAAAUAUGGCGGUUAUUAAAAAAGAUGUCAUACAUCUAAAUCAAACUACUAAUUUAAAAAUUAGUAUUGAGAUAAUUUCAAGCCAUAUAUGCAAUAUUUGAGUAUACUUGAACUUAUACAUACAAAUUAGUGAGGAUUAAAAUUUUGUAAAUUGUACAUCUUCACAAUCUUGCGUUAAUAUACAAUUUUUUUAAUGUAUUAAUAUAAUGUUUUAGAUCAAGACGUGAAAAAACAUAAUUCAAAUAUUUGUUAAUAGUAAAAAAUUAUUAAUAAAUAUUUAAUUCAAAAUUUAUUAAUAAUAAAAAUUAUUGAAAAAUAUUAAAUACGUUAAUAUUAUUUUUAUUUAAUAAUGAUACUUUUGUACAGUAAUCUUAUAUUCCCAAAUAAGUGUUAAAUGUGUCAAGAUUUUAAUCAAUACUUUCCGGUGAUUACCAAACGUUGUGAAGUAACUUCUUAAACAAUAAUAUUCUUAUCAAUCACAUUCCAUUAAAAUUUUAACAUAGAAAAGCACCAAAACGCCCCCUUAAAAUCGUGGUAAGUCUUGUUUGUCUAAAAUUUAAAUAUUUAUUUUAUUAUUUAAAAUAUAUUAAUUUUCUAAAAAAAAUCAUUAAUAUUUAUAUUUCUAAUUUUAAACAUUCUUUUGUUAAUUAAAUGAUAGUCUAAACGGUUAAACUCAAAUCGAAAGCAUUUUAUCUUAUAUUAGAUUAUAUGAAUCAUAUUAUGGUUGAAAGUAAAAUGUAUAAAAUCAAUACAAACAUCAAAUAUUAAACUUCCACUCAAUAGAUUUUAAAAUUUCUAAUUUUAUCACUAAUCUAUUUUAAGAUUUUUUUAAAAAAAAUCGUACUUUAGAUUAUCUAAUUUAAAAUUUUAUAAAAUUAUUAAAAAAUAUUCUUGUAAUAAAAAAAAUUUGUUUUAAAAUUUUUAAUUUUUUAUAUAACCAAUGAAUUUUUUACGUUUGUUUUAACUGGUUAUCUAAACAAAAUAAAAACUUAUUUAGUUUAAAUAAAGUGGUAAAUGUGAAAGCACCACAAAUCACAACUACAUUAGUUUUAUAAUUGGAUUAAUUUAAUCACCGGCAGAGGAAAUGUGUUAGUUCUAGCUACCAACAAUUCAUUUUAAUUCCUUUAAAAAUAUUAGAAAAAACCAAUUUGAUUUUUAAUAAUAGAUCUAAUUACUUAAAGGAACAUGGGUGAUGUGCACAUGGCAUACAAGCAUAAAAAAGAACAAAAAGAUUAAGUAUCUUUGCAAAAUAUCUCUCUCUGAAAUAAAUAAAACUUAAAAAAAAACAAUUUUAUUAUCAAAAUAAAAAGAAAAUAGUGUUUUUCUUCACAAAAAAAGAAAAGAAAAGAAAUACUAGUGUUUUUAAUUAAAAUAGAGUGAUCUGGGUAGAAUCUUUUACUUAAAUACUGACAUUGACUUUAUAAGCUAUUUUUUAUCAAAAGAAGAAAGAGAAAAGCAUCCGAUUGAAGAUGUGAAUUAUUAAGUUAAAAUUAAUCAUACAUGUAAAAUAUUAUUGUGCUUUUUUCUAGCCCUCCGAAAGACAUUAUGCUUUGAUUACAACAUUCUUCCUCAGAGAUGAGGUUUGAAGAUGAACUCGGAUGCAUUUAGAUUUUUACAAGACGAAAGUAAAUUAAAGGAUGUUAGUACUUGUAUUCCGAUACGCUUAUAAUACAGAAAGCAAGUAAUAUGUGACUGUACAUAAUGGCUAUGAGGCGAGGAUAUGAUACGAGAAGAUAGAGAUGAGAGAUUGCACUUAAGGGGUUAGCACCUCUUUUCUUUUUGUGUUUGGUCCCCAAAGCAUAUCUCUUAUUGGCUGAUGUUGCAAGGCGGUCCCAUAAGUUGGGCUAAAAGUGCUUGAUAGCUAGAAUUAAUAUUGUGGUAUAACAUAUGUCACCCCUAUAUUUGAAUAAGGUUACAAAGUGACUACUUGAAGAUUUAAAAAAGCAUGGAGAUAAUUUUGUUGCGAAAAUUAAAAGUAAGAGCUAAAUUGUUUGGCUUUAUUAGAGUAUAGACUCUGUUAGUCUAUUAUCAUUUUGUUAUAUAGGCUGGAAUAUUAUUAGUAAGCAGUUAGCAGCAGUUAGUCAUACAAGUAUAAAUUCUAUUCAUGUAUUGUUCAAAGAUAAGCUAAUAAUACCAGAAGAGAUUUAACAUGUUCAUUCUACUUUUUUUUGUUAUUCUUCAUAAUACAGUUGUUAACAUGGUCUCAGUCGCCAAAUUUCUUGGAGGUUGCUUCUAUUGUAGAUCCAUGGCCAAUUCCACUGAUUCUACCUUCGCUGGUCGUAGCAGUCCCUCAUUCUCAGUUCAUGUUUGGUUCAAUCGUUUCCUCGUCAUGGCACUGUGAAGUUAGAUGAAGGAAAUUUUGUACAAUGGCAACAGCAUAUCCAAUUGAUAAUUGAAGGAUAUGAACUCAUAAGAUUUUUAGAAGGGACGUUACCUGCUCCGCCUCGCUUUGUGUCAUCUCCGGAUGGAAACUUAGCUCUGACUCCCGAUGCAUCCCUGUUUGUUCAGCAAGAUAAGUUACUCGCUUAUUGGUUACUUUUUACGAUUAGUGCUCCUUUGUUUUCUUGUUUUACAACUGCUAAGACGGCGUGUGAGGUUUGGAGCACUGCGAAUUGCCUAUUUGCUGCUGCCACUAGAGCCAAGCUUUCGCGUAUUAAGCAUGAACUCCAGUCCAUCACGAAAGGCGUGAUGACUAUCAAAGAGUAUAUUGCUAAGAUUCAAAAUACUUGUGCGUUACUCGAGGAAUCUAGAUCAGUGGUUUUAAAGGCUGAAAAGGUAGAGAUCAUUCUUGCCGGCCUAUUGUCUGAUUAUGAUGUCGUUUUAACUCUGGCAUCGUUCUCAACUGAAACUUUUUCGUUAUAAAAGAUUGUUGAUAUGCUUCUGGAGUUCGAAAGCCAUCAGACUCAAGCGGUGAACGACGUACCUUUUCAUGCUCAUUUGGUAGAGGCCACUUCGGCGACAUCCGUGGAGGACUCCGUACGUGGUGGUCGUCCUCCUUCUGGUGCUCGUAGGCGCGACUUUCGAUCUCAGCUUCAGUGCCAGGACUAUGGUUGCUAUGGACAUUUGGUACAAUGCUGUUAUUAUCAGUUCAACCGCGACUACAGUGAUCUGUCUGUUUUGACCAUGGCGCGGGUUUCGCCUGUUCAUGCUGAUCACAAUUAGCAUAACGAUGUUUUUGGCGCAAGUGGUCUCUCGACUAGCUGGUUUUCAUCAACUUGUCCUGGUCCGGACCCGUUCGUGCCUGGACAGUAUGUCGAUUCUUUGGUGGUGACACCGGCGUAUUUCUCUUAUGGCUCAUCAUGGUGAGGGUGGCCACAUUUGCAAAACAAUGCCUCCCUUGUGCCAAGUUUGUUGAAUGUUAAGGUUUCUAACCCUUUUGCUCAUAAUUUUGACGAUGGGGCAGGCUAGGUGUUUGGGCUCGCUGUUGGACCAAGCUCAAAUUGUGGCCAAUUUGGUGGUCCUCACUUACCGCGGAGAAUGGGCCAGCACGUUAGGCCAUUUGCUAGUGUUCCUAGGCCGACUGGUUCAGGCCAAGAUUUUGGGCCAUAUGGAAUUCGUAGGCUAACCAGUGCUGGUCCUAACAUUGGACAGGGUUCACUUGGGCCAAAUGUUAAUUUUGUUAGACUUGAGGGCUCUUUUGGGCAUGGACAAGGACUUUGGCCCACCACUGGCAAUGUUUCAGUGCCAAAUAAUGGGUCAUGCGUUCCAUGGCGCACUAAACUGACGGCGCACAUUAUUGAUUGAUUUCUCACUGUGUGUUGGGUUGCCUCACAUUCUUGAUUUUCAUGUGUCUGAUAUUUUUACUACCUCUGGGUCCAAUGCUAACACGACUCCGUAUGGGUCUAAUUUUGAUAAUGAUAACUCUUACAUUCCUAUGCCUGUAGGGACCUUGUCCUGGUGUCUUAAUUCAGGGUCUAUACAUCAUGUCUAUCGAGAAGCCUCUACCUUGAACGAGUCUACGCCAUACUCAGGUACAUCUCCUCUCCUCAUGGAUGAUAUUACUCCUACAAAAAUAUCAUGUGUUGGAAACUCUAUCUUGCCUACGAAGACUAAGCUGUUUCAUCUAUCUAAUGUUUUGUGUGUGCCAAAUAUACGGAAGAAUCUGCUAUCUGUCUCUCAAUUUGCUAAUGACAAUAAUAUGGUCUUUGAAUUUCACCCGUCUUAUUGAGGACAUCCAGACUCAGGAAAUUUUGCUUCGGGGCCACACUCGUGAUGGGCUCUAUUAUUUUUCGUAGGUUACUCAUGUUCCGUCUGUCGUUGUUCCUUCUGUUCACAACACUGGGCUCCAGAGUCGCAAUGCCGGUGAUGAUGUUUUUACGUUAUGGCACUACAGACUUGGUCAUCCGUCUGCCUCGAUUGUUAAACUUGUUCUCGAUAAGUGUCAAGUUGUUUCAACUAAAAUGUACCUUGAAAAUAUUUGUAUUGCUUGUCAAAAGGGGAAGUCCCAUAAACUGUCUUUUUCAAGUUCUACUACUAAAUAUACGGAUUUGUUUGAAUUGGUUGUCUUUGACUUAUGUGGACUGGCAUCUGUUGUCUGUAGAAAUAAUCUGUAUCAUGUUUCGUUUAUCGACAUGUGUAGUUAUUUUACUUGGAUUUAUCUCAUUAAACGUAAUUCUAAGGAGGUUGAAUGUUUUCUUCAGUUUCAGAAAAUGGUCAAAACUCAGUUUGGGAAAGAUAUUAAAAAAAUUCAAAGUGAUUGGGGUGGUGAGUUUCUUGCCUUUACGUCAGUUCUGGCUAGUCAUGGGAUACUUCAUCACCUCUCCUGUCCAUAUACAUCCGAGUAGAACGAUGUAGCUGAACGAAAACAUCGACACAUUGUUGAGAUGAGUCUUAUUCUAUUGGCCAAAGCUAACCUAUCCAUGGAUUUCUGUGGUUUCGUAUUUUACAAUGCCAUUCAUCUCAUUAGUCUUCUACCGACCCUAGUUCUGAAAGGUCAGUCUCCAUAUCAGGUUCUUCAUGGUAGUGACCCUACAUAUGAUCAUUUACAAGUAUUUAAGUGUUGUUGAUUUUCGUACCUGCGUCUGUUUCUGCAACACAAGUUGGAUUUUCAUUCUCAGCCAUGCAUAUUUUUUAGGUAUAGUUCUCAACAUAAAGGCUAUCACUGCCUCACACCAAAUGGUAAGGUCAUUGUCUCUCGUCAUGUUGUGUUUGAUGAACGUUGGUUUUUCUUUUCUUCAAAUGCUGUGAACACCGUUCAGUUAAGUCCAUGUAUCUCUACAUAUGUUCCUAUUGUUCGGUCUUCAUCUUGCCGCCCCACGACAUCUUCGCUUGUUCGACCCACUGAGUCAUCGACUCUUGCUCCUAAUUGUAGUUCCACGCUGUCUGUUUCAGUUGACACUCCGGCUGAAUUAGGUUUUACUCAUGAGGUGCAUCGGCUCUCUACCUCAUCCCUUGAAUCUCGUCAAUGCGAUCCAACUACAAUUCCAUUGGCUGUUCCAUCUAUUUCUCUGGAAUACUCAUAACACUAUUACUCAGCUAGACCCAAAGCUCUGUCUGUUGAAAUUGUCAACUGUGAGUCGAUCACGAUUGAAGAGGCGCUCGCUAGUAAGGAAUGGCAAUUAGUUGUCCAAGCUGAGUUUGUUGCUAUAAUGGUUAACUCCACUUGGGAGCUUGUUCCCUUACCUCAUGGUCGAAAAGUGAUUAGGUGUAAGUGGCUUUUUAAAAUAAAAAAAUCCUGAUGGGACUAUCACUUGACGUAAGGCUCGGUUGGAAGCAAAGGGUUGUUCUCAGGUACUCAGGUGUGAUUUCAAGGAAACCUUUAGUUUGGUAGUUAAACCUGCUACUAUUAGAACCAUAUUAUCUGUUGCUAUCUCCAACGGUUGGCAAUUUGGUCAGGUAGAUGUGAACAAUGCUUUUUUAAAUGGUGAUCUUAUUGACGAAGUGUUCAUGCAGCAACCUCUAGGCUAUGUUCAGAUUGGUCAAAAUGGUGAGCCCUUGGUGUAUCAUUUGACAAAGGUGUUGUACAGAUUAAGACAAGCUCCACGUGCUUGGUUUGAUAAAUUGAAACGUUUUUUUGUUUCUAUUGGAUUUGCUUUAUCCAAAUCUGAUGUAUCCUUAUUUGUUCAAGUUAAUUCGAAUCCACUAUUUAUGUUUUAGUCUAUAUGGAUGAUAUUAUCGUUACUAGAAGUACGAUCGACGGUAUAAAUGGCUGUAUUCAAUAGUUACAUAAUGUGUUUCCCUUAAAGAUAUGGGAGAUCUUUACUACUUCUUAGGCAUUGAAGUCACUCGGUAGUCCACUGGGAGUCUCCAUUUGUGCCAACGCAAAUACAUUCGGGAUCUUCUUGACAGUAGUUUUUUAGCUAAUGCAAAGAGUGUUCACACACCGAUGGUUAGUUCUUUUACGUUGUUUAAAGAUGUGGGAGAUCGCCUCGUUGAUCCUACUGGAUAUAGAAGUCUUGUCGGUGUAUUACAAUAUGUGGUCUUGACUCUGCCUGAUAUUGCUUAUGCUAUAAAUCAUGUUUGUCAAUUCAUGCAUGCCCCUACUACAGUACAUUUGGUGGCUUUGAAAAGAAUCUUGCACUAUUUAUGUGACACUAUUAAUCAUGGGUUAAUUUUGUCUGUUCAACAUAUUGUCUUUAGUUGGCUAUGCUAAUGCCAACUGGGGACUGGAUUUUGAUGAUCGUAAAUCAACAACAAGCUAUUGUUUGUAUUUUGGGUAUACACCCAUCUCUUGGUGAUCUAAGAGACAACUCUACUGCGUGAGGCGAAGUAUUUUGGCCGCACCAUGGCUGAGGUGAAGUAUCGAAGUCUAGCAACAACUACCAGUGAUGUUACUUGGUUAGUCUCUCUACUAACAAAAUUACAGAUUCAUUCUAUAGAUCCACAUACUAUUUGGCGUGACAACUCUAAUGCAGUAGCGGUCAUUGCUAAUCCGGUCUGACACUCUAAAUUUAAACAUGCCAAGCUUGAUCUAUUUUUUGUUCGCGAAAAGGUCGCUAAUGGUUCUCUCGUUGUCGGUGAGAUUCUAGCAUGUGAUUAAGUUGCUGACAUUCUCACAAAACCACUGUUCGUCUCUACUUUUGCUAGGUUUCGUAGUCUGCUUCAAUUCUUACCUCUUGAGAAGCUGGGUGAAGCCAGGUGAAUAUUAGAGUAUAGACUCUGUUAGUCUGUUACCAUUUUGUUAUUCAGGCUGGAAUAUUGUUAGUAAGCAGUUAGUCAUAGCAGUUAGUCAUACAAUUAUAAAUUCUAUUCAUGUAUUGUUCAAAGGUAAGCUAAUAAUACCAAAAGAGAUUUAAUGUGCUCAUUCUACUUUCUUUGUUAUUCUUCAUAAUACAGUUGUUAACAUGCUUGAUAUCAUCUCUUAGAGAGAACGAGGAGAGAUAAGAGUAAGAGUAUGAGCCAACUAGGGAUAAGGCUCUACCAUAAUACCUUGGAUGCAAUUAAAGUAAGAGUAAGAGCCAACUUGUUUGGCUUGAUAGCAUCCCCUUAUAGAAAAGGCUCUACCGCAUGGCAUGAGAGCAAUAAAAGUAACACUCAAUUUCUUGGGUUGAUAGCAUCUCCUUAGGGAAAAGGGUUUACCAUGUGACAUGAAAGCAAUUAAAGUAAGAGUAAGAUCCAACUUGUUUGUCUUAAUAGCAUCAUUUAAGAGAAAUAUCCCAAUCAAUUUAUUCAAAUAUGUUAAUCAAAUAAUGCAAGUUACAAUGUUCUGUCAGUUUUUCCUUUAAUUGUAACUGGGUUAAAGUUGGUAGUUGUAACUGCUACUAAUAGAAUGGAUACGGUAGAAAUGGUUGCAAGCAACAUAAGCAAAGAUGACUUUAAUGUCUUUGUAUUGACCACGUGAGAACUAUAGAAUGCAGAGAAUAGUAUGGUGAUUGGCAACAGAAUGCUACUAACCUUGAGGAUAGUAGACAGGGAUGGAUCCACGGGGGUUGGGGGCGGUCCCCCCUUGGAAUUUUUAAAAUUUUAAAUUUUAUAUAUAAAUUAUCAUGUAUUUUAAAUUUGGUGUCCACAUUGUAUAGCAUUCACCCCCCUUUUCCAAAUUGCAUUUCAUAUCAUUUGCCCUCUUAAGCCAUAAGGUUAUACUUUAUAUUAACAAAGUAUUUUCCAUUUUUUAAUUAUAUAAAUUUAAUAAUAAUAAUAAUAAUCAAAUAUUAAUAUAUGAUUGGCAUUGAAAGACUAAACAUAAAGGUCCAGUUGAGACUUUAAAGCCAAAUUCCAUAAUUAAUUAAUUGAUUUGGCCCAUACCAGUACAUAUUAGGUUAGCGAAAUUCUUGUAUUUUGAUUUGUAUGUCUUGCUAAGGAAUUAUCUUCCUUUGGUAAGGUGUUGACACUGCCAAGAGAAAAAGAAAGGAUUUUGAUGUCGAGAUUGUGAGCAUAGAGUAAAAAAAAUACAAAUUAUCUUCCUCUUAGCUCCUUAUGGAAAAAACCUCUCGGUAAAUAUUUUUGCAUAAAUUAUGUUUUUUAUUAAUUUGACUUAGUUUUUUUCUUUUUUCCUAAUACAUUGUUGUUUAAUAUAUUCUUACAAUCAUCAGGUUUUUUGACUAAAUUAUGGUCAAUAAAAACAUCGAAUCUAUUUAAAAAAAAAGAGUGUCAGAAAGCAAUAAUGAUCAACCGGUUCCUCAACCUUCCAUUAUUAGUGAAGAAAAAUCAAAUAUCGGAUCUUCCAAAGCUCUUGAACAAAAUAUCAGGUCUUCUUAAGCCCAAGCUCCUAAAUGCGGUAUGGAGUCUUCCCCAACUCCUGAACGAGAUUGUAACAAUCCAUACCCAAUUCGAUCACCAAAUCCAAGUAGAGAGCGCCGCAACUUAAACCAUAUGAAUUGAAUAAUAAAUAUUUGAAAUUUAUUAAAGUAUCGAGUUCUUGGUGUAACCCUCAGUAUAACAAUACGAAACAAUUAAAUCAAUGAUACGCCAGGAAAAAAUGUUUUUAGGCAAAACACAUGGCGGAAGCCUUACAAAAUUUUAUAAGUUUAUAUAAAAUGUAAGAUGAGUUAAUCCCAUACAACAGUUUCAAGUGCAUCGUUGGCGGUUAAAAGAACAUUCAAAAACUAUUCGGCGUAUAUGCCAAUGAGACAAUCACGUGGAACAAGAUAUAGUAGCUUAAACACAUACAUCACUUACCACGUCAUCAUAACAUAUACUAACCAUAUAAACAAACUUAUCGAGCUGCGAACUAACAAGUUCACCCAAACAUCUAGGGUUAGCGAUAACUUAUUAGAAGAGCCCGCCAAACCCUAGAGUUCGCCAAAACCUGGAGUUCACCAAAUGGCGACUCCCAUAGAAUACGCCAAACACACAACCAAAAAUAAAUACUCUACUAAUUUACUCAUUUUAUAUUCUUAGCAUAAACAACUAUGCACCAAACAGUAACUUGAUACAUUAUCUUUCGGGCGAGUUGUUACAAUUCUCCCCCAUUUAGAAACUUUUGUCCUUGAAAUUCUUACCGGUGAAUAACUGAGGAUAUUGUUCUUUCAUCGAACUCUCUCUUUCCCAAAUGGCUUCUUUUGUAUUGUGAUUUAUCUAUAAUACAUUAACCAAAGGAAUUCUUUUACUUCUCAACUCUUUUACUUCCCUUGCUAAAAUACAAACAGGUUCUUCUUCAUAGGACAAGUUUUGCUCCACUUCCAGUGCUUUGACUUGUACCACAUAAUCUGGAUUGGAUUGAUAUUUUCUUAACAUAGAUAUAUUAAACACAUUAUGUAUAUUUGAUAACUCUGGUGGCAACACCAGUUUGUAUGCCACUGGACCAACUUAUUCCAAAAUCUCAUAUGGUUCUAUGAAAUGCAGACUUAAUUUCCCUUUUUGUUCAAACCUUAUGAUCUUCUUCCAAAGAGAAAACUUCAUAAAUGCAUUGUCACCCACUUCGAAAGAGAUUAUUUUCCUUUUUAGAUCAGCAUAAGCUUUCUGGCGAUCUUAAGUUACUUUCAGAUGAUUUCUAAUGAUAAAGACUUUCUCUUCUGUUUCUCAUACUAAAUCAAGACCAACUAUUUUCCUUUUACUGAGUCUCAUCCAAUAGGUAGGAGAUCUGCACCUUCGUCUAUACAAAGCUCCAAAUGGUAACAUUCCCAGACUGUCAUAAUAACUAUUAUUAUACGCAAACUCUAGCAAAGGAAGAUAUCUUUCUCAAUUCAUUCUAAAAUCUAUAAUACAACCUCUAAACAUGUCUUCUAGAACUUGAAAUACUCUUUCAAAUUGCUCAUCGAAUUAGGGAUGAAAGGUAGUACAGAAUCAUUAUUUCGUUCCCAACGAUUCUUGCAGUUGUCUCCAAAAUCUCAAUGUAAACAUUGGGUCUCGAUCUGAAACUAUGGAUGUUGGAAUCCCAUGAGGCGUACAACUUCAGAAACGUAGAGAUUAGCCAACUUUUCCAAUAAGUAAUUUGUGCGGACAAACAAGAUAUGGGCUAACUUAGUAAGUCGAUCUACAAUUACCUAGACUGAGUACUUCUUCGAAAGGAUGAGAGGGAGAGCCAAAACAAAAUCCAUGGUGAUCUUAUCCCACUUCCACAUAGAUAUCUCUAAAAGGUACAACUUGCCUAAGGGAACCUGAUGUUCUAUUUUAAUCUGCUGACAUGUCAAACAAAUGGAAAUGUACUUUGUUAUUUCUUUCUUCAUUUCAAGUCAGUAAUACAAACUUAUCAAAUUAUGAUACAUUUUAUGUAAAACUCUCAACCCAACUCGAAAUGUCGAGUCUGGAUCUCGGGUAUUACUAUACAUAAUACUUGGCAAAAUAUCAAAAUAGUUGACAAAUACUCUUUAUAGAAAACAUUUUCUUAUUAUUUUAACCAAAAGACUAAAUAUUUAAUAACAAGAGAAAAUAUUAAAAACAAAAAAAAAUUAUUACAUCAGACUUGGUACAACUCAUUAUAGUAUAAAAUUUUGUUAAAGACAUACUCUUGGGGCAUAACCCUAAUCUAAGCCACUUUUCCACUAUAUGCAUAAUAACCCACUUCGCCACUAUCUUGGCGUACUCCUAGCAUCGUCACUCCUAAUGCAUUCUCUACCCAUACACCUGAAAACAACAACAUUUUAAGCUUAAGAUAACUUAGUGACUUUUAUCCCAAAAAUACCUUGGCGAGUACUUUAUAUUAUUUGAAGAACAUUUGUGCGCCAUCUAUCCUUCUGAACCACCUUCUUCUGAAUUAAGUGGAUACUAUUAUAGAUUCAACUUUCACUUACACGCCAACUAUCAUACUCUUAACAAACUCACUUAUUCUAGAAUAGUUGUUCACAUAUAUUAAUCACUAAUUGAUACAUUCAUAUUUGGCGAAUACUUACGCAGAUCUGAAUACCAUCAAACUACUAAUCAAAUCAUACCUUGAUCCGAUACCAUACAAACUCAUACUGAUAAUGUACUACACAAAUUAUUCAAAUGAAUUUUCCACUACUUUGUUACAGGACCCCAGAUAAUCAUCAUAACAAUAACUCAAUUUUCAUAUGAUUUCAGAAGAAGAUAUAAUACAACCCAAAUACGGCAAAUUCCAGAUAACUCAGAUUCAACAACUGCUUAACACAUACGAACUCACAUUUAUAAUUUCUUAUGUCCCACAUAACUACGACUAUGUCUAUAUUCAACACUAACAAAUAAUCAUGACGGAUACCCUUCUUAUACAUAUAUGCAUUUCUUUUCUAGAAAUCUCUUAAGACUUACUCAAUUAUAUCACAUAUCUUAUUCAACCCUUAACUUUAGACAUAUCAUAACCCUAUCAUAUCAAUAUCUAUCACAAAAAAAAUCAGGAUUUAUCCAAAACUUACCAUAAAGGUAGAUAAUCAUAUUAUAUCAGACAAACUUAACUAAAUGUGCCACAAAGGCCAAACAAAAUAUGCCUUAAAGGCUUCAUACAAAAUCACGUGUUUACUAUCCCGACGGACUAUCACAAAAGGUGUCAUGGGUUUCUCCCACAUGGACUUAUACAUAAUUUCAUGUAUUGUGAUCUGCCAUUUUGAAUCAUACGUUAUCGAAGGAUACUCCAUAAGCAUACAUACAGACAUAUCUUGCCAUGUGUCUCAGCCACAUGGCUUAAACACACAUUCAUGUACUGUGAUAUGUCAAUCCAGUCUUACUCUUAUUAGAGCCUACACCAUGAGUGUUUUCAAAUCAUAUUAAGAUGUUGUAGGUCUCAACCUCAUAGUCUUACACUUGUUUUCAUAUCGUGACCUGCCAGUCUAGUUAGCAAUAUAAUUGCCUACCAGAGGCUUCAUAGAGGAACAUUUGCUUAGAUUCACUUACCUAGAUGAUCUGUAACACCCCUUACCCGAGACCGUUGUCAGAGUCGAGCACGAGGUAUUACUUAUCUUAUCUUACUAACUCGAAGCAUAAAAACUUGUUUUAAAAAUUAAUUUCACUAUUUAUAGCAAUUUGUCCAAUCGCGCAGCAGUUACUAAAUUAAUUAUAACUCGAGAUACGGAACUUGAAAUUUAACUCCGUAAAUUUUCCCUGAAACUAGACUCAUAUAUCUUCCUACCAUAAAAAUUUUAGGAUUUUUAGUUUAUCAAAUUAGUACAGUUUAUUAGUUAAAUUCUCCCCUGUUUCACAAAUCGACUGCCCUGACCUCUUAUCACUAAAAAUAAAAUGUAUCAUUGUGGGAUUUUCGUAUAGUGCUACCGCUUGCUUCUACAGAAAAUAGACUCAAUAAGGAAUCUAUACAUAUAAACUACAACUCAUAAAUAUUUUUUUAAAAUUUUUAAUGAUUUUAUAAACUCAAAACAGGGGUCACCAAAAACUGUUCUAACCCUGUCUCACCAAAAUUCACAUAUCUUAAAAUAUAAAUUCCUUUUGCUACACCGUUAUUUUUAUGUGAAAAUAGACUCAACAAGAUUUAUGUCAUUCAAUAUUUAAUUCAUUUUAUACUAUCCUAGGUGAUUUUUCAAAGUCACGUCACUGUUGCUGCCUGAAUUCUGUUUCUUUGCAAAAUUUUACCCUUUUAUGAUUUCCAUGCAUAGUUUAUCACUUAGACUCUUAUAACAACAAACACUUCCAUACUUAACCAUUUUAGCAACCAUUCAUCAUCAAAUACUUACACAUCAUUCUUUAGCAAGAUCAUAAAUACAAACAUUUAAAAUAACUAAAUCCCUUUACAUUCCAUACUCAACAUGGUUCAACAUAAAAAUACCGAGUUGCUGUGGUUGAUAGUGUGGACGAUCUCCGACUUCUUUAGGAUCCUUGAAGUAACCUUGCAAUACUAUAAGAGAAAGAGAAAUAAAAGACGUAAGCAUAAAGCUUAGUAAGUUUACUAGCAAAUAAAUAACAAUAUUUAACUAGAUAAUUAAACUCAAGUGUCUAUAUCUCUAGUUUACUAUUUAGUUAAUCUCAUUCUAGUUCUCUUGCUUGUUUACUUAGUAUACUUGUGUGCAUAACUUACUCCUCUCUUGCUGUAUAGUUGAAUAUCAAUUGAUAAUAUAAUAAGUUAUUAACUCUUAUAACUUACCUGAACUUGCCAUUUAUGUUUUUAACUGAACUUUCCUGAACAUGAUUCGUUAUUUAGCCCGUUGAGCUACAUUGGAACAAUAAGGAUACUCGGGUCUCUUCUGAUAAUAACAUGCCAAAGCCAUGUCCCAGACAUGGUCUUACAUGGGAUGUACUCAUGUCGGUGCCCAUUCCAUAUCCCAGACAUGGUCUUACGGGGGACCUCUCAUCUCGGUGCCAAUGCCAUGUCCCAGACAUGGUCUUACAUGGGACCUCUCAUCUCGGUGCCAACGCCAUGUCCCAGACAUGGUCUUACAUGGGACCUCUCAUCUCGGUGCCAACGCCAUGUCCCAGACAUGGUCUUACAUGGGACCUCUUUACCCAAAUGUCAUGACAUUCGUAUCCAGUACCAUCCUUACUAUUCAUGACAACCGAUAUAUAUAUAUACAUACUCACUAUUCACAAGGACUCGAACGAUUAUAUACUCAUCAACCACCUUAAAACAAUGUUCAUAAACUUAUCCAUUUCAUAUAAACAAAAGCAUAUAUAUUUAUAACCAAUGCAUAGAAUCACUUAAUUUAAACAGAUUCACUGGCACUUCACCUGAUAGGCUUAUAGUUUAAUUCAGUUCACCGGCACUUAGCCUACUAGGCUUGUAGCCUGAUUCAGUUCACCGGCACUUAGCCUGCUAGACGUAUAGUCCGAUUCAAUUCACCGGCAUUUAGCCUGCUAGACGUAUAGUCUGAUUCAAUUUACCGGCACUUAGCCUGCUAGACGUAUAGUCUGAAUAAUUUUACUGGUAAUAAAUCCGAUAGUAAUUUCUCCGUUGAAAUUGAAUUAUAUUCAAUUCUGCGUAACAAACAUGCACUUAAAACAUACUUGCAUAAUUCACAACAAUAAUUUCAGUCCAAAGAGCUGUAAUUCAUAUUCGAACUAUAUAUAUAUAAAUCCAUACAUAAAAAUUCAACUCAAAAUUUAUAACCUAUAUCUUUGAACCACAUAGGUACAUGAAAUUCAAACACCAAAAUCCAGCUCAAUAACUUCAUGAUUCAACCUAACAAAUUUAUGUAUAUAACUUUUUAUCUAAUUUCAAUACAAUAACUUAUACAUGUACGUAUAUACAUAUUCGAAUCUAACAUAUACAUAUAUAAUUUCAUACUUAAAUAUAUUCAAGACUUAUUCAUGAGUAUACAUAUAUAUUACAACUCACAUGUACAUAUAUAUACACAUUCAUACCUUUAACCAAGUCCAAGGCUUUAUACAUGUAUAUGCUUAUAUAUAUAUAUUCGGACCUUAUGUUUACAUAUAUAUAUUAUAUAAAUACCUUUGAUUAAAAACAAGUAUUUAUACAUAUAUAUAUUUUCGAACAUGAUACAUAUAUAUUUAUAUCAUUCAUACUUAAACAAAAUUCAAUCCAUAUACUUUCAAUUUCAGCUCACCAAAUUACUAUAGAUAUACAUGCAUAUAUACUGAUUUAAUAACCUCAAAUUGCUAAUAGACUUACCUCGGAUAUCAGCGGACACGAUCGAGUAUUCGAUUACUUUCGUUUUUCCCCGAUCCAAAUUCGUUUUCUUCGUUUUUUAUCUUAAUUAGACCUAGAGAUAGCCGAACCUUGUUGUUCUCUUUUCUUUUCUUUUCUUUUUCUUUUCUAUAUUCGGCCAAGAUGAAGAACAUGGCAUUUAAAAUUUGUUAUAUUAAACAUAUAUUAGCCUUAUUUUUAAUUUACUAUAUUAACCUUUACAUAUAUAUAACAUAUAUAAUAAGGUUACAUUAGUCCUUUGCCACCCACUAACUUACAUAGUGGACUAAUUGCAUAGUAAAACCUCUAAAUUAUAAAGACAACAAGAAUUAGGUCCUUUUAUAAUUAACCCCUAAAUUUUCAUUUUACGCGAUUAAGCCCUUUUAUUAAAUCGGACACUUAAACGACGAAAUUAAAACACGAAAAUUUCACACAAUCAAAUGCAUACAAAACAAUAUUAAUAAUAUUUUUCUAAUUCAAAUUUGUGGUCCCGAAACCAGUAUUCUGAUUAGGGUCAAAAACCGGGUUGUUACAACUCUCCCCCCUUAGGGAUUUUCGUCCCCGAAAAUCUUACCGGUGAAUAGGUUUGGAUAACGCUCUUUCAUUGUAUCUUCUAACUCCCAAGUUGCUUCUUCAACCCCAUGUUUAUGCCACAACACUUUAACUAACGGAAUUUUCUUAUUUCGUAAUUCUUUGAUCUCACGAGCCAGAAUGCUAAUCGGUUCUUCCUCAUAUGUCAUAUCAGAGUUAAUUUCAAUCUCCGUCGGACUAAUCACAUGUGAAGGAUCAGAUCGGUAUCUACGAAGCAUCGAAACAUGGAAUACGUUAUGAAUCUUUUCUAACUCAGGCAGUAACAUCAAUCUAUAAGCAACCAAUCCAACUCGCUCUAUAAUCUCAUACGGUCCAAUGAAUCUCGGACACAAUUUGCCUUUACGACCAAAUCUGAGUAUUUUCUUCCACGGUGAGACUUUUAAAAACACUUUAUCCCCGAUCUGAAAUUCUAUAUCCUUUCUUUUCAAAUUCGCAUAAGAUUUCUGACGAUCCGAUGCUGAUUUCAGACUGUCCCGAAUCACUUUCACUUUCUGUUCGGUCUCUUUAAUCAAAUCAACCCCGUGUAUCUUAUUUUCACUGAGCUCGGUCCAAUACAGUGGUGUACGACAUUUACAACCGUACAAAGCCUCAUAAGGUGCCAUUUUGAUACUAGAUUGAAAGCUAUUAUUAUAAGCAAAUUCAAUCAAAGGUAAGUAUCGUUCCCACGUACCUUCAAACUCGAGAAUGCAACAUCUCAACAUAUCCUCAAGUAUCUGAAUGAUUCAUUCAGAUUGACCAUCUGUCUGCGGAUCGAAAGCUGUGCUAAAAUGUAGUUUCGUACCUAAAGCAUCUUGUAGUUUCUUCCAAAAUCGCGAUGUGAAUCUCAGAUCUCUGUCUGAAACAAUAGAAAUAGGUACACCAUGCAACCUCACAAUUUGUGAAAUAUACAAUUCCGCAAGUUUAUCGAGCGAAAAAUCUGUACGAAUCGAAAUAAAAUGUGUCGAUUUUGUCAACCUAUCAACAAUAACCCAGAUUGCAUCUAUCUUGCUCGGUGUCAACGGUAAAUCGGAUACAAAAUCCAUCGUGACUCGAUCCCAUUUCCAUUGAGGUAUCAUGAUCGGCUGAAGCAACCCAGAUGGUACCUGAUGCUUGGCUUUAACUUGCUGACAAAUUAAACAUUUCGAAACAAAGUCAGAAAUGUCUCGUUUCAUACCUUGCCACCAAUAGUGCUGUUUCAGAUCGUUAUACAUUUUCGUGCUACCCGGAUGAACAGAAAAUCGACUACUAUGAGCUUCCUUCAAAAUCAUCUAAAUUAACUCUGAUUUUUUCGGAACACAUAAUCGGUUUCUAAAUCUCAAACAAUCCUCAGCAUCAACUAAAAACUCCGAAUCAAUAUUUAAGUCACAUUGAGCUCGUUUUGCAGUUAAAUCAUUAUCGACCUUUUGAGCUUCACAAAUCUGUUGUACAAAUAACGGUUUUGCUUUCAACUCAGCUACUAUCGCACCAUCAUCAGACAUAACCAUAUGUGCGUUCAUUGCACGCAAAGCAAACAGUGAUUUUCGACUUAGGGCAUCAGCAACAACAUUAGCCUUUCCCGGAUGAUAGUCAAUCACAAGCUCGUAUUCUUUCAGCAAUUCUAACCAUCGACGCUGUCUCAAAUUCAGAUAUUUCUGAGUCAUCAAAUAUUUCAGGCUUUUGGGAUCGGAAUAAACAUGACAUCUUUCACCAAACAGAUAGUGACGCCAUAUUUUUAACGCAAAUACAAUAGCGGCCAAUUCCAGAUCAUGUGUCGGAUAGUUUUUUUCAUGCGGCUUUAACUGUCUCAAGGCAUAGGCUACAACUUUGCCUUCCUACAUCAAAACACAACCCAAACCAUUUAAAGAUGCAUCACUAUAGAUAACAAACUCUUUACCCGAUUCGGGUUGAACUAAGACUGGAGCUUCGGUCAAAAGAACUUUCAACUGAUCAAAGUUUUUCUGACACUUUUCUGACCACUCGAACUUAACGUCUUUUUGUAGUAGCUUUGUCAUCGGGGUCGCAAUCAUAGAAAACCCUUUCACGAACCGUCUAUAAUAACCAGCGAGCCCCAGAAAGCUUCGAACAUCAGAGACAUUUCUCGGAGGUUUCCAAUCAAGUAUAGCUGAAAUUUUACCUGGAUCAACUCGAAUACCCGAUGCUGACACAACAUGGCCCAGAAAACUAACUUCACGUAACCAGAACUCGCAUUUACUGAACUUUGCAUACAACUGUUUAUCUCGCAAAGUUUGUAACACAAGUCUCAGAUGUUCAGUAUGCUCGGUUUCAUCACGAGAGUAGAUCAAAAUAUCAUCUAUAAAUACUACCACAAAUCGAUCCAGAUACUGUCUAAAAAUCUGAUUCAUCAAAUCCAUGAAAACAGCAGGUGCAUUAGUAAGUCCAAAAGGCAUAACCAAGAACUCAUAAUGUCCGUACCUCGUUCGGAAAGCUGUCUUUGGCACAUCAGAGUCUUUAACUCGCAACUGAUAGUAGCCUGAUCUCAGAUCUAUCUUCGAAAACACAGUAGCCCCUUUCAACUGAUCGAACAAAUCAUCAAUCCGUGGUAACGGAUACUUAUUCUUUAUAGUCACCUUAUUGAGUUGCCGGUAAUCAAUGCACAUUCUCAUUGUUCUGUCUUUCUUUUUCACAAAUAGAACUGGUGCACCCCAAGGAGAGAAACUCGGUCGUGUAAAACCUUUAUCAGUCAACUCUUGCAACUGUACUUUCAAUUCUUUUAAUUCGGUCGGUACCAUACGGUACGGAGCUAUCGAAAUUGGAGUUGUCCCUGGUACUAACUCAAUACCAAACUCUACCUCUCGAAUAGGUGGCAAACCCGGUAAUUCUUCGGGAAACACGUCUGAAUACUUACACACUACUGGCACAGAUUCAAUCUUCUUUUCGGUCACUUUACUAUCAAGAAAAAAUGCAAGGUAAUCUUCACAACCUUUUCUCACAUACUUCUGAGCCGACAUCGAGGAUAUUAUUGCUGGUAAACCAUUCAGAUCAUUAGAUUCAAUCCGAAUAAUCUCAUCAUUCUGACACCGUAGAUCAAUAGUUUUCCGUUUGCAGUUUACUAUAGCAUUAUGCAGAGUUAACCAAUCCAUACCCAGAAUUAUAUCAAACUCGUCAAAUGGUAGCAACAUCAAAUCAGCCAGAAAACAUAAAUCUCGAAUCAUCAACGGACAAUUCUUGCACACUUUGUCAACCAAAACACACCGGCCCAAGAGGUUCAAUACUUUAAUUACAAACUCAGUAGACUCAACAGGCAAAGUCUUACUGAAUACUAAAGUCUCACACACAUAAGAAUGAGUCGAACCAAGAUCAAUCAAUGCAAUAACAUUAGUAUCAUAAAGAGUGAAAGUACCAGUAAUAACAUCUGGAGAAGAAGCCUCCUCCCGAGCACGGAUGGCAUAUGCUCUGGCAAGUGCACGAGCCUCAGAUCGAACUGCCAUGUCCUUUGUUCCUCUCUGACUGCCACUUACAUUACUCAAUUGCCUCGGCGGUCUACCUCGUACAGGUACUUUACUCGGUCUGGUAUUCUACACAGUGUUUUGCUCAGCUACCAUCGGACACUCUCGAAUGAAAUGAUCCUUUGAACCGCACUUAAAGCAAGACCGAUCAUGUAAUCUGCAAUCUCCAGGAUGCCAUUUCCCACAAUGCUUGUACUCUGAUCUAUUUUGUCGAACACUACCAACGCUAGCAACUGAAGUAGCUCGUGAACUCACAGGGGGUCGAUCUCGAUCAUACUUAGGAAACCCUGCAGUAGCUUUAGAUCGGCUAUGAUCCUCUCUGGAUUUCAUUGAGGUCGACUGGAAUGAUUUACUGAAUGAUCUUUUACGAGAAUCUCGAGCUUCAUAGCCAGCUUUCCUCUUCUCUUUACUGAGCUCCUUAACUUUACAAGGUCGUUCAACAAGUACUACGAACUCUUUUAUCUCAAGUAUACCAAAUAACAGUUUAAUAUCUUCAUCCAGCCCAUCUUCAAAUCUUUUACACAUGAUAGCUUCAGUCGAAAUACAUUCUCGAGCAUAUCUACUGAGUCUCACAAAUUUCCGCUCAUAUUCUAUCACUGUCAUACGACCCUGUUUCAAUUCAAGAAAUUCCUUAUGCUUCUGAUCAAUGAAUCUUUGGCUGAUGUAUUUCUUACAGAACUCAAUCUGAAAGAAUUCCCAGGUCACUCGCUCUUUCGGAACCACCGAUACUAGUGUAUUCCACCAGUGAUAUGCAGUGUCCCGUAGCAAAGAUAUGGCACAUUUCAAGUACUCAUCAGGGGUGCAAGAUAACUCAUCAAACACUCGAAUAGUAUUAUCAAGCCAGAAUUCAGCUUGCUCAGCAUCAUCAUCAUCAGUAGCUCUGAACUCUUCGACCCCGUGUUUUCAAAUUUAGUCAACAGGAGGCUUAAGUAAUCUCAUCGGAUCACUUACUUGAGGUAUAAUAGGAAUCGAAGGUGGAUUAGUCGGGGGUGGAGUUUGUUGUGCAACCGGAUUAGUUCGGACAUAUUGAGUAAACCAGUCAUUCAUCAUUUGGUAGAAGGCUUGUUUAGCCUCUCCCUCCUGGUUACUCGAGGUCGGUCGAGAAUCUACCAGCUCUGUCCCUUGUGUGGGAGCAGGCGCUAUACUCUCAACAUCAUCGACUACGGCUGGAUCGGGAUCCAUUACUAUACGAAAACACAUUUUUAGACAUCAGCAGUCAUCGCACUAUCUUGGUAUAAAAAUAUGGCAUGUAUAGCUAGACUCAUACAUGCUACAUUAGUCCAAGAAUCGAUUAAACCGUAGCUCUGAUACCAAUAAAAUGUAACACCCCUAACCCGUAUCCGUCGCCGAAUUAGGGUUACGAGGCAUUACUGAACAAAUACAACCAUUUUUAAAACCAACUGAUCACAAACAUGAAAAUUAAAUCAUUUUCACAUAGCUAUUUAUAAUUUACAAUCAACAUCUAACCAACAUCGUACUCAAACCUAUACAUGCCAUAAGAUCAAGUUCAAAUAUUUAACAAAAUACCAAAAGGGGUCGAAAGUGUGAUAGACUAUGCUGAUGAUCCCCGAGCUCGUAACGCAUCUCCAAAAUCUAUAAAAACAAAUGGACAAAAACAAUCAAAGUAAGCUUUUAUAGCUUAGUAAGUCUAUAGCAUAUCUAAAAUACAUAUAAAAGAAUCAUAUAAUUCUUAAAAUAAAUUUAUUGAAAUCACAAUUAUCAAUUAUAAUUACUAAUCGAACAUUGCUAUAUUAAGUCAUCUUGUUUAAAUCUAAAAGGAUGUGUAUUUAUCUAAUACACAUGAACGGACAAAUGUAUAUACAUUAUAUGCAUAUAAUCAAUUUACUAACAUAAUCAUUAAUUGCAUAUACGGAUUUCUAUAGUACUUAUUGUUCGCACUUAAUCGGAUCCAUUUAAAUAUAAUUGUUCAAAUACAUAUACCAAAAGCAUAAUAAUUUUAUACUUGAUCAACUAUAAGUGCCGAAUGCACAUAUACACCUAUACCCACCUAUGCCGAAUGCAUACAUAUAUACACAUAUAUAUAUAUCCAACAAUUUCGUGACAACCGAUAUAUAUAUACAUACUCACUAUUCACAAGGACUCGAACGAUUAUAUACUCAUCAACCACCUUAAAACAAUGUUCAUAAACUUAUCCAUUUCAUAUAAACAAAAGCAUAUAUAUUUAUACCCAAUGCAUAGAAUCACUUAAUUUAAACAGAUUCACUAGCACUUCACCUGAUAGGCUUAUAGUUUAAUUCAGUUCACCGGUACUUAGCCUACUAGGCUUGUAGCCUGAUUCAGUUCACCGGCACUUAGCCUGCUAGACGUAUAGUCCGAUUCAAUUCACCGGCAUUUAGCCUGCUAGACGUAUAGUCCGAUUCAAUUUAUCGGCACUUAGCCUGCUAGAUGUAUAGUCUGAAUAAUUUUACUGGUAAUAAAUCCGAUAGUCAUUUCUCCGUUGAAAUUGAAUUAUAUUCAAUUCUGCGUAACAAACAUGCACUUAAAACAUACUUGCAUAAUUCACAACAAUAAUUUCAGUCCAAAGAGCUGUAAUUCAUAUUCGAACUAUAUAUAUAAAUCCAUACAUAAAAAUUCAGCUCAAAAUUUAUAACCUAUAUCUUUGAACCACAUAGGUACAUGAAAUUCAAACAACAAAAUCCAGCUCAAUAACUUCAUGAUUCAACCUAACAAAUUUAUGUAUAUAACUUUUUAUCUAAUUUCAAUACAAUAACUUAUACAUGUACGUAUAUACAUAUUCGAAUCUAACAUAUACAUAUAUAAUUUCAUACUUAAAUAUAUUCAAGACUUAUUCAUGAGUAUACAUAUAUAUUACAACUCACAUGUACAUAUAUAUACACAUUCAUACCUUUAACCAAGUCCAAGGCUUUAUACAUGUAUAUGCUUAUAUAUAUAUAUAUUCGGACCUUAUGUUUACAUAUAUAUUAUAUAUAAAUACCUUUGAUUAAAAACAAGUAUUUAUACAUAUAUAUAUUUUUGAACAUGAUACAUAUAUAUAUUUAUAUCAUUCAUACUUAAACAAAAUUCAAUCCAUAUACUUUCAAUUUCAGCUCACCAAAUUACUAUAGAUAUACAUGCAUAUAUACUGAUUUAAUAACCUCAAAUUGCUAAUAGACUUACCUCGGAUAUCAGCGGACACGAUCGACUAUUCGAUUACUUUCGUUUUUCCCCGAUCCAAAUUCGUUUUCUUCGUUUUUUUAUCUUAAUUAGACCUAGAGAUAGCCGAACCUUGUUGUUCUCUUUUCUUUUCUUUUCUUUUUCUUUUCUAUAUUCGGCCAAGAUGAAGAACAUGGCAUUUAAAAUUUGUUAUAUUAAACAUAUAUUAGCCUUAUUUUUAAUUUACUAUAUUAACCUUUACAUAUAUAUAUAACAUAUAUAAUAAGGUUACAUUAGUCCUUUGCCACCCACUAACUUACAUAGUGGACUAAUUGCAUAGUAAAACCUCUAAAUUAUAAAGACAACAACAAUUAGGUGCUUUUAUAAUUAACCCCUAAAUUUUCAUUUUACGCGAUUAAGCCCUUUUAUUAAAUCGGACACUUAAACGACGAAAUUAAAACACGAAAAUUUCACACAAUCAAAUGCAUACAAAAUAAUAUUAAUAAUAUUUUUCUAAUUCAAAUUUGUGGUCCCGAAACCAGUAUUCUGAUUAGGGUCAAAAACCGGGUUGUUACAACUCUCCCCCCUUAGAGAUUUUCGUCCCCGAAAAUCUUACCGGUGAAUAGGUUUGGAUAACGCUCUUUCAUUGUAUCUUCUGACUCCCAAGUUGCUUCUUCAACCCCAUGUUUAUGCCACAACACUUUAACUAACGGAAUUUUCUUAUUUCGUAAUUCUUUGAUCUCACGAGCAAGAAUGCUAAUCGGUUCUUCCUCAUAUGUCAUAUCAGAGUUAAUUUCAAUCUCCGUCGGACUAAUCACAUGUGAAGGAUCAGAUCGGUAUCUACGGAGCAUCGAAACAUGGAAUACGUUAUGAAUCUUUUCUAACUCAGGCAGUAACAUCAAUCUAUAAGCAACCAAUCCAACUCGCUCUAUAAUCUCAUACGGUCCAAUUAAUCUCGGACACAAUUUGCCUUUACGACCAAAUCUGAGUAUUUUCUUCCACGGUGAGACUUUUAACUUGCUCGGUGUCAACGGUAAAUCGGAUACAAAAUCCAUCGUGACUCGAUCCCAUUUCCAUUGAGGUAUCAUGAUCGGCUGAAGCAAUCCAGAUGGUACCUGAUGCUCGGCUUUAACUUGCUGACAAAUUAAACAUUUCGAAACAAAGUCAGAAAUGUCUCGUUUCAUACCUUGCCACCAAUAGUGCUGUUUUAGAUCGUUAUACAUUUUCGUGCUACCCGGAUGAACAGAAAAUCGAAUACUAUGAGCUUCCUUCAAAAUCAUCUGAAUUAACUCUGAAUUUUUCGGAACACAUAAUCGGUUUCUAAAUCUCAAACAAUCCUCAGCAUCAACUAAAAACUCCGAAUCAAUAUUUAAGUCACAUUGAGCUCGUUUUGCAGUUAAAUCAUUAUCAACCUUUUGAGCUUCACAAAUCUGUUGUACAAAUAACAGUUUUGCUUUCAACUCAGCUACUAUCGCACCAUCAUCAGACAUAACCAUAUGUGCGUUCAUUGCACGCAAAGCAAACAGUGAUUUUCGACUUAGGGCAUCAGCAACAACAUUAGCCUUUCCCGGAUGAUAGUCAAUCACAAGCUCGUAAUCUUUCAGCAAUUCUAACCAUCGACGCUGUCUCAAAUUCAGAUAUUUCUGAGUCAUCAAAUAUUUCAGGCUUUUGGGAUCGGAAUAAACAUGACAUCUUUCGCCAAACAGAUAGUGACGCCAUAUUUUUAACGCAAAUACAAUAGCGGCCAAUUCCAGAUCAUGCGUCGGAUAGUUUUUUUCAUGCGGCUUUAACUGUCUCAAGGCAUAGGCUACAACUUUGCCUUCCUACAUCAAAACACAACCCAAACCAUUUAAAGAUGCAUCACUAUAGAUAACAAACUCUUUACCCGAUUCGGGUUGAACUAGGACUGGAGCUUCGGUCAAAAGAACUUUCAACUGAUCAAAGUUUUUCUGACACUUUUCUGACCACUCGAACUUAACGUCUUUUUGUAGUAGCUUUGUCAUCGGGGUCGCAAUCAUAGAAAACCCUUUCACGAACCGUCUAUAAUAACCAGCGAGCCCCAGAAAGCUUCGAACAUCAGAGACAUUUCUCGGAGGUUUCCAAUCAAGUAUAGCUGAAAUUUUACUUGGAUCAACCUGAAUACCCGAUGCUGACACAACAUGGCCCAGAAAACUAACUUCACGUAACCAGAACUCGAAUUUACUGAACUUUGCAUACAACUGUUUAUCUCGCAAAGUUUGUAACACAAGUCUCAGAUGUUCAGUAUGCUCGGUUUCAUCACGAGAGUAGAUCAAAAUAUCAUCUAUAAAUACUACCACAAACAGAUCCAGAUACUGUCUAAAAAUCUGAUUCAUCAAAUCCAUGAAAACAGCAGGUGCAUUAGUAAGUCCAAAAGGCAUAACCAAGAACUCAUAAUGUCCGUACCUCGUUCGGAAAGCAGUCUUUGGCACAUCAGAGUCUUUAACUCGCAACUGAUAGUAGCCUGAUCUCAGAUCUAUCUUCGAAAACACAGUAGCCCCUUUCAACUGAUCGAACAAAUCAUCAAUCCGUGGUAACGGAUACUUAUUCUUUAUAGUCACCUUAUUGAGUUGCCGGUAAUCAAUGCACAUUCUCAUUGUUCCGUCUUUCUUUUUCACAAAUAGAACUGGUGCACCCCAAGGAGAGAAACUCGGUCGUGCAAAACCUUUAUCAGUCAACUCUUGCAACUGUACUUUCAAUUCUUUUAAUUCAGUCGGUGCCAUACGGUACGGAGCUAUCGAAAUUGGAGUUGUCCCUGGUACUAACUCAAUACCAAACUCUACCUCUCGAAUAGGUGGCAAACCCGGUAAUUCUUCGGGAAACACGUCUGAAUACUUACACACUACUGGCACAGAUUCAAUCUUCUUUUCGAUCACUUUACUAUCAAGAAAAAAUGCAAGGUAAUCUUCACAACCUUUUCUCACAUACUUUUUUGCCGACAUCGAGGAUAUUAUUGCUGGUAAACCAUUCAGAUCAUUAGAUUCAAUCCGAAUAAUCUCAUCAUUCUGACACCGUAGAUCAAUAGUUUUCCGUUUGCAGUUUACUAUAGCAUCAUGCAGAGUUAACCAAUCCAUACCCAGAAUUAUAUCAAACUCGUCAAAUGGUAGCAACAUCAAAUCAGCCAGAAAACAUAAAUCUCGAAUCAUCAACGGACAAUUCUUGCAUAUUUUGUCAACCAAAACACACCGGCCCAGGGGGUUCAAUACUUUAAUUACAAACUCAGUAGACUCAACAGGCAAAGUCUUACUGAAUACUAAAGUCUCACACACAUAAGAAUGAGUCGAACCAAGAUCAAUCAAUGCAAUAACAUUAGUAUCAUAAAGAGGGAAAGUACCAGUAAUAACAUCUGGAGAAGAAGCCUCCUCUUGAGCACGGAUGGCAUAUGCUCUGGCAAGUGCACGAGCCUCAGAUCGAACUGCCAUGUCCUUUGUUCCUCUCUGACUGCCACUUACAUUACUCAAUUGCCUCGGUGGUCUACCUCGUACUGGCACUUUACUCGGUCUGGUAUUCUGCACAGUGUUUUGCUCAGCUACCAUCGGACACUCUCGAAUGAAAUGAUCCUUUGAACCGCACUUAAAGCAAGACCGAUCAUGUAAUCUGCAAUCUCCAGGAUGCCAUUUCCCACAAUACUUGUACUCUGAUCUAUUUUGUCGAACACUACCAACGCUAGCAACUGAAGUAGCUCGUGAACUCACAGGGGGUCGAUCUCGAUCAUACUUAGGAAACCCUGCAGUAGCUUUAGAUCGGCUAUGAUCCUCUCUGGAUUUCAUUGAGGUCGACUGGAAUGAUUUACUGAAUAAUCUUUUACGAGAAUCUCGAGCUUCAUAGCCAGCUUUCCUCUUCUCUUUCCCGAGCUCCUCAACUUUACAAGGUCGUUCAACAAGUACUACGAACUCUUUUAUCUCAAGUAUACCAAAUAACAGUUUAAUAUCUUCAUCCAGCCCAUCUUCAAAUCUUUUACACAUGAUAGCUUCAGUCGAAAUACAUUCUCGAGCAUAUCUACUGAGUCUCACAAAUUUCCGCUCAUAUUCUAUCACUGUCAUACGACCCUGUUUCAAUUUAAGAAAUUACUUACGCUUCUGAUCAAUGAAUCUUUGGCUGAUGUAUUUCUUACAGAACUCAAUCUGAAAGAAUUCCCAGGUCACUCGCUCUUUCGGAACCACCGAUACUAGUGUAUUCCACCAGUGAUAUGCAGUGUCCCGUGGCAAAGAUAUGGCACAUUUCAAGUACUCAUCAGGGGUGCAAGAUAACUCAUCAAACACUCGAAUAGUAUUAUCAAGCCAGAAUUCAUCUCGCUCAGCAUCAUCAUCAUCAGUAGCUCUGAACUCUUCGACCCCGUGUUUUUGAAUUUUGUCAAUAGGAGGCUUAAGUAAUCUCAUCGGAUCACUUACUUGAGGUAUAACAGGAAUCGAAGGUGGAUUAGUCGGGGGUGGAGUUUGUUGUGCAACCGGAUUAGUUCGGACAUAUUGAGUAAACCAGUCAUUCAUCAUUUGGUAGAAGGCUUGUUUAGCCUCUCCCUCCUGGUUACUCGAGGUCGGUCGAGAAUCUACCGGCUCUGUCCCUUGUGUGGGAGCAGGCGCUAUACCCUCAACAUCAUCGACUACGGCUCGAUCGGGAUCCAUUACUAUACGAAAACACAUUUUUAGACAUCAGCAGUCAUCACACUAUCUUGGUAUAAAAAUAUGGCAUGUAUAGCUAGACUCAUACAUGCUACAUUAGUCCAAGAAUCGAUUAAACCGUAGCUCUGAUACCAAUAAAAUGUAACACCCCUAACCCGUAUCCGUCGCCGAAUUAGGGUUACGAGGCAUUACUGAACAAAUACAACCAUUUUUAAAACCAACUGAUCACAAACAUGAAAAUUAAAUCAUUUUCACAUAGCUAUUUAUAAUUUACAAUCAACAUCUAACCAACAUCGUACUCAAACCUAUACAUGCCAUAAGAUCAAGUUCAAAUAUUUAACAAAAUACCAAAAGGGGUCAAAAGUGUGAUAGACUAUGCUGAUGAUCCCCGAGCUCGUAACGCGUCUCCAAAAUCUAUAAAAACAAAUGGACAAAAACAAUCAAAGUAAGCUUUUAUAGCUUAGUAAGUCUAUAGCAUAUCUAAAAUACAUAUAAAAGAAUCAUAUAAUUCUUAAAAUAAAUUUAUUGAAAUCACAAUUAUCAAUUAUAAUUACUAAUCGAACAUUGCUAUAUUAAGUCAUCUUGUUUAAAUCUAAAAGGAUGUGUAUUUAUCUAAUACACAUGAACGGACAAAUGUAUAUACAUUAUAUGCAUAUAAUCAAUUUACUAACAUAAUCAUUAAUUGCAUAUACGGAUUUCUAUAGUACUUAUUGUUCGCACUUCAUCGGAUCCAUUUAAAUAUAAUUGUUCAAAUACAUAUACCAAAAGCAUAAUAAUUUUAUACUUGAUCAACUAUAAGUGCCGAAUGCACAUAUACACCUAUACCCACCUAUGCCGAAUGCAUACAUAUAUACACAUAUAUAUAUAUCCAACAAUUUCAUGACAACCGAUAUAUAUAUACAUACUCACUAUUCACAAGGACUCGAACGAUUAUAUACUCAUCAACCACCUUAAAACAAUGUUCAUAAACUUAUCCAUUUCAUAUAAACAAAAGCAUAUAUAUUUAUACCCAAUGCAUAGAAUCACUUAAUUUAAACAGAUUCACUGGCACUUCACCUGAUAGGCUUAUAGUUUAAUUCAGUUCACCGGCACUUAGCCUACUAGGCUUGUAGCCUGAUUCAGUUCACCGGCACUUAGCCUGCUAGACGUAUAGUCCGAUUCAAUUCACCGGCAUUUAGCCUGCUAGACGUAUAGUCCGAUUCAAUUUACCGGCACUUAGCCUGCUAGAUGUAUAGUCUGAAUAAUUUUACUGGUAAUAAAUCCGAUAGUCAUUUCUCCGUUGAAAUUGAAUUAUAUUCAAUUCUGCGUAACAAACAUGCACUUAAAACAUACUUGCAUAAUUCACAACAAUAAUUUCAGUCCAAAGAGCUGUAAUUCAUAUUCGAACUAUAUAUAUAUAAAUCCAUACAUAAAAAUUCAGCUCAAAAUUUAUAACCUAUAUCUUUGAACCACAUAGGUACAUGAAAUUCAAACAACAAAAUCCAGCUCAAUAACUUCAUGAUUCAACCUAACAAAUUUAUGUAUAUAACUUUUUAUCUAAUUUCAAUACAAUAACUUAUACAUGUACGUAUAUACAUAUUUGAAUCUAACAUAUACAUAUAUAAUUUCAUACUUAAAUAUAUUCAAGACUUAUUCAUGAGUAUACAUAUAUAUUACAACUCACAUGUACAUAUAUAUACACAUUCAUACCUUUAACCAAGUCCAAGGCUUUAUACAUGUAUAUGCUUAUAUAUAUAUAUAUUCGGACCUUAUGUUUACAUAUAUAUUAUAUAUAAAUACCUUUGAUUAAAAACAAGUAUUUAUACAUAUAUAUAUUUUCGAACAUGAUACAUACAUAUAUUUAUAUCAUUCAUACUUAAACAAAAUUCAAUCCAUAUACUUUCAAUUUCAGCUCACCAAAUUACUAUAGAUAUACAUGCAUAUAUACUGAUUUAAUAACCUCAAAUUGCUAAUAGACUUACCUCGGAUAUCAGCGGACACGAUCGACUAUUCGAUUACUUUCGUUUUUCCCCGAUCCAAAUUCGUUUUCUUCGUUUUUUUAUCUUAAUUAGACCUAGAGAUAGCCGAACCUUGUUGUUCUCUUUUCUUUUCUUUUCUUUUUCUUUUCUAUAUUCGGCCAAGAUGAAGAACAUGGCAUUUAAAAUUUGUUAUAUUAAACAUAUAUUAGCCUUAUUUUUAAUUUACUAUAUUAACCUUUACAUAUAUAUAACAUAUAUAAUAAGGUUACAUUAGUCCUUUGCCACCCACUAACUUACAUAGUGGACUAAUUGCAUAGUAAAACCUCUAAAUUAUAAAGACAACAACAAUUAGGUGCUUUUAUAAUUAACCCCUAAAUUUUCAUUUUACGCGAUUAAGCCCUUUUAUUAAAUCGGACACUUAAACAACGAAAUUAAAACACGAAAAUUUCACACAAUCAAAUGCAUACAAAAUAAUAUUAAUAAUAUUUUUCUAAUUCAAAUUUGUGGUCCCGAAACCAGUAUUCUGAUUAGGGUCAAAAACUGGGUUGUUACAACUCUCCCCCCUUAGGGAUUUUCGUCCCCGAAAAUCUUACCGGUGAAUAGGUUUGGAUAACGCUCUUUCAUUGUAUCUUCUGACUCCCAAGUUGCUUCUUCAACCCCAUGUUUAUGCCACAACACUUUAACUAACGGAAUUUUCUUAUUUCGUAAUUCUUUGAUCUCACGAGCCAGAAUGCUAAUCGGUUCUUCCUCAUAUGUCAUAUCAGAGUUAAUUUCAAUCUCCGUCGGACUAAUCACAUGUGAAGGAUCAGAUCGGUAUCCACAGAGCAUUGAAACAUGGAAUACGUUAUGAAUCUUUUCUAACUCAGGCAGUAACAUCAAUCUAUAACCAACCGAUCCAACUCGCUCUAUAAUCUCAUACGGUCCAAUGAAUCUCGGACUCAAUUUGCCUUUACGACCAAAUCUGAGUAUUUUCUUCCACGGUGAGACUUUUAAAAACACUUUAUCCCCGAUCUGAAAUUCUAUAUCCUUUCUUUUCAAAUCCGCAUAAGAUUUCUGACGAUCCGGUGCUGAUUUCAGACUGUCCCGAAUCACUUUCACUUUCUGUUCGGUCUCUUUAAUCAAAUCAACCCCGUGUAUCUUAUUUUCACUGAGCUCAGUCCAAUACAGUGGUGUACGACAUUUACGACCGUACAAAGCCUCAUAAGGUGCCAUUUUGAUACUAGAUUGAAAGCUAUUAUUAUAAGCAAAUUCAAUCAAAGGUAAGUAUCGUUCCCACGUACCUUCAAACUCGAGAAUGCAACAUCUCAACAUAUCCUCAAGUAUCUGAAUGAUUCGUUCAGAUUGACCAUCUGUCUGCGGAUGGAAAGCUGUGCUAAAAUGUAGUUUCGUACCUAAAGCUGUGCUAAAAUGCACACAAAAUAAACACACAAAAUAAUAUUAAUAAUAUUUUUCUAAUUCGGAUUUGUGGUCCCGAAACCACUAUUCCGAUUAGGGUCAAAAACCGGGUUGUUACAAUUCUGCUUCUUCUGCAUCAUCAUCUUUGGUAGCUCGAAAUUCUUCAGCCCCUUACUUCCUAAUCUUAUCAACAGGUGGUCUCUCACUGAUGACUAUACCUGCAGCUAGGGAAACUACAUGAGGAACCUGUGAAUCCUGAAGGGGUGGAGGUCUUACACCCGGAUUCAUACGAACGAACUCGGCAAACCAAUCAUUCAUGGCUUGGAAGAAGGCUUCUCUAGCUCCUCCUCCCUGUCUAACUGAUGCAGGUCUUUCACUAACGUUAACAUCUAGUGGCACCGUCCUUUCUGCGGAAGUAGGCGCAUUACUCUCUACUUCAUCUGCACCAGCUCGUUCAGGAUCCGUAACUAUAAAAUAAAAUAUUUUAAAAUCGUCAAGAGUCGUCACACUAUCAAAAUAUAUAAGUAUGGCAUGUAUAGGUAGACUUUUAUUCAUACUGCAUAUUUCUGAGAACCGAUUAAACCUGCUCUGAUACCAACAAAUGUAACACCCCUUACCCAAGACCAUUUUCGGAGUCGAGCACGAGGCAUUACUUAUCUUAUCUUACUAACUCGAAGCAUAAAAACUUAUUUUAAAAAUUAAUUUCACUAUUUACAGCAAUCUGUCCAAUCGAGCAGCAGUUACUAAAUUAAUAAUAACUCGAGCUACGGAACUUGAAAUUUAACUUCGUAAAUUUUCACUGAAACUAGACUCAUAUAUCUUCCUACCAUAAAGUUUUUAGGAUUUUUUGUUUAGCCAACUAGUACAGUUUAUUAGUCAAAUUCUCCCCUGUUUCACCAAUCGAUUGCCUUGACCUCUUAUCACUAAAAAUAAAAUUUCUCAAUGUGGGAUUUUCGUAUAGUGCUACUGCUUGCUUCUACAAAAAAUAGACUCAAUAAGGAAUCUAUAAAUAUAAACUACAGCUCCUAAAUAUUUUUUUAAAAAUUUUAAUGAUUUUCUAAACUCAAAAUAGGGGUCACCAAAAACUGUUCUAACCCUGUCUCACCAAAAUUCACAUAUCUUAAAAUAUAAAAUUCAUUUUGCUACACCGUUAUUUUUAUCUGAAAAUAGACUCAACAAGAUUUAAAUUCAUAUAUCAUUCACUCUUUAAUUCAUUUUAUACUAUCCUAGGUGAUAUUUCAAAGUCACGUCGUUGUUGCUGCCUGAAUUCUGUUUCUUUGCAAAAUUGUACCAUUUUAUGAUUUCCAUGCAUAGUUUAUCACUUACACUCUUAUAACAACAAACACUUCCAUACUUCACCAUUUUAGCAACCAUUCAUCAUCAACUACUUACAUAUCAUUCUUUAUCAAGAUCAUAAAUACAAACAUUUAAAAUAACUAAAUCCCUAUACAUUCCAUACUCAACAUGGUUCAACAUAAAAAUACCGAGUUGCUGUGGCUGAUAGUGUGGACGAUCUCCGACUUCUUUAGGAUCCUUGAAGUAACCUUGCAAUACUAUAAGAGAAAGAGAAAUAAAAGACGUAAGCAUAAAGCUUAGUAAGUUUACUAGCAAAUAAAUAACAAUAUUUAACUCAGAUAAUUAAACUCAAGUGUCUAUAUCUCUAGUUUACUCUUUAGUUAAUCCCAUUCUAGUUCUCUUGCUUGUUUACUUAGUAUACUUGUGUGCAUAACUUAAUCUUCUCUUGCUGUAUCGUUGAAUAUCAAUUGAUAAUAUAAUAAGUUCUUAACUCUUAUAACUUACCUGAACUUGCCAUUUAUGUUUUUAACUGAACUUUCCUGAACAUGAUUCGUUAUUUAGCCCGUUGAGCUACAUUGGAACAAUAAGGAUACUCGGGUCUCUUCUGAUAAUAACAUGCCAAAGCCAUGUCCCAGACAUGGUCUUACAUGGGAUGUACUCAUGUCGGUGCCCAUUCCAUGUCCCAGACAUGGUCUUACGGGGGACCUCUCAUCUCGGUGCCAAUGUCAUGUCUCAGACAUGGUCUUACAUGGGACCUCUCAUCUCGGUGCCAACACCAUGUCCCAGACAUUGUCUUACAUGGGACCUCUCAUUUCGGUGCCAACGCCAUGUCCCAGACAUGGUCUUACAUGGGACCUCUUUAUCCAAAUGUCAUGACAUUCGUAUCCAGUAUUAUCCUUAUGUAUCAACGGGACUUUUUAAUUUUAAUUCUCUAUCAUUUCAUGCUUGGAUAAUCAUCAAAUAAAUUCAUGAAAUAAAUUCAUAGUUGCUGGAAAAUAGCAGCAUUAAUAAAAAUUAUUGAAAUAUUUCAUUUAUUUACCGUAAACUUACCUUGGUACCGAAUAUAGCCCAAUUCACCAACUUAGUCUUCAACUUUAUUCUUUCCUUUGUCUAACCUCGAGUUUCAUUCUUCUUGAUCUAAAAUAGAAAAUUUAACUUAUUUAAUACUCACAUUCAUCAAAACAGCCCUCGACUCUAACUUUUCAAAAUUAUGAUUUUGCCCCUAAACUUUUACAUAAUUACAUUUUUCCCCAAGGCUCGAAAAUUCAACUUCAUCUCAUAUUCUUAUGUUUUAUGGCAUGCUGAAUAUUUUUCUCUUCUAUGACAAUAUCAAAUUCUCACUCUAACACUUACUUAUGUACAUUAGAGAUUUUUACCGAUUAUGUCAACUUACUCGUUUUUGCUUAAAAUCGGCUAACAAAAGUUGUUUAACAUAAUUUAUAGCUUCAUAUUCUAUCAUAAAACAUCAAAAUAAACACUUUUCACCUAUGGGUAUUUUUCCAAAUAUAAACCCUAGGUUAAAUUAUUGCUAGAAUAAGCUAAAUUAAGUUACCGGGACUCCAAAAACGUAAGGAACAUUAAAAACGGGGCUUGGGAUCACUUACUAUGGAGCUUGGAAGCUUGAAAACCCUAAAUAUGGCUUACCCCCUUGCUGAUUUCGUCCAAAUGAAGAAGAUGAGCAUAAUUUGUCAUCUUUUUCCCUUUUAAUUCAUUUUAAUUACUAGAUUACCAAAUUGCCCCUAACUUAAAAAUUUCCUAUUUCACUUAUCUCAUGUCCAUUUUUGUCUAAAAACUUAACCAAUGGUCUAAUUACCAUAUAAAGACCUCCAAUUUAAAGUUUCAUAACAAUUGGACACCUCUAACAUGUAGAACUCAACUUUUGCACUUUUUGCAAUUUAGUACUUUUGACUAAAUUGAGUGCCCAAACUUCAAAAUUUUCGAAUAAAAUUUUCAUGAAAUCAUUUUGUGAAAUCAUAGACCAUAAAAAUAUAAGAAAAAUAAAAUUUUCCUCAUCGGAUUUGUGAUCCCGAAACCACUGUUCCGAUAAUCUUAAAUUUGGGCCAUUACAUGAUCACCUUUUUACUAGCUCAUACAUCUCCUACAUCAGACCUUACAUGCAUGCUUACCAAACUUUAUUCUUUUUAACAAAACUUUAUACAUAUCAUCGUAGCACAUCUUUCAUCUUUACUAAACUCAUAUUUUUACCAAUUUCUGUAGACAUCAUCAUCAUCAUCCUAUAUAUAUGCUUCUUGUUUGAACAGUUCAUAUCAAAGAGUCAAGAUAGAGACCCACUUGACACUCACCUACUGCAGUUCAAAGCUCUAAACUUAACCAUCCUUCUCAAACCAGCAGUAAAAACUGCUUAUAGAACAUAGAAUCACCAUUAAAAACCCAUUUACAUACAAAUUACUAUCAUCUUAAUCACUUUUCCACUGUUAAUUUAUAAAUAAGUGUUAAGUAGUAAAUAAAUAAAAAAAUUAACUAAGUUUUCAAAAAAAAAGUCACUGUGACGAGAAGAAUGUUAAAAUUAAUUGGUGUUUGUUAACUCAUAUGUUUUUCUAAAAAUGGGUUAAGUUUUCUUCUGAAAUAAACAAAUGUUUUAAAAUGAUUGUUUUAUAAACUCCGAUCGUACUAUCCCAUCUUGGUGGCUGAUGUAAUAUCCCAAAUUCAGGUCUAACAUCUAAGUCGGGUUGGAUAGGUUACAAUAUAUAUAGAAAGAUUGAUAAAUAAUGCAAACUUGAAUACAAGCAAAGAAAGAAAUCAAUCAAUGUGAAUGACUAACAAGUUUAAAAUCAUAUAUUUGCAUUAUAUUUUGUAAAGCACAAGAUUGUCAUGGAAUUAGACAAUUUGUUUUGAUAAUGGUUAUAUUUUAUAUAGAUUUACUUUUAUGCACUUUCAUAUUGAGUUGAUCAAAAGUUUUGAAACUUUAUAGAAAAUUUGAAUGAAAGAGCAUAUUGAUAUAUAUGCUAUCUUGAGUGUUGAAUUAAGCAUUCUUUAGUAAAAGAGUGUACAUUUCGCACAUGGUAGGUGUGUUGGUUUCUUAUAUAUUAAUUAAGCACAAAUUAAAGAAAAAUAAUAUAUAUCACCAUAGUGUUGUAAUAUUUUGUAUAAUUUGUGAAAUUAUACAAGCAAAUAAGUUUACCUAUCUUGUUAAAUAAAACUCAUUAAGUUGGUUCUUAAUCUUGAAGAAUUAAAUAGGUUGGCUUCUUUAUUCAUUUUAUCCAACUACAAGUUAGAUUAAAGUUGUGGAAAUAGAAUGGUUGAAAAUUUGUGUUAAUGAGAAUUAGAGUUAUGGCCACAACUGAUGCCAACUAUUUCCUAAAAACAGGGAAUGAUGUCCAAAAACAUGCUGUAAAAUAAAAAUUUGGACAUGUUAGAAUAUGAAUUUAUUAUAUUAUAGUUUCAAUGUAAUACCCUUAUCCCAUCUCUGUUGCCGGAUUAGGAUUUCAGAGUAUUACUGAGAAAAAUAGAACAUUUAACUUUCCAACAGAAACAAUUGUACAAUUAAAUACCAACAUAUAACAAUUGAAUCUAAUCAUGGCAAAUAUUACACUUUUGGACCUUGAAUCGAGCCUAUGGGGCCCUAGAAACAGUUUAGGAACAAUCUGGGAUCAAAUCAAAACAAAUCAGAACAUUUUGAAAAAACAUAAAAAUUUAGGAAUACAGAGGUCACAGGCCAUAUGGCCAAGUCGUGUGACAUAGCCUAGAUUGUGUAAACAUCCGAAGUCAGGACACAUAGCUGUGUCCCAGCCUGUGUGUCUACUCAUGUGUAUAUUUGAAAUAGGGUCACACAGUCGUGUUGCAGACUGCCAAACGUGUGUGUAUUCAAAGUGAGGUCGCAAGACCAUGUGGCCGACCGUGCCACAAACUGUUUUGAGACACAAGGUCAUGUCUCAGACCGUGUAAAACAUGCACUUAAAAUAAUAAAUACACACGACCGUAUCUAGUGACUAUGUGUGGCACAUGGUCGUGUGGUAGCUUGUGUCUCAGGUCGUGUGCUCCAUUUUUAACCCCUAAAUCAAGCCAAUCAAGCAUCAUUUCUUAUACAACAAGACAUACCAUAUCUAACUAAUUUUACAUGGUUAAAAACACAUUCAAAUCAACAAAUACAUGCCAAAAUUUCGUUCAUCCUAUGUCUAACCAAUAUGCCAUCAAAAGGCACCUCAAUCCAUACAUCCAUUCAACUCAAGAACAAAGUUACAAUAAAUGAACAAGUUUUAUCAUUAGUUAACCAUUCAUGCCUAAAACCACUAAUCUAAUUGACCAAAAUAUGGGCAUACUCAACAAGCAACCAUUUCAAAACAUCAUCAUCAAAUCUUUAUAUACCAUUUAUGAUCAACUUAAUUAUAUUCAACACAAGUACACAUCCAAAAUCAAGCACAUCACUAAGUAUGCCAAAAUAACUUAACUAUUUACAUAUCAACAAUAAGACACCAUAUCCCAAAAUGAAAUAAAAAAGCUACCAAGAUGGUUGGAUAGUGUGUGCUCCAAAACAAUUCAUCCGGUUAGUCCACAAAACGCCAAAUCAACCAAUAUAGAUAAACAAAAAGGUAAGUUCUAAUUCUUGAUAUUCAAAUGCAAGAUCACACCACAUUAGUAUAUAUUUAUUUACAUCAUAAAUGAUACCUUCCAAAAUUCAUAACCAAUUCAUCAUCCACAAUUUCUCAAUACAACCAUUAAUAUUUAUAAACAAGAACUUCAUAGUAACAUUUAUCAUUUAGUAGUAAUAUAAUUAUCCAACAAAAUUGAACAAAUAAAUGCGUUUUAAGUCAUUUGAUACAUAGCCUGCUGAACUAUAGUAACUUGACUCGGAUACUCAUGAUACUACAUCACACCAAAGGUAUCAAUGAUGCAUAACAGAGGCACCGAAGUGCAGACAAAUGCAUGAAUGUGCAAUCAGAGGCACCGAAGUGAAAACAGAUGCACCAAAGUACAAACCCGUACGAGUGCGCAUUAAAACCCUAUUGGCAUGCUAAUCGUAUCCUAAUUGUUUACUACGUUCAACUGGGCAUUAUACUUAAAAUCAUAAUAUCAAUAAAUCCAUCAUUUAGAGGCACUUCUUAUUUCCGUACACAUACUAUAAAUAUGUAACUUUCAUUUCAAUAAUAUGCAAUAACAAUAAUUACCAUCAUCAAACAUUCAUUUUCUAUUUGUACUUAAUUGCAAAAUUUAAUAAUAUAUAAGUAACUCAUGAAAUUUCACAUAUAUACCAUUAACUAGAAAACAAUAAUAUAAUCAUAAAGUGACACACAUAUACAUAUUAUUACACUAUGAACUUACCUAAAAUCUACUUUCGAUUAAUACACAGGGACUACUCCGCUAUUUUUUCCCUUUUCUCGGUUAUUGUCUUUUUGACUCGGUUCUUGAUCUAUAUAGUAAUUAAAUUCAAUUUAUGAAAUUCACAUACAUUUAAAACUCAAUUCAAUGCAUGAUACCCUUAUGUUUUCAUUAUUUUCACAUUUUUCUUAAACUUUUACAUUUCUCACAAUUUAGUCCCUACAAAAUUUAACAAAAUUUUACAAUUUUCCAUGUUAGUUGAACUUCUUUCGAAACUAGUACAAUCCCUAAUUAUUCACAAUUCACAAAAUUUCUAUGCAAAUUUUAAUAAUUCACACAUUGAUCAUUAAACUCAAAAUUAACACAAAUUUUUUUACAAAAAUAUCCUAAUCAACAUUCAAAUAUGUACAACUACCAUUAAAAAUCAUGAACACCAAAAUUCCAUUACUAACCAAUCCCUAAAACUUUAACAUUUUUAUAAUUCCAUCCUCGGGUUUAAUAGUUUAAGUUACAACGAGUUCAAAAACGUAAAAAUUAUUAAAAACAGGUAAGAGAAACACUUACAUGCACCAAUUUGCUAACCGAAACUUCAAGCUCCAAAAAUGGAGUUUUUUUUUUCUUUUUCGGUGGGAGAGAGUUGAGAAGAUGAUGAUACCAUUUUUUUCUUUUGUUUCUUUUCUUUAAUCAAACUAAUUACUAAAUUAUCCUUUUAAUCUAAACUAAAUUAUUAACAUAGCAUGUCCGUAAUUAUCCAUUAACUAACCAUAAGGUUUAUCUAUCAACCAAGUCCAUUACUUUAGUUUUUCUUUAAAAAUCAAGCACAUUUAACAAAUAGAAGCCACUUUAGCAUCUUUUACAAUUUAGACCUUUUUACUAAAUUAACUAAACAGACAUUAAAAUUUCUUAGCCAAAUUUUAUUAUGACUCCAAUAUAACUCUAUAAGCAUAAAAUAAACAUAAAAUACUAACUCAUUUGUCGAAAUUGUGGUCCUGAAACCACCUUUUUUGAUACCACUGAAAAAUGAGAUAUUACAUUAAAUCUCUAAUUUAUGAUAAUGAAUGUGAGAGAAUAAUUUUCUUUGUUUAGAAAUACUAAUCAUUUUCUUUGUUUAGUAAUACUACAACUAGAAUGUGUUUCGACCCUAUUAUUAGAAACUAAUAAUGGAAACCCAACUUUUAAUUAGAAACCUCUAAUUUUAAAGUUUAAUAGGUAACACCCCGAAUUUUGGCCCUAGAAGAAAUAUGUUUUGAACAAGGGAACAGUUAGGAGACUGCACAUAAAUAUUUAGUUGUGCAAGGAAGUGACAUAAAUGAAUGUCUACUUCAGUGGUUGAGUGAUUUAGGAGUGUUUGGAACUGUCUGAGAAGUCAGGGAUUCAAGCAUUGCUUAUGCAAAAUUUUUAUUUUAAGUGAAUAAAAUCAUUGGAUCUAGAUAGUAAGUUCUUAAAUUAUUGUGGUUAAAAUAUGAUGCAAAAGAGUUGUUGGUCUAGUGGUAAGGGGUGUGUGGAGUGCACAUAGGGCCUAAGGUUCGAGUGGUGGCGCAUCAGAAAGGAAAUAUUUAUUUUGCUACUUGAGCUGUUUAGGUAGUGGAGUUGGACUGAAACACAACUAAGGGGAGUUUGCAUAGAAUUUGAAUGGAGUUGUUGGGGGAGUUGAGGAGAAACCGGUAGAAUAAUUUAAGGAGGGAUAAGGGGAGAGAUUUUAGGAGAAAAUCAAGGGAAGUGAGGGGAGUGAAGAAGUGUGCCGAAAGUGGACUUUGAUACUCAGGAAAUUUGGCCAGAAGGGAUACUGCUCAUUUUGGUAUACUUUUCAUUUCGGUUUUGUGUAGUGUUUCUCUCUCUUUUUGCUUUUUGGUGCCGAAUUUUUGCUAAGAUUUCGAGUACCACUCGGGUUUUUCUUUUGCUGCUUUUUUCUUUUAUCAUUUCUUUUGUUUUGGCCGAAUUUCUUUUUAGUUCCCUCCUUUGUCGAAUUCUUUUCUCUCUUCUCUUUGUUGCUUCUUUUCAUUUCUCUAUUUUUCCAAACCUUGACCGAACAGUGUUGAAGUAGUUCUGUGUUCCAUCUUUUGUCUAAAAUGCUCUUCUUCCUCUACUCCUUUUGAUCAACUAUUUGUCGAAUAUUGCCUUCUCUCCCCUUUUAUCUCUUUAAAUUUAUUUUCGGCUUGACAACAAUUCUCUAACAGUUCAAAUUUCUUGAGGAGUGAAAAAGUAUCGCAUAAUAUUAAAGUCAUCGAAACCUUUCUCUCAUCACUCGAUCAAAGGUAAGUAUGUAGGCUAGCAUUCUAAAGUGUAGGCUGAGUGCUUUCUAUGGUUUCAUAAGUUAUUAUGUUUGGAUUUAAACCACAUGAAUAAACAAUCCUAUUUAAUAAAAUCCGUUUGUAAUGCAGAUAUCCAUCAAAGAGAUUGUAGUCAACCUUCGUCAGUGAUAUAAGUAGGCUAAGUCACAUUUGACAAUCGAGGCUUUGGUGCUCGUGGAUCUUAGAGUGUUUUCACAAUCAGGUGUGUAAACACCCCACUGUAACCGUAGAACGACAAAAAGCUAAAAGGCCAAAAAUACGGUGUUUGAGACCACACAGGCGUGCGAUCUCUCAUGUGGUAAGCCCAACCCACAAAUCAUGGCCGAUAGACUGUAGAGGCCUCCAUGAACAUUUCCAUGGGCUUAGGCCGUAAUGGGCCACGUUGGGCCGAAAUGGGUCGUGUGGGUUCAAUAGGCUCGUGGGCACCAUACAGAUGAGAACCACGAUUUGUGAAAAAUACUGGACUGGGCUAUGAAGAUCUCAUAGCCGUGGAAAAAUCUGGGCUGAACAGGCCGCACAAGCGUGCGGGCCUACUUGGGCCGAGUAAUGGGCCUUAGGCCCAUUUGUACCAUUAUGACCAUUUAGGUUACCUGAGUCGCUCGAGGUAACUACGGACCUUUCGAGAGGUCGAUAUCUGCACCAAGACCCAAAAUAGGUAAAAUGAUCGAAAUACCCCUAUAGAGUAAAAUGACCGAAAUACCCCCAAAGGAUAAAAUGAUUGAAAUACCCCUAUAAGGUAAAACGAUCGAAAUACCCCCGUAGGAUAAAAUAACUAUUAUACCCCUAGAAGAUGAAAUGACUGUUAUGGCCUUAUGCUAUGUAUGACUGUUUUGCUCUAUGAUAUGUAUGACUAUGGUUGAGCAUGACAUUUUUCAUACACGUAUGAUAUUAUGUCAUGAUAUAUUGCAUGGGGAUGGAUUGUUAUAUUUGGAGGAAGUGUACUGUACUGACAAGGUUGCACGGGUCGCCCAAGACGACUGUGGACCUACUGAUGGCUAUAUGCCAUUUAUUUUACUGGCAGCUUUGCUGCAAUACUGUUUAAUGCUGCAACUGGUGCUAAUCUUGGUGUGUUUGGAUGGAUGGGUAGAUUUUAUCCCCCAUAUGGUGUGUUUGGCGGAACUGUAACACCCUUAACCUGAAUCCAUUCUGACAUUGUCUCACAAAAUUUAUUAUAUCUCAUAGUUUACAAUUUUAUUACUUACACCAUUUCUUCCAUGAGAAACUAGACUCAAUAAGUUUUAAUUCUAUAUUUUAUUCAUACUCUAAUUCGAUUUUCAUAAUUUAUGGUGAUUUUUCAAAGUGAGCCUACUGUUGUUGUCCAAAACUAUUUUAGUACAAGAUGUUUAUUACCAUGUUUAUAACACCCUUAUUUUCUUUCUCUACACUAUUUCUCAUCCCUUUCUCUUAUUUUCUCUUCACUUACAUAUUAAGAACAUAGGACCAUAUAUACAAAAAAACUUUACACUAACAUCAUUUCCAUACUUUUUCAAUAAUAUCAAACUUAAAAAUAUACUAAAAUCUUGAUGUACUUACCUUGUCAUAUUGAUUUUAAUCUUUAACUUGAUUUUCUCUCUCCUCCAGCUUCUAUUUCUUGAAUCUAACUUGAUAUUAUAGCUCCCCAUAGUCUCCUUGUAAUCUUUCUCUCUUGAUGGAUAUGGAAAUUCUUUUGAUUUCUAGAUGAAAAUAGUGAAUUUUUGGUGAAAGGACUAAAUUGUAAAGAAAGCAAAACUUUCUUUCUUCUCUUCUCCUCUUAACGUGAAUUGCAUGGAAAAGAUGGUGGGUUGGUUCCUUUUCAUCUUUCUUUCCACAUAUAUAUACUAAAUAAUAAAAUAAUAAAAUAUCAUUUAAAAAUCAAAUUAAAAUACUAAUAAACUAAUAUUUAUUUGUUUAUUUAAUCUAAAAUAUCUCCAACAUCAUCAUUAUCUUCUAGAUUUCUCUCUCUUCUAAUUGACCAUUUUGCCCUUCAUGAUAUUUUAAAAUUCCAUCCUUGAGUCAUCACUUAAUUUCGUAAAAUUUCAAUUUAGUCCCUCAAAAUUCCUCACCUUUUUUCAAUUUAGUCCUAAUACAUCCAUUUUCCUUAGUUUCUAGAUCAUUCCACCCUUAAAAUAUUUACACCAUUGGUCCUUCAAUUUUUUCAUAUUUACACUUUAACCCCUCAAUUUUUGAGUAUUUACUCUUGGGCAACAAAAUUUUUACGAUUUAAUCCUUUCUUGAGGUAAUAUGUCAUAAUAUACUUCCCAAUGUUGACAUAACUCCAAAAUUCCCUUUUUUGUCGCUUUAUUUCCUUAUUUUUUUAUAUCAAAGAUAAUAUCUUACUGUAAAAAUUUUUUUGGGGGGUAUUACAUUUCUCUCCCCCUCAAAAUAAAUUUCGUCCUCGAAAUUUCCUUAUUUUCUUUUGAUCAUGAACUUAUUUUUUCUUUAAUUCUAUAGUUCAUUUUUUUUGCAUAUAUUUACUUAGCUUAUCAUUUGUGUCUAUUCUUUAUUCUUUCAUUUCACAAUUUAUUUUUAAUUUAAUAUUUCAAACAUGAAUCAGAGAUAAACUUUUACCUUGUAACUAAAAUUAUUUACCUUUUUACCUGAGGCCCAGUGGACUAAAUAGAACACGUAGGAUAUAUGAAAUUGAUACAGAAGUGCUCUGUUAUACAUCAUUAAACAGAGAGCACUAAAGUGUUAUACGGGAGCAUAAAUGUGCUAAUAAUUGGAGAGCACUAGCGUGCUAUUAAUCAGAGAGUGCGCUAAGGUUCCUUAAUGAUAUACUACUAAUAUCCUAAUAGUUCUAAUCUCAUCUACUUGGGCAAAUUAUAUCAUGCAUGCAUACGACUUUUACACUUUGCGCAUAAUGCUUUUACAUACUUUACAAUUUAAACCUUGUACCAAUGAUUCGUAUAUUUAUACCUUCUCUACCUUUAAUACAUGUAAUAUAUUUCAAAAUUCACUAAUAAUCCAUAUAUAUCAUGUACUUCAUAUAUCAUUUUUACAUAUUAUGCAAUUUAGUCAUCAGCGCAAUAUUUCUUGUAGCAAUAUGUUUUUCUUUUAAUGACACAUAUAACAUUCAUCAUCGACAUGUAUUAUAAAACAUUUAUUCAUACUUUCAUGAGUUCCAAUUCAUCCUAAUCAAUUUUUUUUACUCAUAUACUUGAGUAUCACUUUCAACAUUAUCAGAAUUAGCUCGGUUAGGAAAACAUCUCUGUUUAUAAGUAAAACAAUUCUCAUCAGACUCGAGAGAUAUCACACUAUCACAGGUUACAUAAUGGCAUGCAUUUCUAGACUUCACAUAAGCUACGUUUGGUCCAAGAACCGACUAAAUCGUAGCUCUGAUACCAAUAAAUGUAACACUCUUAACCCGAAUCCAUUCUGACAUUGUCUCACAAAAUUUAUUAUAUCUCAUAGUUUACAAUUCUAUUACUUACACCAUUUCUUCCAUGAGAAACUAGACUCAAUAAGCUUUAAUUCUAUAUUUUAUUCAUACUCUAAUUCGAUUUUCAUAAUUUAUGGUGAUUUUUCAAAGUGAGCCUACUGUUGCUGUCCAAAACUAUUUUAGUACAAGAUGUUUAUUACCAUGUUUAUAACACCCUUAUUUUCUUUCGCUACACUAUUUCUCAUCCCUUUCUCUUAUUUUCUGUUCACUAACGUAUUAAGAACAUAGGACCAUAUAUACAAAAACUUUACAUUAACAUCAUUUCCAUACUUUUUCAAUAAUAUCAAACUUAAAAAUAUACUAAAAUCUUGAUGUACUUACCUUGUCAUAUUGAUUUCAAUCUUUAACUUGAUUUUCUCUCUCCUCCAGCUUCUAUUUCUUGAAUCUAACUUGAUAUUAUAGCUCCCCAUAGUCUCCUUGUAAUCUUUCUCUCUUGAUGGAUAUGGAAAUUCUUUUGAUUUCUAGAUGAAAAUAGUGAAUUUUUGGUGGAAGGACUAAAUUGUAAAGAAAGCAAAACUUUCUUUCUUUUCUCCUCUUAACGUGAAUUGCAUGGAAAAGAUGGUAGGUUGGUUCCUUUUCAUCUUUCUUUCCACAUAUAUAUACUAAAUAAUAAAAUAAUAAAAUAUCAUUUAAAAAUCAAAUUAAAAUACUAAUAAACUAAUAUUUAUUUAUUUAUUUAAUCUAAAAUAUCUCCAACAUCAUCAUUAUCUUCUAGAUUUCUCUCUCUUCUAAUUGACCAUUUUGCCCUUCAUGAUAUUUUAAAAUUCCAUCCUUGAGUCAUCACUUAAUUUCGUAAAAUUGCAAUUUAGUCCCUCAAAAUUCUUCACCUUUUUUCAAUUUAGUCCUAAUACAUCCAUUUUCCUUAGUUUCUAUAUCAUCCCACCCUUAAAGUAUUUACACCAUUGGUCCUUCAACUUUUUCAUAUUUACACUUUAACCCCUCAAUUUUUGAGUAUUUACUCUUGGGCAACAAAAUUUUUACGAUUUAAUCAUUUCUUGAGGUAAUAUGUCAUAAUAUACUUCCCAAUGUUGACAUAACUCCAAAAUUUCCCUUUUUGUCGCUUUAUUUCCUUAUUUUUUUAUAUCAAAGAUAAUAUCUUAGUGUAAAAAAAAAUUUUUUGGGUAUUACAGGAACAGAGUGGUGUGUAGAGGCUGGAUUGGGUAGGAUUUCUAACUGCAUAUCUACACUAAUUAAUGAUUUUGUAUUGUUACUACAUCGAUUAAUGAUAUUACAUACUGUUUACUGCAUGACUGAUAUUUGUUGCUGUUAUGGGCCAAGGCCCCACUGAUACUAUUACUGAAAUUGGGCAAAUGCCCUAUUGAUUAUUGGUAUUGUGAUGGGCUCAAGCCCAAUCGUUUAAUGUUACGGGAAAGGGCUUAGGCCCACACUGAACUGGACUGUUACUAUAACAGGCUCAGGCCCAAACUGUAUUUAUCUAUUGUUUAAUUGACUACUUACUUGUUAGGGGAUUGCACACUGAGUUUUCGUAAACUCAACCCGUUGUUUAACUGUACAGGUAAUCCCUAGUUGUAGUAGGGUCAGUGCUGCGAGGGACUCGAUGAUGGCCACACAACUGCAUCAGCUUUUGUUUUUAGCCUUUGAUUUAUAAGAAACUGAAUUUGGGUAUUUUUAUGUAAAAAGGCCUCUUUAAAGUUAUAAACUUUAAAUUGGGGUUUUUAUUUAUUUAGUUUGAUAUAAACUACUAGUUGUAGAAAAAGACGGGUUUUCAAAAGGUAAAUGUUUUCAAAGUUUCAAAAGGUAAAUGUUUUCAAAGACACCACGUUUUCGCAACAUUUCUAAAAAAAAACUUCCGCAAUGAAUGAGAUUUUGGAAAAUUUAUAACGUUUUAAAAGUGAUUAGCUUUUAAUGAUGCAUGCUUGGAAAUGAACAACCCGUUUUGGAAUCAUAGUUUAACAGCAAAAUGAUUAAUUGAUUUUAAAGAUUUCAACGACAACAAGUUUUACGCUAAACACCUUAAAGUGACACCGCCAGAUUCAACCAUAACUCCUAGGCCGGGUUUGGGGUGUUACAAUGUGUUUCAACCCUAUUAUUAGAAACUGAUACCCUAUUAUUAGAAACUGAUAAUGGAAACACAACUUUUAAUUAGAAACCUCUAAUUUUAAAAUUCAAUAGGUAAAAGCAAGUUAUCGUUAAGUGCCUGUGAUACGCUAGUAAAACUCAUUCUAGAAAAAAAAGUUUAAUGGAAACAAUUGUUAUCCAUUGCGUAUAGAGGAUGAAUUUGAAUACUAUUAAUUAAGUUCAUUGUUUAUUGUUUAAAUGUCUAAAGUAAGGGAGACAUUAAAAGAACUCUACCUUUAUAAACAUAAGAAGUGGUGCCACUUCAACAAGUAAAGGUAGGGUCUCUCUUGUAAAUGUUUAUUAUGAACAAGAUAAGCACAUGAUCAUUUUAGUGCUAAAAGUGAACAACCUCUGAUAGAAAUAUAAACGAAUAUUAUGUAUAGUGUAUUUCAACUUCUAAUACUAGGAGUUGUGGUUCAAUCUUCGGACACCGACAACUUAUUAAAACUUUGAAAAGCAUCCGCUUAUUGAUGGUUCAUAUUGAGAGGUAUCAUCUUUAAUGCAUAAUAUUUGUUUGAGUGAAUGACCAUAAAGUAUGGUACCAACAUUUAAACUAAGGGUGAUUGUUAGUAGUUUAUAAUUUUGGCAGUAAAAAUAUUUUAUUAUGUAGAAAAGUCUAAUAAAUUAUAAUUAUUGGUCAAAUAGUUGUGUUGUAAAGACAAUUUUUGUAUGUAAAGUUGUCUUAUAAACUUUAUGUAAAGUUGUGUUGUAAAACAACAAAAUUAUAUGAAAAUGUAUCUUAUUAAAAGAUACAUCCAUAUGAAAGGGUAUCUCAUGAAAAGAUACACCUAUUAGAUGUCUAUAUAAAAGAUUUUUCUGUUAGUUAUUUAAAUUGUUUUGCUUGGAGUGUUGAGGGCUUUGUUGUAUCUUGAAGGUAUUUUAAAAUCUUAAAGAAAGUGCUCUACACACCUUAAAGUCAUUAUAUUUUAUAACAUUAUUUUAUUUUUCUAACUUUUAUUUUCCUAUUAUUUAUUUUUCUAACAGCUAGAAUAUAGGAAAAUUAUUAUGUUUCUAGCUAUAUAUUGAAUACAAGUAUGUUGGUGUUUAGAACUCGAACUUUGAUGGUUGAUCGAGAGAUUUGAAGCAGAAAGAAGAGACGGGAAGUUUUAAGUAGAAAAAUAAUUGAAGACUGGAAUAUAUAAUUGAUUUGCACCUCAACUAUUUAAAUACAAAAGUUCAAGCUAAAAAUAGAAAAAAAAAGUUCUAAAAAUCUGCUAAAAAUCUGGUAACAAAAUAGCAAACAAAUCAAAAAUCUAAUCUCCUAAAGUCAAGGAGAAUUAUUCAAACUUAGUAACAGAAAAAAUUUAAAUGGCAGCAAUCUUAAACACAUGAUCUUAACACUCCUCCUUGUUUAGAUGCUACAAACUCCAAGUUUCUUCCUGAAGCUUUCAAACUUGCUAAGUGGCAAUGGUUUGGUGAAGAUAUCUGCAAUUUGAUCUUCAGAUUUGUAGUAACAAAGAGACACAUCACCACUCUUUUAAACUUCUCGAACAAAAAAUAACUUGAUGUUAAAAUGCUUAGUCUUCCCAUGAAAGACUGGAUUGUUAGAGAUUGCAAUGGCAGCCUGGUUAUCAACUAGAAUCUUUGUGCUUUGCUUCUACUCCAUGUUUAGAUCAACAAGAAUCUUCCUUAACCAGAGAGCUUGGUUAACUGUUGCUGUUGCAGCCAUAAAUUCUGCCUCAACAGUGGAUUGAGCUACAGUUUCUUGCUUCUUCGAGCUCCAAGAGAACAUGCCUGAUCCAAGGCAAAAACAAUAACCAGAGGUACUCUUCAUAUCAUCAGUUAAGCCACCCCAAUCACUGUUAGAGAAACCAAUCAACUUCAAUUCCCUAUGCUUUAAAAACUUUACUCCAUAAUUCCAGGUCCCCUUGAUGUAUCUGAUAACUCUUUUUGCAGCUCUCAUGUGAGUCUCAUUGGGACAAUGCAUGAAUCUGGAGAGAAUACUUACAGCAUUCAAGAUGUCGAGUCUGGUUGUUGUUAAGUACAUUAGACAACCUACCAAACUCCUGAACUCAGCUUCAAUGACUUUGGCAGAACCAUCAUCUUUGAUUAGCUUCUCUUUUUGAUUCAUAGGAGUACUCAUUGCUUUGCAAUCUUCCAUAUGGAAUUUUCUAAGUAUCUCCUUUGCAUACUUUCUUUGACAGAUGAACACUUCAUCUUGGCUUUAUUUGAUCUCAAUGCCAAGGAAAUAAGACAUCAGAUCAAGGUCUGUCAUUUCGAAGACAUUAUGCAUUUCCAAUUUAAACUGAUUAACUUGAUCGAUAUUGCUCCUUGUAAUCAAUAAGUACAAAUAAGCAAGCUUUUUCCUUUGAUUUCCUUAUCUUCUUUUCUUUUUGUGCUUUAAUCUGUGCCACAGUAGGAUUUGCUGGAAGAGGUGGGACCUCGUAAUCCUCUUCUACAGGUUCCCAAAGAUCCAAAGCCUCUAUGUAAGUCUCCAUGCGAACUGCCUACAUCUGGUAAUUGUCUCCAUCGAAGACUGGUGGUGCAGCAACUGAAAAACUGGACCCUCCUUCCAUAUUAACACGCAAAUAACCUAACAAAUCCCUCAAGAAAAUAGCUCUGAUACCAAUUUGUUGGUGUUUAGAACUCGAACUUUGAUGGUUGAUCGAGAGAUUUGAAGCAGAAAGAAGAGACGGGAAGUUUUAAGUAGAAAAAUAAUUGAAGACUGGAAUAUAUAAUUGAUUUGCACCUCAACUAUUUAAAUACAAAAGUUCAAGCUAAAAAUAGAAAAAAAAUGUUUUAAAAAUCUGCUAAAAAUCUGGUAACAAAAUAGCAAACAAAUAAAAAAUCUAAUCUCCUAAAAUCAAGAAGAAUUAUUCAAACUUAGUAACAGAAAAAAUUUAAAUGGCAGCAAUCUUAAACCCAUGAUCUUAACAAAGUACUACUUGGAAGCCAACACCCACAAACAUGAUAAAAGUUAAUUUUGAUGAGAGUUUUGACAUGGAAGCAAGAAAUGAGGAAGAGGGUAGUUAUGCAGCAUUGUGAUGAUUUUUUAGUCUGACUAUGCAACCAUCCAAUUUAGGGUGCAUUCUCCAUUGUGGUGAAAAAGCACUUAAAGAACAUUUGGUUUUUGCACUUAAAAUGUGAUGGAAAAAUGUUUUUCCACCCAAAUACAAAAACUAGGAUAUAAAUGUUUUUGACUUUUAGCUUUUAUGUUUGGAAGUGAAAAUUAUCAAAAUAUCAUUAUUUAUAUUAACUAUUUAAAUGGUAUAUAAAAAUUAGAUUAAUUUAUAUUUUAUAUAUCAUUAUAUUAAAUUAUUUAAAUAUUAUUUAUUAUUAUAUAUUUUAAUAAUUUAUAUAUCAUCUAUUUUACAAAUAAUUUAUAUUAAUUACUUAAAAAAUAUUUGGAACUUAUAUUUCAUGUAUCAUUAUAUUAAAUUAUUUAAAUAUCACAUAAUUUAACUAAUUUUUUACUUUCCACUAUCAUGUCUAAAGAAAAGGAUAUUUUAACUUUUAACAAGAAUUUUUUGUAGCAAUGGAGAACACCAAAAAUUAAUAAACACACUUUUUCAUAGUAAUUUUCAACCACACUUUUCAACCGCAACCCUAAUGAAGAAUUAAUCCUUACUAAAGUUACCGAAGCACUAGCUUCCACCGUAGCCAUUGAAAUGGCGCUCCAAUUGGGAUUGCAACACAUUAUUAUUAAAGGAGAUGCUCUCCAAGUGGUUUCGGAGUUGAAGGAAGACAAAGGAGACCUACCAACAACCGGACCUUGAUAGCAAAGAGUUGAAUACUUGCUAAACAGGUUCAGCAAUGUAGGUUUCAACACAGGAAGAGGCAUGCUAAUGAGGUGGCACAUCAUCUGACCAAACAGGGCCUUAAUUGUUUUCCAUCUUUUGUUCAUAUGUUUGUUUUGAAAAGGUAAAACAAAUCCUCACCUAUUGAUGUUAGAACGGUUGAAUUGCUAAAAGCAUGCUGCAUGCAUAACCAUGCUUUAGGUUAGGCUUCAAAUUAAAUAAAUUUUAAAUUAUUUUUAUUUAAAUUUAAUUAUAAAAAUAAAUUAAUAUCAAUAGAAAAUUAUAUAAAAUUUUAAGAUAUUUUAUUUUUCAAUAAUAAAACGAAUCAUUCACCAAACCUAAUUCUUCAAUUUCUUUUUAAUUAGAUCACAACUCAAGCCAAGCUAACCAAUAAACACCCAAAAUCUACCAUCAUUUUCAUUUUCAUUUUUUUUUCUUUUGUGACAAAGUAGACAGAAGAUUCGGUUUGGAUAAGCUCUACGUUAUUAAGUCAAAAGCUGAAGUAAUUUUAAUCAUAAAUUGUUUUAUUUGUCUAUAAUGCAAAACAAUGACCCAGUUAGUACAAUAAAGCUUUAACUUUGUGGAACAUUUCAGUCCAAAAAAAAAAAAAAAAAGAAUUGUGGAAAUUUUAGAGCAGUUGACCAUUUCUUCGGAAUUAGUUUUCUCACUUCUUGUCCAUAUUCCAUGUAUAUUAUUUCAAGAAAUUAGGUUUAGAAAUUUGCAUAAUUCAACCAUUGAACUAAUAAAUAUUAAACAAAAAUUGGGUGGCAAAAAAAAUCUUAUUAAAAUCAUAUACUAUUACUAAAAUUUAUGAUUAAAUUAGUGUCACGAGUUAACGGGACAUUAACAAAUUAUAUUAUUUGAGGGUAUUUUAAUCUUUUUAUUAAAAAAGAUGAUGUCUCAAAUUAACUCACAAUCUAAUCUAAUUUUUCAUUUUAAUAUUGUAAAUAUUUCAUGUUUUAUUAUUAAUUUGUUUCAAAUUAUACAUUUCAUUAUUUAUUUUAUGUUAUUUUUAAACACAUCUGUAUUCUAAGUACCUAAUUUUCACUUAUGGGUAUCAGAGGCGAAUCUAGGGAGGCUGAUAGGGGUCUCGGUCCCCUUAAAAUAGAAAAUUAUUAUUUAAGCCAUUUAGAAAAUUUUAAAAUUUUAAAUUAGUAAAUGUAAAAUUACACUUUGACCCCUCUAAAAUUAUAAAAAUUUGAUUUAAUCCUUUAAAAAUUAUAAAGAUAUAAACUAUUAAAAAUAAAAAUUUCAUUUCGGCCCUGCCUAAAAAAUUUUUUUGACUUCACCCCUAAAGUAUGAUAGAGUUUCUAGUAUGAAUAAUUUUCUUUGGAAGUGUUAAACAAACAAAGGAGUUAAGUAAACAGUAGUUUUCAUACAGAAAUAUUCGGCGUUGAUGUUUCCCUUUCGAAUAAUUAAAUUAAGACUUAGGAAAAGGGAAAACAAUGAAAAAGAAACUAAAAUUGAGCUUAAUUUAUGGAGUUGGGUUAAAAUUUUAAUAUUUAAAUAUAAAAAUUCUAAUAAUUUGAUCUGGUCCGUUUCAUCUAGCAGACUAAUAAUAAAUCUUAAAACAUAUUAUAUUUUAAUUUAAAUAAAACCAAAACUAAUACACUUGACCUACAUCUACAUGUGAUCUAUGCUUCAUUUAAAUUAGUCUAAAUUAGACGAGAUCUUGAUUAGGAGUCAUUUAUUUAUAUUAUAAGUCCCUGAAACAUGCAAAACUUACAUUUAAAAAUUAAUAUUUUUACGUUGUUGUUAGAAUAUAGGGUUUGUUAAUGUUUUCGUGUGAAGUCAGCUGUUGACAUUACCAAUCAGAUAAUGAAAAGGAAACAUGGCAAUUAUUCCAUCCUAAUUGUCACCAAAUUAAGUUAAUCCAAAAAUUACCAAACGUUUAGUACUUCAAUGGUAGAGUCAGCUCUUUCUUCUAGUCUAUCAAAAAAAGUCAAUUUAACCCCUAACUCUUGGAUGGAAAAGUUUUUGCUAUGAACUUGUUGAAGUGAAUCUCAUGUGAUAUAAACGCAUCGCAAUCUCCGUGUGUAACUAAAAAUAUUUGAGAGAUUGAAUAAUUUAAAGGGGAAAAAAAAAGAAUUUACUCCCUCCACUAACAAAUUACUCUUGCCAACGUAUGUAUGAAAGUAAACACCUUUAAUUAAUCAACAAAUGCUAAAGUUCGAGGUUUAGAAUUAAUUAAAUACCAAUAUAAAUAGUUAAUUACUUUUUUGAAAUAAGGAUAAAUCAGUUUGUGAGGUUUGAAUUUUUUGUAUCUUAACAAUUGUUCUGACUUUAGAGUUUGAAGGUUUUUUUUUUAUCCAAAUUAACCUAUGAACUUAGUAAUUUGUCUCUCAUUAAGGUUUAAAUUUUUUAUUUAUCUAAGUUAAUUCUUAAAAAUCUUGAAAUUCGAGAAUAAUUGUCAAGUUAAAAAAAUUUAGAUUUCAAUAUGAGAAUAAUCUACUAGUUCGUAACCUUAAUAUAAAAACAAUUGUUAAGUUGAAAACUUAAUUUAAAAACAAAUUCAAACCCUUCUUAAGUUUACGAUUUAACCCUUUGAAAUAUUGCGUUAACUAGUAAGAGUAAGAAUUAUUUUGUGUUGAUGAUUAAAUAAAUAUUUAAGUGGAGAUCAAGUUUUACCUCAUUUGUCAAUUGUCAGGUGAAGAAUAUAUACCCCUAAAGGCCUAUCAAAAACGGACCUAUCUCUAUCUAUAUAUCUUAACUAAUUUACUAUUCAUUUUUAAUGAAAAUCAAUAAAUCAAUGAAAACGUUAUAAAAAGAAAACUACGUGAAUAAAUUAUAUGUGUAAAAUUGAAAUAUUUCUUAUUUUAGUACAAUGGUAAGGAACAUUACAUUUUUAAGGAAAUGAUGUCAGGUUCAAACCUUAAAGAUAAUAUUCUUCUUCUUGAGAAGAACAAUCCCAAACUCCAAAAUGAACCCUUAUGAAUUAUAUAAAAAAAUUUUGAAAUAUUUCUAUAAAAUAUCAUUAAAGUUUUUUAUUUAAAAAAUGUUAUGGGUAUACUUUUACCUCUUGUAAAAAAGUCUUUCAUUUCUCAAUUCUUAUGGCAUAGUAAAUUUAUCAUUAAUUUUCAUCUUUAGGUAAAAAAAAUGGUUAUUAUUUGUGUAUUAAAUAAUUGUUAGGAUAAAUUUUAAAAUUGUAUAUGAAUUUUGGUUUAAUGUUAAUUAUAUACAUUAAUUUUAAUUUUAUGUAAUUUUAUAAAUGAAAUUUUAAUUUGAUCCAAUUCUAACAAAUUAUUAACACAGUUAUUGAUAUAACAUCAUUUUAUGUUUAUAUGCUAUAUACAGAAAUAAUUAUGUUUAUUCAAUAUAAAAAUAAAUUGAUGUAUUUAUUUCUUUAAACAUAUAUGAUUGAAUCAAAAUUAAAACAUCGUGUAUAUAUUUGAACCACAAUUAAAAUUUUACAUAUAAAAUUACAUAAAAUUACAAUUUAUAUACGUAAUAAACUAAAAUUCAUAUAUAAUUUUAAGAUUUAUGUCCACAAUUCUCUAAAGCUAAACGGUGAUGAUUACCAUGGAAAUUCAAUGUACUUAACUAAUUGGUUGAUAGGAACAGGCAUGAUGAAAUCCAUGAUGGGAAGAGAGAGAAUUCAAAAACUGGAAUGCCCCCAUUAAUCCAUGCAAAUAAACUUUUUCGGUAUUACAUCAUAAUUCAUUUAAUUUUAUCAUCAUCUCUAUGCCAUAACCAUGUUUAAAGUAAAAUACUUAUAUAAAUUGAGACAUUAAUAGUUUGUAUUAUAUAAAUUAUGACAUCCAUAUAUCCAUAUUAUAAUUUUUAUGAAAAAUUAGAGCUGGCAGAUAAAAAAUGGCUUACUGAUCAAUGAAAAAUAAACUUUAUUUCUUGUAAAUUGACUUAUCCUUUUAAAAAGUAUAAAUAUUUUUUUAAAAUUCAUUUAUGAGUAAUUUUAUUAUUAUAAAAAUUAAUUUUGCAAAGUCUAAUAUUAUUAUAUUAAUAAUUUUAUUUUAAAACUAUUUAAAAAUACUAAUAUCAAAUAUUAUAAUGUUGAAUCCUAGUAACAUACAUAUUAAAUUAUUUAAAUUAUGUAAUAUUGCAAUUUUAUUUUAAUACUAAAUUUUAACAACAAUAAUUUUAAAUUUUAGAUCAUAUUUUUAAUAUAUUAUUGAAAAAUAUUUAUAUUAAUAUUUUAAUAAUAAAUAUAUAUAUUAAAAUUUAUAAAUAUUUAAUAAUAAAUGUUUUAUAGUAUAAAAUAUGAAUAUUUUAAUUAUAUAGAUAUGAGCAUUUGUUUAAAUCAUGUUUAGUUUCAUUUAUCUCCCAACUAUAAUGUGUUAUUAUACACCGUCAUAUAUAUAAUAUAUGUAAUUUAAGCAUUGUUUAUUAUUAAAUUUAUAUAUGAUAUUAAUUAUUAUAAAAUAUUAUCUUAUUAUAAAAGAAAUUCUAAUUAUCAAAAAGAAAUGUUACUUUAAUAUUUUGUAACAAGUAUAUUUAUGUUGGGCUUGUUUCAAUAAUAACUUUAAAAUGAUUUUAGAAAAAAAAUUGUCAAAUAAUAAAAAAAUAUUUUAAGCAAAAUAAUUCAAACACAAAAAACUAUCAACUUUUCCAUAAAAUCAAUCCAAUUUUAAGAAAACAUUUUGUGAAAAUUGUUUUAGGUAAAACAAAAGGAACCUAUAUUUUAUAUAGUAUUUGAAAAGUUGUUGUAUCUAGAAUUAUUAUCUUAAAUAUUUUUUUAGGUCUAAUUUUAAAUUUCAUCCCUUUAUGAAAAUUGAGAAGUUAAAUUUUCUAUUUUACUUUAUCAGUCUGUGCUUGAUUGUUUAUUAAUUUGUCGUGUAUAAAUGGUUAAAUUAUUGAUUUUUGUUAAUUACUAGCAUGUAAAUUGUCAAACUACUUGUUCUCAAGGGAACGGUAAAGUUUAAUAGUAUUAUCAAUUUAGAACAAUUUUUGAGUUUUUUCUUUUAUUUUUCAUGUUCGAGUCCAUAAUUACUCCUUCUAAUAAUGUCGUCUUUAAAGUUUGAGUUCGAAUUCAAAUUCUCUUUUUGGAAGUACAAUAUGCCUUAUAAUUAUACCUAAUACUUUUGAUUUUUGUAAAAUAUAAGAAUCAAAAUUGUGUAGUAGGAUUAAUUUCUAGAUUUUUUAAAUUUAAAAUUUAUAAUAUUAUCAAUCGCAUCACACACAAAACCAAAGAACAAGAGAAUCUAAAAAACACGUGGACCAUUAAUUUAGGAAUGGACAUUAUAUUUUAUUAGUGGAAUAAACUCAUGCAAAAUGGUUGGAAAACACAUACAGGAUUAUAUAUACUAAUCAUUUUUAUUAUUAAGCAGAAUCGGAAAUAAAUAAAUACGAGCGAAACCACUGAAUAAUACAGCAUUGAAAUGCAAUUUGUCUACAUCAUUAUUGUUCUUCACUUCAAACGCGGAGACUAGUCUAGGCUCCCAAUCUUUUGCUUUAUCUCUCUAGAUAUAUCCUUUUCAAACUAUCUUUUUGUAGCUUUAUUUGCAUCACAGCAUUAUCUUUUCCUGCAAACAACUGUUCAAUGAUUAAAACAUGCAAAACAUUCUGAAAUAAUGCACCCUUACCAGAUGACAAAAAAAAAAAAAGAUUCUAAUGUAUCUUACCUUGGAUUGGAGCACGGUCAAAGCCGUGGCUUAGUAGUGGUGAGGAGGAGGGGGUGAAGCGUAGACAUAAUGGGGUGGUGGUGGUGGAGGAGACUUGUAUUUGUAAACUGGAGGAGGAGGUGGUGGAGACUUGUACUUGUAAGGGUGCUUGGGGGGUGAUGGUGGGGGUGGUGGGGGUGACUUGUACUUGUAGGGGUGCUUGGGUGGUGACGGUGGGGGUGGGGACUUGUACUUGUAAGGAUGCUUGGGGGGUGAUGGUGGUGGUGGUGGAGGUGACUUGUACUUGUAGGGGUGCUUGGGUGGUGACGGUGGGGGUGGGGACUUGUACUUGUAAGGGUGCUUGGGUGGUGACGGUGGUGGUGGUGGGGGGGACUUGUACUUGUAGGGAUGCUUUGGUGGGGAUGGUGGUGGUGGUGGUGGGGACUUGUACUUGUAGGGAUGCUUAGGUGGUGAUGGUGGUGGUGGUGGAGACUUGUAUUUGUAAGGAUGCUUUGGUGGUGAUGGUGGUGGAGGUGGUGGGGACUUGUACUUGUAAGGGUGCUUGGGUGGUGAUGGAGGUGGAGGUGGUGGAGACUUAUACUUGUAAACUGGAGGUGGUGGGGGUGGAGACUUGUACUUGUAAGGGUGCUUGGGUGGUGACGGAGGUGGAGGUGGUGGAGACUUAUACUUGUAAACUGGAGGUGGUGGGGGUGGAGACUUGUACUUGUAAGGGUGCUUGGGUGGUGAUGGUGGGGGUGGGGGUGGCGACUUGUACUUGUAGGGGUGUUUAGGUGGUGAUGGUGGUGGUGGUGGUGGUGGUGGGGACUUGUACUUGUAAGGAUGCUUGGGUGGUGAUGGUGGUGGAGGAGACUUGUACUUGUAAGGAUGCUUGGGUGGUGAUGGUGGUGGAGGUGGUGGAGACUUAUACUUGUAAACAGGAGUUGGUGGGGGAGGAGAUUUGUACUUGUAAGGUUUCUUGUGUGGUGGUGGUGGUGGAGGAGAGUAGAUCGGAGGAGGCGGUGGGGGAGACUUGUAAUGGUAGGGUGGUAGUGGGUUCUUCUUAGGAGGUGGUGGAGGAGAAGAAUAGGUGUAAUCUGCUGAGGUUUCAAAAGGCAAACUGAGAGAAACUGCUAGAACUAAAAGAGUGACAAAGAGAGAGGUCAUUGAUGACCCCAUUUUCCCCAUCUUUACUUCUAAAAAUGGGUUUAAUUUGGUUUAUGUUCGUAGACACCCUCUUCUCUCCCUUUAUAUAGACUCUGUUUUAACCUUAUAAUCUUCAUUUAAAUAUUGGGAAAAAGAAAAGGGCACAUUUUCAUUUCUUGAAAGUAAUCAGAAAUAACUGGAGAACCAUUAAAUUUGGCUUAUAAUAUUGAGGUUGCUAGCUAAGCAGUGAAUACAGUAAUCGUGAUGUGAUGUGUAUAAAAUACUUUUAUGUAUUUGGCUCGUAGUUGACUUUAUACAUAUAACUUUUUACAUGUACGUAUGAAAUUAGACAUGAUAAUAUUAAUAUUAAAUGUGAUACGAUUUAAAAUAAUUAAAUUUAACAUAACAUGAAUACCUCAAUUCUUGUGUAAUUAUUAUGGUCAAUUAUACCCUCCGUUCCUCGGAUUAAACCAAAUUUAAGAUUUUGACACCAAUAAAAAAAUAAAAUUUAAGAUCUAAUUCUUCAAUUUAAUAAGUUCAAAGAAAUAGUCUUGACAUUAAUGUUACUGAAGUUAAAAUUUUUAAAAUUUCAUAUCCAUAUAUAAAAAAAAUUAAAAAUUUUAAUUCCCACUUUUUUUUUGUCAAAAUUACCAUCAACCCAUGCAUGUAAACAAAUUUUGACAAAACAAUACCAACUAUAAUUAUAUACUGGGCGUAACACCCUAGACCCGGUCUAGAUGUCCAGUCCAAGUUAGAGAGUUACACCAUCGAAACUCAAAUACCUCACAAGUAACACAAUAAUACUAAACCAUGCUUCACAUAGUAUUCAUCACAAAGAUUAGUUAAGUGUAUAAUCUUCCAAAGUCAAGCUAUCAUAGUUUACCGAAACUCCUAACGUAAUACUUAAAAGAAAGAUAAAAGCUUGAUCGAGCUCUCGCGACACCGACCCGAUCAAGACUGGGAACCACCUGAAAUCCAACCAAUAGCAAAAUGAGUUGUGAACUCAGUGCGUAAAAGAAGUUUGUUCAACUAAUGCUCACUUAUAAAAUAGUUCUGAAUUCAAAGAUUCGGUUUGAUACAGAAGUAAUUUCAGUUCAAAUUCAGAGCAGAUUAGUUACAUAUAUAUAUAAGCAAUUUCAAUUUCAUAUACGAUACAGAUCAGAUUCAGAUGCAAUGCUCCUACCCCCAUCCACUACACACCGUCUUCAGCUAUCCUAACAUGCUGUUAAGGACAUUUAAUGCCCAACCAAUUCUGCACACCUUAGAGUGUGCGUUUGACACUUUUACAGAGACACAGCUUAGCUGCUAGAUCAAAAUGCGACGAAGCGCCAGAAUCAGAUUUAUACGCAUUAUGGUUUAGCCACUAAUUCAUAACAGAUUACUUCCUUCUUCACAAUACCUCAACCCAUGCAAAUGUAGAGCACAAUACUCGUAUUAUGUAUUUAGUCAUUCUAAUUUAUUUCACAAAUAGAUAAGACAAUUCAACAUCAGAAUAAGUAUCAUAGUAUAUACAUACAACUAUGUUAUCCCCACAUCAGUCUCAGAGUAUCAGACCAUUCUCAUAUAAUCAAAUUCAUUCAUUCAUACAUUGAGGAGGCCAGUAUCAGUGUUAAGCAACAUUCACGGCCUCAAAAACAGGUUUUGGGCUCCAAUAACAUGCCACACGGUCUGGUCACACGCCCAUAUCCUUUGCUCGUGUGGUUCUGAAGCAUAAAUAGUGAGUUACACGGGUCGGACACACGCCCGUAUCCCUACCCGUGUGACUUACACGGCCUGGGCAGACGCCCGUGUCCCUAGCCGUGUGGUAUUGUACCAUAAACACUGAGGUACACGGUCCAGACACACGCCCGUGUCUGUUGCCUGUGUGAACCCUGCACUAAUAUGGCCACACACGGCCUAGACACACGCCCAUGUGCCUUGCCCAGGUGGCCCCAAAUCGAUAAACAGUGAGUUACAUGGCCUUCCACACGGCCUGGACACACGCCUGUGUGCCUGGCCGUGUGGUGUUGACAACCACCAUUUUCGACGAUCGAAACUUGCAAAAAUUAAGGUUUUAGGUACACACCUAGUUUCGCUUUGACAGAAAAACAAUGCGGGGACUACACGAAACCUAAUUAACCACCCAAUAAUCAAUUACACCAUCGUUUUCAAUAUUUUACUAAAAUCAACCUACCGUCAAGAUCAUGUCGAAAGUUUUGACGCAACCCCAACUCAAUUCGCAUACUUACCUCGCACGAAACAGAAGGAAAUCAGGCUAAAACAGCAGAGUAACGUCUCUUGUAAUAUCCUCACCUAAAAAAAGUAACCAAUUGAGUGUUUAAACAGAAUGUUCGAGCAAACGAGCAAAAUCCCGUUUCGACAGAAUAAUGUUAACAAGAUGGAACUCGCAAAAUGAAAGGAGAUAACGACGGAACUUACACAAUAAUCACACAAUCGACCUCACAGGCAUCGAAGAAGUCCCAUUUAACGCAGAAUCAAACAUAGUAAAAAGCAAAAUUAAAAGAAAAGAAGAAAAGGAAAGGAAAGGAAAAGAGAACCAAGAACUUUUGAAAAUGAAAAGAAUACAGACAGAUGCUUAAUCAGUAGCAGGCUCAUUCUUGACAUCAAUUUACCCAGAAGUGCACUUAAAUACAUAACACGUGGAUAAAGGUUGUUUUAAAAUAAAUAAAACUUUUAACGAUGCAACUCGGACUCUAGACCUUAAACACAAUAACGGAACAUAAAGUCACAAAUACAAAAAUUUAAUUACUACAAAUUUUAGCAAUUAAAUUCUUAAAAUUUUGAGGCGUUACACUAGGAACCUAUCAAAUUUUAAAUAAUAUAUUUUAAAUGCAAUUAUAAUAAAUAUUAAAAGUGAAAUUUGACGUUACACCUAAUAAACAUGAUAAAAUACACCAACACAACUUAUAUACAUAAAUUGUCAAAAUCAAAUUUAGAAAACAUAUUCAUAAUUAUCAAAUCUUAAAUCUCUCAAGGAUAACAUAUAAUACUGAUAAAUCCAUUAAAACACACUAAUAUCAGUACAUAUUAACAUCAUAACAAAAUUAACACAUUCAUUAAUCUGAUAAUGUACUUCUCAAUUCAUUACAAAAAUCACCUCAAUAACACGAAUUUUCAUACUCCAAAUAGAGGUAAAAGUAUGAUGGAGAUUUUUAUAGGAGUUAAAUUGCAUUUUAUCCAUUCUACUAAAAAAUGCGCAAAUUAAUCACUGUACGUUAGAUCAAAGAGUAACUGAUUUUUUGGUUAAAAAUUUCAUCCAUUUUUACUGUUAAAAACUUGUCUAUGUACGUCAGCAUGACGUAUACGUGGCACACCAUGUGUCACUAUCUGAUUAUUUUGUCAGGUAAACUAGUUUUUAAUAGUACAAAUAGAUAAAAAUUUUAACAAAAAUAACUAAAUUACUCUUUGACCACUAUAUAAGAACUAGUAUGUAAUAUGAAAAAACCAUUUUACUGCAAAUAGAUAAUUUUAUUGUUAUUAAUAGCUGUCCAUGAAUUUGAGAACAUUUUAUAUGGGUACCAAACUUUUCCAUGAAAUUGCUUGGCUACGGGACCAGGCGGCUUAGACUUUCUUUGCCAGGCUAUAUUCUCCACUCUCUCUUCUUUGUCGUUUACAUUUAAUUUGAAGACUCCAUUUGCUUUUUUUUUUUCCAUUCCCUCUGUCAAAUCCAUCAUCUUCAGUUAAUUAUCAUAUUCAUGAAGAUAAUUAACUAGCUUUUGUCUUAUUUUUUGUUUUAGUUAACGUCUCAAUUAUUGCCAUCAAUUCAAGACAAUUAGGUGAAAAUUCAUUUUAUUAUUUAAAAUAUAUCACGGGAUUAGCUCUUUUGAGAGAAUUUUUUUAAGGAAAUACCGAUUCGAAUCGCCAGGCCCCUUCUAAUGGAGAGCCGUGUACAAUUCAUGGAGAGAGACACUUAACUAAAUGGUAUCUUAUACCUCAAUAGGUGACCUAUAUGUCAUAUGGCAAGGGUUCAAACCCCACUAAUGGCGAGGCACUCGCGUUGCAUCUUGGUGGGUGGUCAUACAUUCACAUACAGUUGAGAUGCUCUCUUUCGUGAACCGUACACGGCUCUAUGCAAAAAAGUUGGGACUAUACCUUCCAUUGUUGAUAGUCCAAAUUGAUGUCUUAAAGAAAGACACUUCGAAGAUUUCUCUUAAAAACCUGAAUCAAUCAUCAACAAAAACUACUUAAGAAAAUAUUAUAAUAUUACAUUAAAAUAGAAAUAAACUUUAUUAAUUAAAUGAUAGCCUAAACCAAAAUGGGUUCAAAGUGUAGAAAUCAUGAAUAAUUUAAUCACCGGCAAGGGAUACGAGUUAGUUCUUCUAACAAACCACAACUUCAUUUAAUUAAUUUUAGAUAAAAAUAAUUUGAGAUUUUAAUAAUUGAUCCAAUUGCUUAAAGAGACAUUGGUGAUGUGCACAUGAUAUAGAAGCUUAAGUAGAAAAAGAAAACAAGAGUUUAAGUAGAUUGUCAAAAUAUCUUUCUCAAAUAAAUAGAGUUUUAAUAGAAACAAUGAUUAUCAAAAAAUAUAUAAAUUACUGUUUUUUUCCUCACAAGAGGAAAAAAGGAAGUGCUGGUGUUUUUAAAGCAAAUAGAGUGAUCUGGAUGGAAUCUUUUGCUUAAAUCACUUUGAUUAAUUGCUUUACUCACUUUGACGUUUUUAAACUAUUUUUAGCAAAUAAAAAUAAAGCAAUACAUCUAAUCAAAUAUAUAUACUGAAUUUUACAAAUAUUAAAUUUAUAUUAGAAAAUUAUUUUGUGUAUUAAUAAAAAUUAAGUAUUGAAAAUUAAUUUUAUUGUUUGAUAAAAUUAAAUUUUUUUUUAAAUUAUUGAUUUUUUAAAUUUAAUCCUAUUGAUAUAAUAUUUUAUUAUGUUUUGUAUAGUUUUUUUAUACAAUGCCUAGAAACUACCCAUAAUCCUUCCCUAAUUCUUAAAUAGGAGAAUAAACUUUAACAAACUUGAACGUACGACAUCCUACACUGACAACAAUACCAAUGUCAACAAGCUAAGAUUUAAUAGGCAUGUUUUGUUUAAUUUUGAAUAAAAGUUAAAUAUACUAAUUUGAAUAUCUCAUCCUUUGACAAAAAAAAAUUCCAAUAUAGUGGUUUAAAGAAAAUCAACUUAAUAAAAUUACGAAAUCCAUUUUUUAUGACAAUUUUGUCCUGAGUGAAAAAACUAAUGGAAUUGUCAAGCAAAUAUAACAAUUUAAGUCGGUGUUUAGAAGAGCUGUGGGUGAGCUUCACUCACCUCCAUUAGUCGCUGUCAUUUUCUUCACACAUCGGCGUGUGACGCUCACUCUGACGAUUUUUCUCAUUUCGCCUCCACCAUUGACUUCAGAGCUAUAUUCCAACCUUUCCCUUUGAGAAUUUCUUGGUUUGGUGAGGUUGAAAUUUUUGGGAUUUUUUUCUAUUUCUUAGGUUUUAUACUAUUGGUUGAUGUAUUUUUUCGAUUAUUUUGUUUUCAUUUUCUUAAAAGUGACAACAAUAGAUAAAAAAGGGUGAUCGGUUUCGAUAACCUAUCUUGGCAAAUUAGUCCCAUCAAACUUGAUGAAAAUAACUAUCUUGCUUAGUAUUGAUCAUGUUUGUUGUUCAUCAAGGCUAGAGCCCUUCAAGGCUAUAUUAUAGGUGAUAAUAAGAAGCCUACUAUUGAUGAAUUUACAUUCAAUUCAUGGGAUUCAAAAAGCUCACAUAUCAUGUCACACAUCUCUAAAACGUAUUUAUUACUUGACAUCGUGACAAAAAUAUAGUGCAGUUGCUCUCACUUAUUCACAAGUGGAAAAUGACACUAAAAUAUUUGAGAUACGAAAUAAGAUCUAAUACCAAGCAAUGUGAGAUGUCAAUUUCUUAGUAUCAUUCUAGCCUUAGUAGGCUAUGGUAGGGGUUGGAUUAAUAUCAAGACUUUCAAGCAGACUGUACUGGAGAUGUUAAGUUUCAAAAACUUGUUGAAAAGGAAUGAAUCUAUGAUUUUUUUAGCUAGACUCAACCAUGAGUAUGAUCAUAUCCGAGUUCAAGUUCUUGGAAAAACUCAUUUUCUGUAUCUCCAAGAAUCUUAUUCCUAUGUCCAACAAGAAGAAAGUAGGAGUGUUAUGCUCUAUAAAACACCUAUAGAGAAAGCAGGUUUGAUUGCUAAUGGUUCCUAAUAGCAAAAGAAAAAAUACAAUUUUGAUAAGAAUCAUCUGGUGUGUGAUCAUUGUGGGAAUACUCAGCAUACUAAAUAGACAUGUUGGAAACUACAUGGUCUACCCAUCAAAGGUCGAGAAAAAAAACAAAUCAAGCCAACAUGGAACCAAGUAAAUUUCUCUGAAGUUGUGAAAACAUCCAAAGAGAUGGCUCCUAGUGAGGCAUUCUCAUCUGAUGAAAUUAAGCACCUUAGACACCUCUUGCCACAACUUGAGACUCCUUCUAAUAUGUCCAAUUUUUUGAAGUCCAGUAAUGCUUAUAAUGCUCACAAUAAUGAAGUAAGGAGGUUUAUUAAUGAAUUGAGACUCGCCAACCAUAAUGAAGUUGGAAGAGGACGUCAUCUUGUGUGGUUUUAAUAGAUGGAAUUUGAGCUACCUUAAGGAUUUUCUCUUGGUUGUUAAAUCAUCUUUUAGAGACUAGCUUUGAUAUCAAUUGUUAGCUUGAUUAAUCAAACCAAAAUUGCAAAGAAGGGGGUGAAUUGGCCUUUAAAAAUUUUGGUAAAAGCAAAGAAAUAAUAUGAAACAAUGAACACAAAGAUUUAGAGUGGUUCGGCUCCAAUUGCCUACUCCACUACCUUAGUUUUCUACAACUAAAAAUUUUCUCAAAUUCACUAAUUUGUUCAACCUUUGAGAAUAAGGUUUAACCUUACAACCCUCUUAAGAUCUCUAUCCCAAAUCUUAAGAUAAACCUUCUCAAAUAAUUGCAAAAAAGCAAAUAAAUAAAUAAUCCAAACAAGAUCGAAAUGUUUUUCAAUUAAGCACAAGUAGACAAGAAUACACUUAAGCAAAAGAAAGCCAAUAAGAGCUCACAGGUGUGUACAAGAGAAUUAUGGAAGUAUUAAGUACAAAGGUUGUUUGAUUGAUAAUUUUUUUUCCAAUUAAGCACAAAUAGACAAGAACACACUUGGGCAAAAGAAAGACGAUAAGAGCUCAUAAGUGUGUACAAGAGAAUUAUGGAAGUAUUGAGUACAAAGGUUGUUUCAUUGAUAAUUUUUGCUUCAAUAUGCUUUCUUGUUGUUGUAGGAUCUUUAAAAGUUAGUAUUUAUAUCCUCUAAUUGAUUUCCAACAGUUGAGGUUGUUGUAGUAGUUAAUAGAGUCGUUGGGGAUGUGAAAACUAGAGUAUUUAACACACCUACAAUAGCAAGUAUCAAUACCAAACAAAAAGGUAUCGAUAUUUUUUUUGGUAAUAAAUGCUAAAUUCAGUAACCGUUGGAAUUUACAUAUCGAUACCAUACCAAAUUUAUUGAUACCUUAUAAAAAGAUAUUCAUACUGGAUCGAUACUUAGUUGCUUUUGUGAGAAACAAAAUGCCAAUUUAGUAUCGUUUCUUUCAAAGGGUAUCGAUAUUUGGCCAAAAAGGUAUCGCUACAUUUUGGCCUAGAGUAAUUCUGACUUGUUUGAAAGAUAUUUUGACUUGAUAAAAUGAUAAAAGACCUUUUUACUUAGUUAAAAUCAUUUUAACUAGAUUUGAAAGUUGUUUCAAAAAAAUUUCUAAGAGUUCAAAAAGAUAUUUAAAAUUUUAUCUUUUAGACUUUAAUAUAAAAAUUAUUCUAUAAAUUUUUUAUUCAAUUUUAACUUUUAUUCGAAAAUAUUUUCAUUUGUUAUAUCAAAACAUAUUUUUAAAUAAAGCUUAAUUUAACAAAUAACAAUAUCACAGAGUUGUGUGCUUAGCCCUACCGGUGUCAUCUAUUUAUAAGAAGAAGAAGUAAAACCUUUUUUGAAUUGUAGAAGUUUAUUUCAAUUAGAAAAAAGAACUCCUAGUCUAACUAGAAGUAUAGGGGGUGACGACCAUAGUUAAUAAUACUUGGGUUUGUCGUCCCUCCCUUUAACAUGAGAGGCUUUUGGACCUCUCCUACAUCGAGUCCAAUUACAAGUACUUCUUAGACUUUUAACCCAAUACUUUAUAAUUCAAUCCAACCCAAUUUUUUUUCUAUUUCCCAAAAUAAACAUCUCAAUUUAUUUCCAAUUAAAUAAUAUUCUCAACCCAAUUCUAAUUCCGUUAAAAUCAUGACGACUUUACUGUAUAAGAAUCUAUAAGAAAAUAUAUUUAAUAUUUCUACAUUCAACGAGUUUAUUAUGACCAAAUGGUUUAUUUCUAUUUUCGAACUUCAUUUAAUUUGAAAACCAUAAAUUUCAAGUCUUUUUCAUUUUUCAUUUUGAAUAAAACCAUAUUCAUUUUCAAAUGUUUUCGAUUUCUCCAUUUUCACCAUUUCUAUCCAUUUCUAUUCAUUUAAUUGGCAUAGUGCCUAAAAUAGCCCCUAACGUUUGACUAUUUGGUCACUUUUGCCUUUUAUGUUUUUUCUUAGAGCACUUUAACCCUUAACACUUUUUUGGUCAAAUUGAUCUAUUUUUAACAGACAUACUGACGUGGCCGUUAGUUGAUUAAUGAUCAACAUUAACCGCUGAUGUGGCGGUCCAAAUGUAAUUAAAUGCUGAUGCGACACUAUUUUGUCUUAUAUGCCACAUCAGCAAAUGAUUUUAAAAUUAUUAAAAUUAUUUUAAAAUCAUCAUCAUCAUCACCGCUUCUUCUCCGUGUCCGCUUCUUUAUUGUCGGUUUUCUGGGUUCGAUUAAUGAAUAGAUCUAGGGGGCAACUUAGGUUAAAAAUACUUAUUAAAGCUUAAUUUUACUGUUGUAUAUAUAUUUUUCUUGAAUUGCUUUUGUGUCAAUUACUGUUUCGUGUUAUAUUUUCCCACCUGCAUUUGUUGUGUUUUUUUUAAUCUCUACCAAAUUCCAAACCUUUAAAAUUUGAAGCUCUAAGUUGAGUUCCAAAAAUGCUCACGUUUAGAUGCUAGAAGCAUAUCUAGAAAAAGAAAAAAGAAAAAAAAAUUAGAUUUUGAACUUUAAACUAUGGUGUCGGUAACAAACCCUAGAACCCAAAAUGAAAGCAAGAAAGGAAAGGAGAUCUAACCUUGAAAUUAUGAAAUCGGGCCUUGUGAGUAGCAUAUUUAAAGGUUGUGAACAUGGUGAGUUGAGAAAUUUCGAUCAACGAGUUAAGGGAAAAAAGGGAGCGAAGGAAAACGCGGACGGGGCUUAACAGAUUUAGCCUUGUAAGCAUAAAUUUGUAAGUUUCCUUUUAAGUGGCAUUUAUAGCUACUUACUUGCUUAGUUGCGUGGGCAUCAGCGUUUUGGUAAUGAAAUUUUGAAGUUAUAUUGACGAUUGUCUUAAAAGAUUAGAUGGGGAAAUAUUGUUCCAUCCAGAAGCAAUGGUAAAAAGUGGUGAGCUUGAGGAUAGACAUUGAACUAGUUGUGAGCAAUGGUGUUAAAAUUAUCAGACAGUUAGGUAGUUGAUGAAGCAGCAGCAAAGCUACAAAUUUGAAUGAUUGGAGAUGGAGAAGUAUGCAAUUUAAAGGAUACAUUUUGGGCCUAGAAAGAAAAAAUGAAGAAAAAGAAAUGGUGAUGAUGAUGAUGGUUUUAAAAUAAUUUUAAUAAUUUUAAAAUCAUUUCCUAACGUGACAUAUAAGACAAAAUAGUGUCAUGUCAGCAUUUAAUUGCAUUUGGACCGCCACGUUAGCGGUUAAUGUUGACUGUUAGUUAACUAAUGACCAUGUCAAUAUGUCAUUUAAAAAUAGAUUAAUUUGACUAAAAAAACACAUUAGGUGUUAACGUGCUCCAAAAAACCAUAAAAGGCAAAAAUGACCAAACAAUUAAACGUUAAAGGCUAUUUUUGGCAUUAUGCCCAUUUAAUUCAACAUGCAAUUCAUUUCUGGUUUCAACGAGCUAGCGGAGGGACCGAUUGAACAUAUGCAAUUGAGGCUCAAAUGAUUUAUAAUUAAGGUCCAACUUUUUGACUAUUAAUGAUAAACUCAUUUAGUCGCGAAGUCAUUCCACUAUAGUAUCGUGAUUGAGUUCACCCCAACGGCAUACUACGAAAGCAACUUGAUCAGUGCUCGUCCAAUGACUUUAUCAUAAGUGUGUUACCCUCAUAGGUUAUCCUUAAUCUCUUUGGGAUAAUAUUCGUUCUCCCAAUAUGAUCCUAUUUUAUCUCAUGAUAACCAUUACAUUUUCCUUCAUGAAAAGUCAAUUACUAUCAAAUAGUAAUCAAGUCAUUCCUCAUAAAGACGAACGAUUCAUGGCCACGUUUACUUUUCAUCAACCAUGUAAUGCCAAUGAGAGGAUACCAUUUACCCAUGUCUCAGGUUAUGAAUUUCACUAUUGUGAAUGGCGCUACAUACUACAAAACUCAUUUAAUAAGUACAAUAAUUGAAAAAAAAUACCAAAACUAAUAAGUAAAACUCAUUUAAUUUUAAAGUAAAGUUUAAGGACUAAUCAUAAAUUUAGUAAAACCUUUUUGUAAAAUUGAGAGUGAAAUUAUGGAAUUAACCAUAUAAGAUUUAAUCAUGCAAAUUUUUAAGUCAUUUCAUAGCAUUUAAGGACUCCAAUUGAAAAGAUAACAAAACAUGCUCAAAACCUACAUAUGACACAUUGACACCUAUCCACACAUACUAUUUUGUGUUUUCAUGCUAAUUUUCAUAUUCUAACAUAUCAUAUAACAUAUAUAGAUCAUACAAAUCAUACUCAAUUACACUAAAACAUACUUUAACACUCUAACUAGUUAGCUAUACUAGCAUGCAAUCCUAAAGUCACAACUCAUAUUACUUAACAUCUCAAUUUUGCAUCUCAUACAUUUCUAAGUGUAUUAUAGGUUCAUACCUUACCUAUUUGGUCAUUUUAAGCUUGUCUCAAUGAUCAGCAAGUCAUUCAAGCAUUUAUAACAAUAAUUCAUUAAGCACAUGCAUAUCAUUCAUCAUGCAACAAAAAUUUAACAAUCAUGCAUUACCUAUUUGGAAUGUAACAUUCCAAGAGAUAAUGAUCUUAUGUUCAAACUCUACUAAAUGUGAUUUAUAAAAUUUUAAAAUUUCUAAUAUUCUUUAAAAAUUUUAUUAAAUUUUAGUAUUUUCAUUUUUUGUAACUUUUUCUUUUUAAUUAUUUUAAUAAGGUUUGUAAUUUUUAAAAUAUUUUUAAUUUUUAAUUUUUAUAAUUUUACUAAAUUUAUUUUUUCUAUUUGUUAAUAGUUUUGCAACUUUUUAAUUAAUUUUUAUAAUUUUAUAAUUUUUAAUAUUUUUUUAAUAAUUUUUUGUAUGUAUUUUUAAGGUUUUUCGGACGACGACGACAUAGUAACAUCAUUGUAUGACACAUGACAGCAUAUGUUUGGUUGACCAAUUUUUUUAAUGUCCAAAGGGCUGAAUCAAGAAAACAUGAUAAUGUUAAGGACUAAACUGAGAACAUCUGAUAAUAUUAAGGAUUAAAGUGUUGAUUAAGCAUUUUGAAUUUGGAAGAAACUUAAAAGCUUCACGCAGCACGCUACAUCAACGACUGAGUUUUGAGUUUGUUCAUAUAUACACAUUUUAUUAUUUAUAAUUAAAAAAUUUCAGUUCUCACGUGCGAUUGACAUUCUGUACCGGUUUCCUAAUUGCUCCCGUACGGAUGUAUGAGGAGUUGGUGAAGACUAGGACUUGCAAUUUAUCUGCUUUAGACUGCUUCCCUAGCACUUCUUGUUUACUUUUUAUUAUUGUUAUCUAGAAACAACUAGAUUUAACUUAAUUCUUUGGUAACAAUUUUACUUUUCAUCUCUGUUGAAAAUAUGAGUACGUAAAAGAGAUGUGAGCAUGGAAAUUAUACUUUGAGCUCAUAUUUAUAGCAUAACAGGGUCGGAGUUGAAGGAGGGAAUGAGUCAAGAAAGGAUCCAAAUUCCAGUUUCAUGAAUUUGACAGCUAACGCAGUAAUUGUUUACUGUGGUUUGAUUUUGGUCCCAAAGAGAAAGCCAUACUAGAUCUGAUCACACGAUUAGCCUAUUUAAUCUUAAUCGAAUAAAUUUAGUCUAUGCUUUGGCACAGUUUUCAACAACUACAGGGGAUUAUUUCUUAUGUGUCAAUUUUGGCUUUCUUUCUUCAAAAGAUACCGAUAAUUGAAAAAACCAACACAACUUCCUAUUAAUUUUCUUCUUUAUUUUUCCUUAGUUGUCAAUCUUGGCUUGUUAUUAAAAGCUGCAGUAAAUAUAAUGGACCAAUUAUGUACAGCUUAAAUUAACGACUUGCUGACAAUAAAAAGUGUGUUAUACCCGAAACAAAACAAACUUUAUUAAAUUAGUUUUACGCUUUUAAAUAUUUUAAUAAUCAAACUUUCAUUUUUUAUAUUUCACUUAUAUAAAUCAUAAUUUUAUUGUUUCAAUAAAUAUUAAUAUAUAAUAUUUCAGAUCAAUAUAAUAGAGAUAUCGGAUUUGUUCAAAUUUUUACACCUAUGAUAAGUACAUUUAUAUCAAUAAUUUCAAUUGUUGAGUAGUUAAAAUAUUAAUUAUAUAAAAAGAUACGAAACUAUUUUAAUUUUACAUUAGUAUAAAUGGAUCUCACCCUGCUAACAUGUUUUAAUUUAAUGGUAAUUUUUAAGUUUUCAAGAAUUUUGAAAUUUUAUAUUCAAUUCUGACUAUUUCAUUCUAAAUUCUUUGUGGUUUAUAAAUCUAAUUUUUAUAUAUAGAUCAAAUAUAUUUCAGUUAUAAUAUUUAAUUUUAGUUGUAGUUAUUUGAAUAUAUUACUUCGAUUGCAAUUACAAUCUCUAAAACAUUAUAAUGGUAGAAAAAAAUCAUCUUAAAUAUUUAUAUUAUUAAUAGGAUAAAUUUUACAAAUGGUCACUUAAUCAUGUUCACAUUCCUGUUUUGAUCAUCCAAUUUUAAAAAAUUUCAAUUUAGGCACUAUCAUUUGAAUUCGUUCCUAUUUUGAUCAUCCACAUUUAAAUUUAUAAUGGAAAGCCUUUUUUCUAACUAGUAUAAUAAUACAUUUCAUCCACAAUACUUACAUAUUAUACCAAUUCAAUCCUAAUUCUAAAUAAUUCAAUAAAUUUAACCUGUCACAUUUACAAAUUCUAUCAAUUUGAUCCUCAUUUAUUGAAUUAUUUAGAAUUAGGAUCAUGUUAAAGUAAUUAAUAAGCAGAUAGUUAGUUAGCUGGUUAGCUAACUGUUGUAAGUUUCAGUUGAAAGAAGUUAAUGUGUUUCUAUAAAUAAGCAAAUAGAUGAUUGUACUUCCAAGGUUCUUGAUGAAUAAAAGAUUAAUUUAGUACAGAUACAGCUGUUAUGAUGAUAUCUUAACAUGGUAUCAGAAGUUGUUGUGUUGAACGUGUUUCUUGUAUUUUCUUUUUGUUUCUUUCAUGGAUUUCUCCUCCAGUCCUUCUGCUGUGCAAUCUGCUUUUCCUGCCAUGAAUACAAACUUCUCUGAUAGUCUUGCUGAUUGUCAUUUUCUUUCCACUAAGAAGAUCAGUGUGUUAUUGGAUGAUAAUAACUACUUACUAUGGCGUCAAUAGGUUAUUCUGGCGCUCAAAACUUUCAGACUACAACAUUUUCUUGAUCCUGCCACAUCACCUCCGCCUCAACGGAUUCUGGACGAUAAUGGUGUUCUUCAGGAGAACCCGGAGUUUUCUCGAUUUGAGCAGCAAAACUGUGCUCUAGCCUCUUGGCUACUAUCCUCUGUAAGUACAAGUGUUUUACUGCAUCUUAUUGGUCUAGAGUCCUGCUCUCAGAUUUGAAUGCUAUUGUUGAUCUUUUUGGGAGCAAGACUACUUCUCGUUUAAUGUCUUAUAGACAGACGUUACAUUCUCAACGCAAAGGUGACUUAUCUAUGAAGGAUUUCCUACUAAAGAUUAAGAGUUGUUGUGAGAAUCUUGCUAAUUGUGGAGAGAUCAUCAGUGAGCGUGAACAUGUCACUGCCAUUCUAAAUAGUUUGCCGUCUAAGUAUGAGUCGGCCAUCACUGUUGUCACUGCAAGUCAAGUUCCGUAUACUGUUCGAGGGGUGUCUACUAUUCUUCUUGAUGCUGAAACCAAACAGCAGGUUAUAGUCAAUGAAGAUCCUAGUUCAGCAAAUCUUGUGUCUAGUCAAGAGACAAGUUCUAUGGAUACAACUACUUCAGCCCCUACAUAUCGCCCUUCCUCAACAAAUUGAGGAAGAGGGCGUGGUCGCUCUUACGGCUCUCGGAUGCAGUGUCAACUAUGCGGGAAAAUGGAUCACCUUGUGGAUCGGUGCUAUCAUCGAUUUGAUGCGUCAUAUAAGAGUGUUGGCUAUAAACCACCUGGGGCUCCGCAAGCAAAUUUGAGUAUGGUUAGGUCUGCUUGUCCGAUGACACUUUGGAUGCCAAUUCUGCUUGCUGUCAAUCCAAAUCCUCAAUCAGGUUGGUACAAUUCCCCUGGUUAAUCUCCUAAUUGGACUAACCCAUUUGUUCACAAUUUCCCACAGUAUGGACCCAUGUCUUCUUCGACAUCUCCCACAGUUUCUCAGGCUCAGAUCCAUGCAGCGACUCCUGCAACAGUAGCUGAUAAUGCUUGGUAUCCAGACUCUGGUGCCACUCACCAUCUGACAAAUUCAAGCUCAUCUAUAGGUGAACAACAAUCUUGUACCGGCCCAGGUAAGGUGUAUGUGGGUAACGGUUCUACACUUUCUGUUAUGUCCAUGGGUCAAUUGUCACUGCUCACUCGGUCCCGAUUCUUACACAUGAAGUUAUUAUUGUAUGUACCUGGGAUAACUAAAAAUCUUCUUUCUGCAUCAAAGUUUACAAAAGAUAAUGCAGUAAUGUUUGAGUUCUAUCCUACACAGUGCCAAGUUCGUGAUUUAAAAGCUAGAAAGGUGCUUCUCUAUGGCUCUAUACACGAUGGGUUAUACAAGUUACAUCUUUCCAAUGCUGGCUUAACGGUGUUACCUGCUCAAUCUGCUCAGUGUUUUUCUGCUCAUUCUAUGGUUUCACUUGAUGUUUGGCAUUACAGAUUAGGACAUCCGUGUAAUGUUCUACUUAAAAGGGCUCUGUCUAAAUAUAAUAUACACUUUGAUAUGAAUAAACAAGUUGCUUGUUGUCAUGCAUGCCAUCUAGGGAAAGAACGUAAACAACCAUUUCCUCAGUCUGUCUCUGAAUACUCCGCUCCUUUACAACUUGUAGCUGCUGAUGUCUGGGGACCUACUCCAGUAGUAUCAAAUAGUUUUCGCUACUAUGUGGGGUUUACGGAUACAUAUUCACGAUACACAUAGGUAUAUUUUCUACGAAAAAAGUCAGAUGUUCUUGGUGUGUUCUCAGUGUUUCAUAAACAAGUAGAAAGGAUUUUGGGUUGCAAGCUUAAAACGCUGCAAACUGAUAGAGGAGGCGAGUUUCAAGCCUUGAAAGGAUAUUUGACACAACAUGGAAUUGUGCAACGUGUCACCUGUCCGUACACGUCACAGCAGAAUGGCUUGGUCGAACGUAAACAUAGGCAAAUCGUGGAAGUCAGUCUUUCUAUGCUGGCGCAUGUAAGGAUGCCAAUUAAUUACUGGAAUGAUGCCUUCAGCAGUGCUAUUUUUUUGGUUAAUAGGCUACCUUCCUCACCUAUAAGGGUGUCUCCGUAUGAAAAGUUGUUUCGAGAAUGUCCUCCUUACUCGUUUUUGCGGGUGUUUGGGUGUUUAUGCUUCCCUAACUUACGUCCUUACAAUACGUCCAAGUUACAGUUUCGAUCCACUCUGUGUACGUUUUUAGGAUACUCUCCGACUCAUAAAGGGUAUUAGUGUCCGGCAGCAGAUGGAAAAGUUUACAUUUCUCGCCAUGUUACGUUUUAUGAAGAUGUUUUUCCGUUUAAAAAUCUCAGCUCCAGGCCAUCACCUCCUUCACCUGACAUAGCACAGUCGAGUUCUAGACUGCUUGUUAUGCAACCUGGUUGUUCGCCCAUGGGUAGUACAGGUCACCACUAACAUGCUGUCCCGACUAGUGCUAGUAACACUCUAGCUCAAGGUUCUUCUAUUAGCUCAAGGUUCUCUUCAUAUGUACCCAGUAACGCUACAGCUCAGAGUUCUUCUGCUAGCUUGAGGCAAUGCACGACGCGCGAUAGGACUGCUACCACCCCUUCCGGAUUGGUUGUUCCAGCUAACUCACAUGCCAUGGUUACAAGUAGUAAAGCUGGUAUCUUCAAGCCUAAGGUUUACUUGAGUAGUACGGAUGCUGCAACAACCGAUGUUUCUUCUGACAUUCAUGAACUAUGCAACAGACUUGUUGGCAAACGACGGUUCAUGCUGAGUUACAAGCUCUUCAGCAGAAUAAGACAUGGGAACUGUGUUCUCUACCAGCUAACAGACAAGUUAUUGGGUGCAAGUGGCUAUUGAAAGUAAAAAGGAAGGCUGAUGGUACUGUGGAUAGAUACAAAGCGCGCUUGGUGGCGAAGAGAUUUUCACAACAUGUUGGCUUUAAUUUUCAGGAUACUUUUAGUCUUGUAGUUAAAGCAGUGACUAUACGAAUUGUGCUAGCUAUUACUGUUAUGAAAGGCUGGCCCAUUAGACAGGUAGACAUCAACAAUGCGUUCCUUAAUGGAGAACUGAUAGAAGAAAUCUAUAUGGCACAACCACUUGGUUUUGAAGUUAUAGGUCAAAAUAGAUAGCAGCUUGUGUGUCGUCUGGCUAAAGCUCUUUAUGGGCUAAAGCAAGCCCCCCGAGCUUGGUUUCAAACACUAAAGGAGUAUCUUGUACAUAAGCUUGGCUUUCAUGCUUCAAAAGCCGAUCCCUCAUUGUUUAUUCGCGAUUCUGAUGGUCAACUAUUACUUCUCAUGGUGUAUGUGGAUGACAUAGUUGUCACAGGUAACUCAGUUGCUACCAUUAACACAGUUGUCAAGGUACUUCAUGACAAGUUUUCCCUUAAAGACAUGAGACAACUGAAUUUUUUCUUGGGCAUUGAAGUUCGGCAUACAUCUCAGGGGUUGUUCCUAAAUCAAAAGAAGUACAUUGGAGAAAUACUGCACAAAACAUACAUGACAGGUGAUGUAUCCACACCCACACCUAUGUUGAGCUCCUCAAAGCUAGUAGCCUCAGACGAUUCUUUAGAGUUUACUGAUGGUUCCCUAUAUCAGAGUACAAUAGGUAUGCUUCAAUACCUGUGCAUUACAUGACCUGAAUUGGCAUUUUGUGUGAACAAACUAAGCCAAUAUAUGAAUUCUCCUAGUGAUGAGCAUUGGAAAGUAGUAAAACGGGUCUUAAGAUAUCUUGUUGGGAUUAUGGAUCAUGGUCUAUUUUUCUCAAAGGGUCAGUUUAAACUGGAAUGUUAUUCUGAUGCUGACUGGGCAGCCUUAGUUGAAGAUAGAUGUUCUACAACAGGAUAUGUCAUUUUUCUCGGGUCGAAUCCAGUUGCAUGGUCCUCUAAGAAGCAGGCUGUGGUCUCAAGGUCAUCUUCUGAAGCCGAGUAUCGUAGUCUAGCUAAUUGUGUUGCUGAAUUACUAUGGGUAAAACAACUGCUGGAUGAAAUUGGACUGUCAGUUUGCCAAACACUAGUCAUCUGGUGUGAUAAUACCUCUACAGUAUCCAUGGCUGCAAACCCGACUCAUCACGCUCGUAUGAAACAUGUUGAAAUUGAUCACCACUUUAUUCGGGAAAAGGUGAUGGCAGGGGUUUUGCAUGUUAAUUUCGUUCCUUCCACGAGGCAAAUUGCAGAUGUUCUUACCAAACCCAUACCCCCCACUCAAUUCAUUGAUUUUCGACAGAAGCUUCAAGUUUGUUCAAAAUGAUAGCUGUUGUCAGGGUUUAGUAAAACCGGGAGAAUGUUAAAGUAAUUAAUAAGCAGUUAGUUAGCUGGUUAGCUAACUGUUGUAAGUUUCAGUUGAAAGAAUUUAAUGUGUUAGUUAAUGUGUUUCUAUAAAUAAGCAAAUAGAUGAUUGUACUUCCAAGGUUCUUGAUGAAUAAAAGAUUAAUUCAGUACAGAUAUAGCUGUUAUGAUGAUAUCUUAACAAAAUUGAUAGAAUAUGUGUUAUUUUACCAUUUAGAAAAUGGCUUCCCGUUAUUAAUUUAACGAUGGAUGACCAAAAUAAGAACAAAUCUAAACGUUAAUGCUUAAAUUAAAAAAAUUAAAGUUGAGUGACCAAAAUAAAAACACAAACAUAAUUGGGUGGCUAUUUGUAGAAUUUACCCUUAUUAAUAAUAAAAGAGUUGAGGUUCAAUUAAGGUCGAGGAAAUAAAAUUUCAUACCCUAGGCUUGAUUUGUAUUUUAAAUGGAUCUUAUUUUUGGUCAUUGAAUAAUGUAAUAUUUUUUAAUCCAGCCGCCCAUGUUUGUUCCUUUCUUUUGGGCAGUAAAUCCUUAGUGCUUCCAUCCUGGGGUAAUGUUGAAGAAUUCGACUGUAAAAAUCAUUCCUAUUUCUGGAAAACCAAAAACUGUAAAAUUGUUCUAACUUCGACUUUUUUACAAAGGAUAAAAAUAGGGAGUUGUCUAAAUAUUAAACUCGAGAUUGAUAUUAAUGAAAGAUUUAAACAUUAUUUUUUAUCACUCUAUUUAUGAUUCAAUCAUCGGUAAUAGUAUUAUAAAGACUUUUGUAAUAAGAGUUAGAUUGUAUUUUGCCCACUGUAUUACAAAAAGGGUAAAUUAAUUCAUGUACUUUAAACCAAAGAGCAUAUUGAUCAUUCUGUUAAAAAUUUCAUCUAUUUUCUACUAUUAAAAAUUGGUUUAUGUACAUCAACAUAACGUAUACGUGGCACGUCACAUGUUACUGACUGGUAAUUUCAUUAGACACGCUAGUUUUUAACAGUACAAAUAGAUGAUUUUUUUAAUAGAAAAGAUUAAAUUACUUAUUGAUCUAAUGUACAUGGACCAAUUUGUCUAUUUUUAAAGUAUAAAAAAUAAAAUGCAAUCUAACUCUUAUUAUAAAAACCUAUAUGAUGCUUUUACCAUCAAUCAACACAUCUUAGAUCUUAAUUUUAUGGGAACAAAUAAAAUAAUGUGAACUAGGAUAAUUAAAAAUAAAAAAUCUGGUGCCAAUUGGGGUUGCGUUUUUUUUAUCUAUUAUUUUGUAAUUAGAUCAAACGUUUGGUUUAAUUUUCGAAUACAUAAAUGCAUAUUUAAACCACCGACAGAGAAACGAUGGUAAACUGUUGUUAUCAAUUUUUUUGUAAGUGUUUGACUAAUUAAACUGUUGCUAUCGGACGGCUGUCAUGGAAUCCAAUUGUUUUUAUUGAAAUCUUUUAACGUGGGGAUAAAGGAAUAAAUAUAAAUUAUCUCCAUUGAUAAUUAUGAAAAUGAUUCCAACUAUUCUGUACCGUGAAGGUAUUUUCAACCCUACAGCUUUUGAUAACGUUAUAUUUGUCAUUUUAUGUCACCAAAAUGUUAUCAAACAAUUACCCAAAGCCGGAGUAACAUUUUUUAAUAGGUUUAUAUUUUAUAAUUCAGUUUAAUUUUUUAUUUAAAUUCAGUGUUAAUAAUAUAUAAAUAUUAUUUUAAGCAAAUAUUCCGCUCGAAAUUCGAAUUCAACUUUUAAGAAACCUCUCUCUCUCUUUCUUGCUCAUCGGAAACGAUACACAUUGAGAAUUUCCAUGUUUAUUAUUUUGUUAUUCAAUAUUGAUUUAUAGUGCGUACAAAUUUGAGGUAAAAGAAUAUUUAUUAUCUAAAUUCAUUUUGAUUUUUUAUGGUUAACAAAAUUCAAGUUAUUAUAUAUUCAAACUGAAUAACAAUUUAUAUAUUUAAAAUUAUUAUUUAAAUAUACAAUUUUAUUUUUUGAAAAUAAUUUAAUAAAUUUUUGUAACACCCCAAAAUAUAUAAGGUUAGAAAUUUAAUUAAUCACCAAAAAAAUAGUUUAGUUUUGAUGGUUACAUAGUUAGAAAAGUUUUUAAGUCCCCUCUUCCCAGGAACAAAAUCAAUCUAGUAUAGACAUUAAAUGUGGUAGAAAUAUUGAAAGCAUGGAUAGUAGCCUAAUGACUAAACUCUCUUUUUAUCCAUUACGUCCCUAGUUCCAGUCACACCACUAUCCCUUCUCAUUUCUUUUUUGGACGGCAAGAAAGAAAAUUUUCCUAAUUAGCCCUUUAAAAUGUGAAAACCCUAACUAUUUAAUCAUCUUUCCAAAUCAAAAUAAAACUCUAGUUUUCCUUUUCCAACUGAACAAGGGUUUCAUUUUUUUUUCCCUAUUUCUUCCCCUAUUCUUUUUCAUCUUCCCCCUUCAAUUAUUUUCUUUACAUUGAUGGAAAUUUUAUUUUGAUCCUAAGUUUGAAAUCGAGCCCCAUUCAAUCAAUUUUUUAAUUGAUUUAGCAUAACAACGUUGAAUCCUGUAUUAAAUGUUGCCAAGAAUCAAUAAGAACAUCUCAAUUUUAACAUUUAGAUAUCAAAAUCCCCAUAGGUUCUAUUUUUGUUAAUUUCAAGAUCGAUUAAGCGAUCUUUUUUACAAAUAUUACCGAUUCCUUCCUAAAAUCUUGAUUUUUCCUUGAAGAUCGUUAUUAAUCCUUGCGUAUUUUUCGGUUGAAAGACUCGUUAUAAGUAUCCUAGAUCAAACUUGGACGUGAAGAUUAUCGUUUGAAACCCUAAAAGUCAAGUGUGUAUUUUUUCACAAGAAAGUCGAGACAAAAUCGAGCUUAGGAUAUGCCAUAUGGCUAGCCACACGGGUGUGUGGGUCGCCCGUAUGGACCACACGACCACCAUACGUGACCAUGUCCUCCUUGAAACCCUAAAUUUUCACUUCUCACACGACCUAGGACACCCCAUACAGCCUGCCACAUGAUCGUGUAACCUCUAUGGUUGUAGUUUCAAUUGCCACACGACCAUAGUCUCACACAUGGCCUAGCCACAUGACCAUGUACCCCCUUCACACGAUCUAGGGGUUCCCACACGGUCCAGUCACACGGCCAUGUGUUUCCUAUAACUCAGAAUUUACAGUUUUGACCUAAAAUUUUAUCUUUUGAUUAGAUUAGUCAUUGAAUAUAUUAUGAAUUACUUUUAGUGAAUUAAGUUAUGCAAUUAGGUCCUUGAUGAUAAGAAAAAAGGUAGAGUUCAGGAUUGACUGAUUUAUUGUAAUAUUUAUUUAUAUUUAUGAAUAUUUGAAUGAGACAUGAAUAAGUUAUGUUGCUAUUGAAUCUAUACUUGCGAAUGUAUGUACAACAUGCACUAUAAUAUUGUUAACCCGAAUACCUGAUAAAAUCAUGACUAUGUUACUAAUAUUCCAUGUGUUAGCAUAUUAGAUACUAUCAUAUUUUGUUUGUAUUCAAUAUUUCAUAAUGUAUUGCAUGGGUUGGAACAAUAUGUAUAGAGGAAAAUCAGACAAUCUAUCUGCAAGAAAAAUAGCGGUGCAAGUCACAACCAUGCGACAGUUCUUAUCUACAAAUUACUGUGUAUCAAAAGUAAAAUGCUGAUUUUGAAGACGAGUUUAUGCUGUAAAAUCUACAGCCAAAAAAUAGGUCCCAUCUGCAGGACUUUUGCUGUGAACCCACAACCAAAGACGGAUUCUAACUACGGGGACUUGUUGUAUGCCCACAACUUAAUGGCAGUUAUUAUUUGUGAACCAGUAGUUGUUUAUCCACAUAUCGAUGUGUUGAAGAAGGGAGUUCUAAGGAACUCUUAUUAUGGUGUGUGGCGACGGGGUAGGAUUUAUUCUAUUUAAACUCGGAACUGUAUGGCAUCAUUUAAUUCAUGUGCAUACAAAUCUAAAAAUUAUGUUAUAAUACAUAGGCGUAAAUAUAUAUAUGUGUAUGAAUAUGAUUAUUAUGGGAAAAUAUGGGAAUUUUGGUUAAUUUUAAAAAUUAUUAUUGUGAGUUCUGACAUAUUAAUGAUGUCAUGAGGUUACUUUUGUUCAAACGUACUAAUAAUUGGUCGACUAAUAGCAAGGUUACUUACAUUUCCUUAAGCUCCCCCAAACUUAACCUCCUAUAAAUAGACAAUGGCAUGGGGUUGAUACUGGCAUCGAGGUCACAUAGGGUUUUCCUGAAACUCACUCCACCUAUUUCAAUGGGAAUGGUAAAGCUACCGGGAUCCUUUAGUUUGGGCGAAACUCUUCUAGACACCGUCGUACUUUAUUUUUUGUUAAGUGUAAUUUACUCUUUUCUCCCUAUUUUCCUUCGAUGAAACAUAACUUCUCUAAGGAACUUGACAUUUUUAGGCAUUUUCUCAAGGAUUUCAAAUAAGAGGAAGUUCAUGUUCAAGGCUUUAAACAUCUUGAGGAAGUCUGUGAACUCCUCAUCAUCCUUCUUCUUUCUCUCCUCUAAGCGGCUCGAAAAGGGUAUGGGCCUUGGGGUAGGUGGUGGUGGUGGAAUGAUUCUAUCUUCGAUUUUGACUUGUGUGGGUACACUAUAAGGUUUUUUCGUCUCGAGCACCCCGUCUCCAGCACUAGAAGUGCAGAUGCUAUCGUCCUUCUCACUCACUUCCUUCUCCCCACAAUUUGGUCAGAUAGGUUCCUUAACUACAGCCUUAUAUCUAAGAGUGAUUGCAUUGGUAUGCUCUUUUCCUUUUCUCUUCGGAAUAGGUUCGGUAUUAUUGGGUAUGCUAGAUACUAAAUUAUUUUGUAACAGUUACAAAACUUGGUCCAAUUGGCUACUGAUCUGGCGCACAUCGGCUUACACUAAAUGCAAACCUUUCUUUACCUUACUCACCCUAAUUGAUAAUGAUAGGUCACUACUAUAGGUUGGUUUCCUUUCUUGGUCUUGGGGUGCUCUAAAAAGUAAUGGAGGAUGGAAUGGUGUGUUAGGAUUUAGAGGAUUAGUGUUUUGGUUCCCUUGAUAUUACGGUCCUACUUGGUUCUUUCCCCACCUAAGGUUAGGAUAUUCACGCUACUCGGGGUUAUAAGUGUUGAAGUAACAGUUAUAUACUCUAUUCCCCACAUAAUUCACCUCCAUAUAGUUGCUCUCCUCAUCGUGUCCUACAAUAAAAUUAGUUAGAUUGGGCUAGUUUUAGACUUGCACCUUAGUCGCGCUCAUCUUCAAUUGGUUUAACCUUUCGAGGAUUUUUUGAUACUUAUCCUUGCCACUAACAGCGUUUGUUGCCGCUUAUUUAGCUCAAUAUGUGAACCGCUCAGCUGACCACAUAUAAGAGUUUAUUAUCACAUCUUCAAUGAGUUAACAGGUCUUGGCAUAGGUUUUUAACAUGAAGGCUCCGACGGAUGGUCCAUCAAGGCUAGAGUGUAAAUUCCUAUCAAGUCCAUUGUAGAAGAUUUGAAGUUGCAGUCAAUCUUGUAAGCCAUGGUACGAACACUUGCACAACAUCAAUUUGAAGCGUUCUCAAGCCUCAUAUAAUGACUCUUCUUCCAGUUGUCAAAAAUUCGUAAUGUCCAUCCGAAGUUUCAUGGUCUAGCUUGGUGGGAAAUAUUUUACCAAAAAUUUGCUUGCUAGCUCAUCCCUAGUGUUGAUUGAAUCUAUUGGCUGCGAAUAAUCGAAGAUGAAUAGUAUUAUCGGAUACCCUAUUAUACUUGAAAGUAUCACAAAUGGUUCGAAACCGUUUAAAGUGUUUAUUUUGAUCAUCAUUCAUUAACCCUCAAAGUUGAAGGUUUGAUUUUAUCAUUUGGAUUAGCGCCAAUUUAAUUUCAAAGUUGUUAGCAUUAAUCAUCGAGCGAUUAGUGCUACCUCAAACAACAUCUAGGUUUGGCAUCGCAUAGUCGCAUAAAGUUCUUUGCUCCAUGAGUGGUUGUGGUGGUUGCCGAAUUUCUUCUUGAGGAUUUUCAAAAGGUUUCUCUCUCAGUGGAAAGGGUAUGUCUCUUGGAUGUUGCGCCCUUCUUACGUGUGUGAUGAUACGUUCCAGUUCCGGCUCAAACGGUAAUACACUAUUACUGGUUCGAGUCAUACAAUGUUCUUACAAGCACGAGAGAUUGAAGAAAAUUAAAUUUGAAAACAAAAUAAAAAUAAUAGAAAAUAAGGCCAUAUCUAUAAAUCCUACUUUGGCUACUUAUCUCUAAGUAAAAGUGUACACUAAAAAUUACUUAAUCUUACACCAUCUUCUCGGGCAACGGCGCCAACAACUUGACUGACUGUACACGUGCACAUUAAAACACUGAAUUUAUUUAAUAAUUUUUAAAUCUUGGUUUUACUACAAGCAUACAGGUCAGUUGUAAUAUUUAUAAUGUUACAAUAAAACACCGAAGUAUUCCAAGGAUCGAACCCAAAGGAAGAGAUUAUUGAGCAAUAACUAGCAUACAUAAUAAAGUUUCAGUGGCUACUAAUAUAAUUUUAUUGUAUAGUAGCCCAUAAAAGAUGGUUUUUGCAAGAAAAUUAGAUAUUUACCAUAAGGACUAAAUUGCAUGAAAUGUAAUCUAGAGGGAUUAUCUAGCAAAUAACUAAUGAGGGUUGGUUGACUUCGAUAUGGUUCACCAAGUUUCAGACUCGGGAUAUAAAUUGCUUAAAUUACUAAGUGGCUCCAUUUUAUCUUUCGAUCUAAAUCUUACCGACUUAGAUGAAUUAGGCCGGCUUAUCUUCUGACCUCACCGGUUAAUCUGGGACUAACGAAUGGGUGUGCAACAAAAUUACCUUUCGACCUCACUUUAUCUUAAUAUUCUCUUAGUCACUACCUAAGUUCUUAGUUCUAUUCAAAUUAGUCCAAUUUGUUACGAUUUAGUCCUUUGUCCAAAUAGUUUAGUUUACCCGCACCUCCAUCAACCAACCUCCUUAAGGGUUUAGCUACACAUGCUCAAAGUGAAGAAAAUAAACAUAGAAAUGGAAAACAAGGCAGCCAUGAAAGUAAAGCUUGAGAAAAACAUAAAAGUAGAGAUUUUUAUGCAAGAAAACUUAAGUAGCAUGAAACCAAAAACAUUUAACAAAGAAAUCUAAAGCAAGGAACAUAAAAGGAACAAGCUUUAACAUAUUUAAAGUAAAAUAAACUAAAAUGCAUUAAAUGAAAGCUUAGAGAGUCUUGAAAGCAAAGUACAGGGACUAGAAAUGUAAAUAAACCUUGGCUAUAGUGUUAACCAACUUAACUAACAUAAAGAACAACAAGAACAAGAAGUAAAUGUAGAAAAAUAAACUAUAAUCUAAUGUAGAAAAAGAGAAAAAUAAAAACCUUAGAAAAUCUAAAAAAAACUAGAGAAAACUAAACCUAAAUUGAACUAAUAUGUGUCUCCUUCCUCUUCAGCAAUUUUUGGCUGCUUUGAAGUGUAUUCUGAUGAAUUUUUAAUGCCAAAAAUGCCUUUACACGGGCCUUGUGUGAUUGGUGGCCGAGUAGACAAAGGUUGCUCUUUUUGUCCAAGUUUGCCCCCUCACAGAAGUAAUAUCACGAUACCUGGAGGAGGAUAUUGCGAUAUCUCGAGCACUGUUGAAACUUGGGGUCUUCAUUGGUAUAUGGAUAUUGCGAUUGAAACACCCCUAACCCGUAUCUGUCACCGAAACAUGGUUAUGGAGAAUUACCAGAAUAAACAGAUUAAAUUCAUACAUUUCAUAUUAUUAUUUAAUAUUCAUGUCAGAUAUUAUUCAUAAAGUCCAUUAUGAGAGCCUUCGAGGCUCAAAUUUCACUUUAGAAUCAAAUUGGGACUAAAUCAAAAACUCAGAGAAUUUUUUGUGAAAUUUCAAAAUUUUCCAAGGUGUAGGGGACACACGCCCAUGUGGUCAGGCUGUGUGGCUCACACGGCCAAGUGAAACACCCUUGUCUUAGGCCGUGUGGUAUUUGAAGUAAGGCACACGGCCGUUUCCCCAGCCCAUGUAACUCUCUGAAUUGCAAUACAUUUAACUGGAGGGGUCACACAGCCAAGCCACACACCCGUGUGCCAGGCUGUGUGAUCAAUUCUGAGCAUUUUGUUUUAAAAUUUUAAGAUGCAGGGGACACACAGAAAGAACACACCCCCAUGUGCUAGGCUGUAUGUCACACACGGCUGAGACACACGCCCGUGUCUCUGCCCAUAUGGACAAAUUAAGGUCAUUUCCAAGUCUUAUUCUUCACCCAAUUUCACCUUCCAUCUAUAUAAGCAUUUAAACACAUUCAAGAGCCAAUUCAAGACAUUUAAACCUAUCUAAAUUCAAGUCUUAUGCAUGACAUAUUAAUACCUACAAUCAAAUGUCCAACUUACCAAGAUAGCCUAACACUUAUAAACAUGUUUUACCAAGUACACUAUCAUAAACUAAUAUCCAAUAUACUUAUAUGAUUUUCCUCAUUCACCUCUUUAAACAUACUCAUCAAGCAUAUUAAGACUAUUUACAUAUCAAAACAUAUCAUUUAAUAGCCAUUCCAAUGGCUAAUUUCAACCAACAUUAAAUUGCCAUCAAUGGUAACAUUUAACCUAUACAUGCGAUUAUUACCAAAAUUAGUUUACUAUUUAUAUAUAUACCGAAAAGUCUAGGGGAUAGUGUGAUAUAGCUCCGACUAGCUUCCAACCUUUACGAGCCUCCGAGUACUAUAAAAUAGAGGAAAUAAGACAGAGUAAGCACUUAAUUCUUAGUAAGUUCGUAUAACGGGAAAUUAACUUACCAUUCAUUUACUUAUAUAAUAAACAUGCAUAAUACAUCCAAAGCAAUUGGGCAAUUAGCCUAGCACAUAUAACCUUAACAAACAUGUUAGUCAUGUAUUUUAUGUGAAUAACAAGAACAAGGAUGAGCUCAUCAGGUAUCGAGUUUCCAAGUAUUUCAUGCAUAUAUAGAUAAUAGUUUCAUUUUGAUUUCACAUGUUCUCAUGUCAGAAUUUCACCCGUUGAAUCAUUUGAAAUCUCGAUGGAUACUUAGGUAGUACACUUGAAGUGUACAAUACUAUAAAUCCGUCAAUUCGUAUUCGGGAGUGCUUUUAUGAUUACUUAAAUAGAAAGAUCUCUCUCAAACACUAUAACAGGAAGCUCAUUGAGCCUUGUAACGGAAAGCUUAUCCGGGCAAUAUAACGAGAAGCUCAUAAAGAGCCUAUAACGGGUAGCUCCAAAGAUCAAUUAACGAGUAGCUCCGAAGAGCAAUUAACGGGAAGCACUGGAUAGCCAUAUAAAGGGAAGUUCAAACGAGCACUACUGGGAAGCUCACAAAGAGCCUUUAAUCGGGAAGCUUACGAAGAGCCAUAUAACGGGACACUCAUAAUAGCUGCGAUGUGCCCACAACACAUGUAGGGUCACAAUCGAUUGUGAUGCUCUGAAAAGCAUUUAACGAGAAGCUCGUAAGAACACUAUAACGGGAAGCUUGGGAGGGCUUGUAAUGGGAUGCUCUUUCAAGCUACGGUAUGUUUGCAACAUAUGCAGGAACACUACCAUUUCGAGAAACAGAACCCUGUAUCCAUCGAAUCUCAUUAUCCAAACGAGACUUAUUUAUUUAUCAAGAAUUUUCAGUUAGGAGAUCAAUUACAUACACAUAUAUGUCAUUUACAUAAUUUACAUAUUCAACACUCAAUAUAAGCAUAUAAAUAUAUGCAAGUAAGUUACACGAACUUACCUCGACAAUUGUUCGUGACUUAUAAAAUACUAAUCCGAUACUUUUUCUUAUCCAUGAUCUAACUUCGUUUUUGAUCUAUCCAAAUCUAUAUGAGUAAAUUUAACAUCAAAUUAAUACAAUUUAAAUUCAAUUCAGUCCAAGUCACAUCGUAGGAAAAAUUAUUAUGUUACCCUUAUACUUUUAAUUAAUGAUGAUUUCGUUUCUAAGCUUGAAAAAUAAAAUUCAUGCAAUUUAAAUCCUUAUCCCAAGCCUAGAUAUUUUCAUAUAUAAAUGAAUAGUAGCCCAUGAAUUCUAUGAAAUUUUAGAAUUUUUCAUGAAUUCAACAACUUUUCAAUUUAAUCUAUAAAUCAUGAUUUCAUCUAAAAUCCUUUAAUAAAAUACCUUUAAAUAUCCAUCAACAUCUCAAUUUCAUCAUAUAAUAACUAAAAUCAUAUAAAAUUAUUAAUGGAAUCUUCCACAACUUUCAAUAAAAUCAAAAACUAAUGAAAUGGUUAGUUGGACCUAAUUGUAAAAGUCCCAAAACAAAAAAAUUUCAAGGAAAGAGCAAGAAUUAAACUUGCAUGAAGAAAAUAUUGAAAAAUUUACAAUGGAUGGUUUAGAACUAAAAAAUGAUGAUGAAAAUGUCUAGAAUUUCAAUUUCCCUUUUAUUUGACUUAAAUUUGGCAAAAUUUACAAUUUUGCCCUUAUUUCACAUCAAUUCCUUGAUUUUUCUAUGCUUAUGCUGCCUCAACCAUCCCAUGUGGGUCCAAUUGCCCAUUUAGUCCUCUUUUAUUUACUAUUUAGGCUAUUUAAUCAAUAUUUCUUUAAUUAUCAAGUUUUACACAUAUUUCAAUUUAGUCAUUUUUAAUGAAUUAACCACCAAAAUGUUAAAAUUCUCUAACGAAAAUUUAUUACUACCUUAAUGACCCAUCGUAAAUAUUUAUAAAAAUAUUUACGGCUCAGUUUAUAGGAUCGAGAUCUUGAUACCUCUUUUCUAAGUCACUUAACCUAAUAAAGCCUUAUAAAACACAAAUUACUAAUUCAAAACUCUUUUAAAACCAUAUUUGGCUCGUAAAUAUUAAAUAAUAAAAAUUUACGAGCUUAUUUUCUAGAUUUGGUGGUCUCAAACCACUAUUUCUGACAUCACUGAAAAUCGGGCUGUCAUAACUCUCCCCUUAAAGAAUUUUCGUCCUCGAAAAUCUUACUAGAAACUCUUACUAGUAAAGAGGUUUGGAUAUUGCUUCCUCAUUGUUUCCUCUAGUUCCCAGGUAGUUUCUUCUAUUCCGUGUCGUUGCUAGAGGAAUUUUGCUAAAGCUACCUUUUUAUUUCUUAAUUCUUUUGUCUCAUGUGCCAGAAUUUUGAUUCUUUCCAUGUUAUAAGUCAUAUCAGGCUAAAUCUCCACAUCUGUCGGAGAGAUAACAUGUGAAGGGUCUGAGCGAUACCGUCGUAACAUAGACACGUAGAAAACAUUAUGAAUUCUCUCGAGUUCUGGUGGUAGUGUCAAUCGGUACGUAACAAGUCUAAUUCUUUCAGUGAUCUCAUACGACCUAAUAAAUUGUGGACUCAAUUUGCCUUUACGGCCGAACCGAAGAACUUUUUUCCAAGGUGAAACUUUCAAGAAUACCUUGUCGCCAACUUGAAAUUCUAUUUCUUUUCUUUUAAUAUCUGCAUAGGAUUUCUAUCAAUUAGAAGCUGUUUUUAAGCUGUCUUGGAUCACUUUCACCUUUUUUUCAGUUUCUCGAAUCAAAUCAACUCUAUGUAUCUUUUUUCUCACUAAGCUCAGUCUAAUAUAAUGGAGUUCUACAUUUGCGUCCAUACAAAGCUUCAUACGGUGGCAUCUUUAUACUUGACUAAUAACUAUUAUUAUAUGUGAAUUUGACUUGCGACAAAUACUUUUCCCAAUUGCCUUCGAGUUCCAAUAUACAGGACCGAAGCAUAUCUUCGAGAAUCUGAAUCACACGUUUUGACUGACCAUCCGUUUGAGGAUGAAAUGCUGUACUAAAAUGUAACCGUGUGCCCAGAGCUUCUUGCAACUUGUUCCAGAAUCGAGAAGUAAACAGUGGAUCUCUAUCUGAAACAAUAGAGACUGACACUCUAUGUAACCUGACAAUCUCAGAAAUAUACAAUUCCUCUAAUCUAUCCAGGGAGAAAUUCCUAUGUACCGGAAUAAAAUGCGUAGACUUUGUAAAUGAUCAACGAUUACCCAAAUGGCAUAUUUCUUUUUCGGAGAUAGGGGCAAUCCCAACAUAAAGUCCAUGGUAACUUUUUCCCAUUUUCAUUCCGAUAUUGCCACUGACUGAAGUAAACCUGAAGGUACCUGAUGUUCGGCUUUAACUUGCUGACAUAUCAAACAUUUAAAUACGAAUUCAAAAAUAUCACGCUUCAUUCCCUAUCACCAAUACAUCUUUUUCAAAUCAUUAUACAUUUUAUUACUCCCCGGAUGCACAGACAUAGUACCAUUAUGAGAUUCGUACAAAAUCUUCUGUAUAAGUUUUGAAUUCUUCAGUACACAUACUCUACCUCUGAAUAAUAGACAGUCAUCAAGGUCCAAUCUGAAAUUCUAAAUCAGAAACUGAUUCACACUGUACCAGUUUAGCUUUCAAUUCAUUAUCAUUUUUUUGAACUUUACAAAUCAGUUGUAGAAACAUCGGUUUAGCUUUUAACUCAGCUAUAAUCAAACCAUCAUCAAAUAAUGACAAUCGAGUAUUCAUUGCUCGCAAGACAAACAAAGAUUUUCUACUUAGAGCAUCAACAACCACAUUUGCCUUUCCCGGAUGAUAAUCAAUAACAAGACCAUAAUCUUUCAAUAAUUCAAGCCACUUACGCUAUCUCAGAUUUUAAUCUUUCUGCGACAUCAAAUACUUUAAGCUUUUAUGAUCGGUGAAUAUGUGACAUUUUUCACCAAACAAGUAAUGUCGCAAAAUUUUAGUACAAACACAAUAGCUGCUAAUUUAAGAUCAUAUAUCGGGUAAUUCCUUUCAUGUGGCCUAAGCUAUCUAGAAGCAUAGGCUAUUACUUUACCUUCUUGCAUCAAAACACAGCUUAAACCAUUCAAUGAUGCAUCACUACAAAUUACAAAUUCCUUACCCGAUUCAGGCUGAACUAGAAUUGGUGCUUUAAUCAACAUGGCUUUCAAUCGGUCAAAAUUUUGCUGAGUCCAUACAAAUUUCACAUCUUUUUACAACAAUCGUGUCAUCGGAGAAGGUAUCAUCGAGAAUCCUUGUACAAAUCUUCGAUAAUAACCGGCUAAUCCUAAAAAACUUUUGACUUUAGACACAUUUUUCAGAGGUUUCCAAUUAACAAUUGUUGAAAUUUUAUUCAGAUCCACUCUAAUGCCUUUAGCCGGCACUAUAUACCCCCAAAAAACCAAAUUUUCGAAGCCAGAAUUCACAUUUACUGAAUUUAGCAUACAAUUGUUUUUCACAUAGGGUUUGUAUUACAAUUGUCAAAUUAUUAGCAUGUUCAUUUUCAUCUUGGGAAUAUACCAAAAUAUCAUCAAUGAAUACCACCACAAAUCUAUCCAGAUACAAUCUAAAAAUUGUAUUCAUCAAAUCCAUGAACACUGCAGGUGCAUUUGUCAAGUUAAACGACAUUACAAGAAAUUCAUACUGCCCGUACCUGGUUCUGAAGGCUGUUUUUGGUACAUCCGACUCUUUCACUCGUAACUGAUAGUAAGCAAAACGAAGACCAAUCUUUGAAAACAUUGUAGUACAUUUUAGUUGAUCGAACAAGUCAUUAAUACGAGACAAUAGAUAUUUAUUCUUGAUUGUAACCUUGUUCAACUGUUAGUAAUCUAUACACAAUCUCAACGAUCCAUCUUUCUUCUUUACAAAUCGAACUGGUGCACCCUAAGGUAAAGAACUAGAUCGUGCAAAACCCCUGUCAGUUAAUUCUUACAACUACGUUUUCAACUCUUUCAAUUCCGUUAGAGCCAUUCUAUAAGGUGCUAUUGGUAUUGGUGUUGUUCCAAGAACAAGAUCUAUAGAAAAUUCCACUUCUCCAUCCGGUGGUAAUCCGGGUAAUUCUUCCGGAAACACAUCAAAAUAUUCAUAUACCAUUCACACUAAUUUAAUCUUCGAUUCAGAUGCUUUAGUGUCCAACACAUAAGAAAGGUAAGCAUUACAUUGUGUCCUAACAUAUUUCAGUGCUAACAUGGCUAAUAUCACAUUAGUCAAACCAUCCAAUUUAUUAGAUUCAAUACAGAGUAAUUCAUCAUCCUGGCAUUUCAAUACAAUAUACUUCUGUUUACAAUUUACCACGGUAUCAUGCUCAGUCAACAAAUCCAUACUUAGAAUCACAUCAAAUUCAUCAAAUGGCAAUAACAUUAAAUUAGCCAGAAAAUAGUAACAUCGUAUCAUUAACGGACAAUUCUUACAGAUUUUAUCCACCAUUACAUACUGGCUCAGGGGGUUUGAGACUUUAACCACGAAUUCAAUGGACUCAAUAGAUAAAUUUUUAUUAUUCACUAAAUUUAUGCAGAUAUAUGAAUGAAUUGAACCAGGAUCAAUUAAAGCAAUUAUAUCAGUAUUAAGAAGAGAAAAAGUACCAGUAAUCACAUCAGAUACAGAGGCGUCCUUAUGUGCACGAAUAGCAUAUGUUCUUACCGGUGCUCGUGCCUAAAAUUUGACAGUUGAAUCUUUUUUCGUACCUCAGUUACUAUUCAUAAUACCGAGAUUAUGAGACGGUCUCCUUUUUGUAGCAGGAUUACUAGACUUUGACGUUUGAAUAGUUUCUUUUCAGGCUUUUUCGGGCAAUCUCUAAGAUAGUGGUCAAAAGAUCCACAUCUAAAGCAGGCUCCGCUCUUCAGACGACACUCACCAAAAUAAAAUUUAUUAUAGCAUUUACACCUGGGUUUGAGAUUUCCAACACUGCCUGCACUUGCUAUAGAUGUAGCCCGAGAUCUCAGAUUAGAACAUUGAAUACUUCUGUCUCUCCCAAAAUAUCCCGCAGAAGUAACAGGACGGUCAUGAUAUUUCUUUGACUUCUUUGAAGCUGUCUGAUAUGACUUUUUGGUAAAUCUUUUACUUAAAGUUCGGGCUUCAAUCUUAGCUUGUUUUUUUUUCUCUUUACUUAGUUCUUCAUCUUUAUGAGCUCGAUUGAUCAGUGCAACAAAUUCUUUUAAUUCCAGAAUCCCAACUAACAACUUGAUAUCUUCAUUUAAACCCCCUUCAAUUCGCUUGUACAUGACAAUUUCAGCCGAAAUACAUUCUCUGGCAUAUUUUAUUAACCGAACAAGUUCUCUUUCAUACUCAGAUACAGUCAUACGACCCUGUUUAAGCUCUAGAAAUUCCUUUUAUUUCUGAUUAAGAAACCUCUAGCUGAUAUACUUCUUUCAGAAUUUGAUUUGGAAGAAUUCCCAUGUAAUUUGCUCUUUUGGUACAACAAAAAUUAAGGUGUUCCACCGCUGGUAGGUUGAAUCUUUCAACAAAGACACAGCAUAUUUCAGAAAUUAGGCUGGUGUGCAAGAUAAUUCAUCUAAAACCCUUAUAGUGUUUUCUAACCAAAACUCAGCCCUUUCAGGAUCAUCUUCGGCUGUUACUCUAAAUUUUUUUGCCCUAUAUUUACGAAUUUUAUCUACAGGAGGCUUACUAAUUCUAACAAGUUCCAUUCCUUGUGGUAUGUCGGGAACCGGUAUAGAAGUAGGAGUGGGAGGUUGUUGUACAGCUGGAUUUGUUCAAUGUAUUUUGUAACCUACGCAUUCAUGAUUUGGAAGAAAGCUUCUUUUGCCUCUUCUCUUCGGCCCUCAGAUACAGACCUUCUACUACUAGAUGCUUCUCUUCGAACUAAAACUUGAGCUUGGCUCUCAGUUUCCUCGGAUUCAGCUCGGUUGGAUGACGUUACUAUAUGAAAAAUAUAUUUUAAAUGGUCAGGAGAUAUCACACUAUCACAAGUUAUAUAAUGGCAUGUAUAGCUAGACCCGUACAUGAUACGUUAGUCUAAGAAUCUGCUAAACCAUAACUCUGAUACCAAUAAACGUAACACCCCUAACCCGUAUCCGUUGAUGGAAUAGGGUUAUAGAGUAUUACUAGAAUAAAAAAAUUAAAUACAGACAUUUCAUAUUAUUAUUUAACAUUCAUGUAUUCAUAAAGUCCCUUAUAAGAGCCAUCGAGUCUCAAAUUUCACUUUAGAAUCGAAUCGAGACUAAAUUGGAAACUCAGAGAAUUUUUCGCGAAAUUUCAAAAUUUUCCAAGGUGCAUGGGACACACGCCCGUGUGGUCAGGCCGUGCGGCUCACACGGCCAAAUGACACACCCGUGUCUUAGGCCAUGUGUUAUUUGAAAUAGGGCACAUGGCUGUCUCCCCAACCCGUGUAACUCUCUGACUUACAAUACAUUUAAUUGCAGGGGUCACAUGGCCAAGCCACACGCCCGUGUGCCAGGACAUGUGAUCAAUUCUGAGCAUUUUGUUUUAAAAUUUUAAGAUGCAAGGGACACACGACUAGAACACACCCCCAUGUGCUAGGCCAUGUGUCACACACAGCUGAGACACAUGCCCGUGUCUCUUCCCGUAUGGACAAAAUAAGGUCAUUUCCAAUUCUUAUUCUUCACCCAAUUUCACCUUUCACUUAUAUAAGCAUUUAAACGCAUUCAAGAGCCAAUUCAAGACAUUUAAACCUAGCCAAAUUCAAGUCUUAUGCAUGACAUAUUAAUACCUGUGAUCAAAUGUCCAACUUACCAAGGUAGCCUAAUACUUAUAAACAUGUUUUACCAAAUACGCUAUCAUAAACUAAUAUCCAAUUUACUUAUAUGAUUUUCCUCAUUCACCCCUUUAAACAUACUCAUCAAGCAUAUCAAGACUAUUUAUGUAACACCCCAAACCCGAUCUAAACGUUAUGACCGAAUCUGGCGAUGUCACAUUGUAACACCCCUUACCUGUAUUCGACGCCGGAAUAGGGUACGAGGCAUUACUAAAAGACAUACAUUUGCAUACGUAUUAAACCGAGUUACAAAAUUUCAUCCAAAUUAAAACUUUUAAAUUAUUAACGUGCUUUUUUCAUGUUCACAAUUCAAAGCUUCUUACGUAAUUCAAAGCUUCUUUUCCAUUUCAUUCAAUUCAAAAUUUCUCAUGUUCACAAUUCAAAUCAAUUUCUCAAUCCAAUAUAUAUAUUUCAAUCAUCUAAGAAUAUAAUUCAAGUUACACGAACUUACUAGGCUAAAUUGCAGAAAUACCAAAAUUUAGGGAUAUUUUGGUAAUUUUCUAUUUUCCUUGAAUUUCCACCCAAUCUUGAUAUAAAUUAAUAUUUCAUUCAAUUUAUUAAUUUAAAUAAUAAAACAAUUUAUUUCAUGCAAAUUGGUCACUUUUUGACAUUUUUACCAAAUUAUCCUUAAAAUAUUACUUUUAUUCAAUUUAGUCAUUGAACCUAAAACAUGCAAAUUGGUCAUUUUUAAUGAGAACUCAUGCUAGUUGAAUAAUCAUUUAUUUUCCUCCUCCUCCUCUCCAUUCCACAUCCUUAAUGUAUAAUAUGCUUAUAUGUAACAUUAUCUAUAAUUCCACCAUUUAUUUAUAUAUUAAUUCAAAGCUGUCCACUUGAGUCAUAGUCACUAAAUUAUUUAUAUCUUGAGCUACGAAACUCCAAAUUAAGAUCCGCUAAAUUUUUAUGAAAAUAGAAUCACAUAUAUUCUUACCAUAAUAUUUUUAAAAUUUUUUGUUUAUCCAAUAAGUACAAUUUAUUCUUUAAAGUUUCCCCUGUUUCACUGUUUGGCAGUUCCGACCCCUCUUCACUAAAAAUUAAUUAUAUCUUUGUACAGAAUUUGGAUGAUGUUUCCAUUUGUUUCUAUUGAAAAUAAAAUCAUUCAGGAUUUUAAAAAUAUAAAUUUAAUCCUCUAAUUAUUUUUAUUCAAUUUUUGAUGAUUUUCCAAAGUCAGAACAGGGGAACCCGAAUUCAGUCUGACCUUGUCUCACAAAAUUUACUAUAUCUCAUGAUUUACAAUUUCAUUACUUACACAGUUUCUUCUAUGAGAAACUAUACUUAAUAAGAUUUAAUUCCAUAUUUUUUUCAUCCCCUAAUUCGAUUUACACAAUUUAUGGUGAUUUUUCAAAUUUAACCUACUGCUGCUGUACAAAACUAUUUUAGUACAAGAUGUUGAUUACUAAGUUUAUAACUCCCUAAUUCCCUUUCUCUAUAAUAUUUCCCAUCAUUUUCACUUAUUUCCCUUCACUAAUAUAUCAAGAACAUAAGAAUUUAUUUAAUAAAACUCUACUAUAACAUCAUUUCCAUGCUUUUUCAACAAUAACAAACUUAAAAAUAUAUUGAAAUCUUGAUGUUCUUACCUUGUGCUAUUGAUUUCAAUCUUUAACUUAAUUUUCUCUCUCCUCCAACUUCUAUUUCUUGAAUCUAACUUGACAUUCUUGCUCCCCAUUGUCUCCUUACUAUUUUUCUCUCUUGGAAGCUAUGAAAAUUCUUUUGAUUUCUAGGUGAAAAUAGUAAUUUUUUGGUGAAAGGACCAAAUUGUAAAGAAAGCAAAACUUUCUUCUCUUCUCUUCUCUUCUCUUCUCUUCUAACGUUGGUUGCAUGGAAAGAUGAUGAUUUUUUCAUCAUCUUUCCUCCCUUUUAUAUUAAUCAUUUAAUAAUAAAAUAAUACUAAAAAUCUUAAUAAAAUAUUAAUUAAAUAUCAUUUAUCUAAUUAAUUAAUUAAAAAUAUCACAAACAUCAUCAUUACCUUCUAGAAUUCUCUCUCUCUAUUUGACCAUUUUUUCCUUUAUAAUCUUUUGAAAUCCCAUCCUUGAGUCAUCACUUAAUUUGGUAAAAUUACAAUUUAGUCCCUCAAAAUUCUUUACCUUUUCGAUUUGGUCCUAAUUCAUCCCUUUUCCUUAGUUUCUAGAUUAUUCCACCCUUAAAAUAUUUACACUAUUGGUCCCUCAAUUUUUUUGUAUUUACAUUUUAACCCCUCAAAAUUUGAGUAUUUACUCUUGGGCAACAAAACUUUUCUCACUUUUGCAAUUUAAUCCUUUCUUGAAUUAAUAUGUCAUAAUAUACUUCCCAAUGUUGACAUAACUCAAUAUUACCCUUUUUAUCACUUUAUUUCCUUAUUUUACUAUAUCAAGGAUAUUAUCUUACUUUCUUAUUGUAGCAAUUUUCAGGGUAUUACAAUUUACAUAUCAAAUAAUAUAAUUUAAUAGCCAUUCUAAUGACUAAUUUCAACCAACUUUAAAUUGUCAUCAAUGGUAACAUUUAACCUAUACAUGCCAUUAUUACCAAAAUUAGUUUACUAUUUAUAUAUAUACCGAAAAGUCUAGGGGAUAGUGUGAUAUAGCUCCGACCACCUUCUAACCUUUACGAGCCCCCAAGUACUAUAAAAUAGAGGAAAUAAGACAGAGUAAGCACUUAAUGCUUUGUAAGUUCGUACAAUAGGAAAUUAACUUACCAUUCAUUCACUUAUAUAAUAAACAGGCAUAAUACAUCCAAAGCAAUUUGACAAUUAGCCUAACACAUAUAACCUCAACAAACAUGUUAGUCAUGUAUUUCAUGUGAAUAACAAGAACAAGGAUGAGCUCAUCAGGUAUCGAGUUUUCACGUAUUUCAUGCAUAUACAAAUAAUAGUUUCAUUUUGAUUUCACAUGUUCUCAUGUCAGAAUUUCACCCGUUCAAUCAGUUGAAAUCUCGAUGGAUACUUAGGUAGUACACCUGAAGUGUAUAAUACUAUAAAUCCGUCAAUUCAUAUUUGGGGGUGCUUUUAUGAGCACUUAAAUAGAAAGCUCUCUCUUAAGAACUAUAACAGGAAGCUCAUUGAUCCUUGUAAUGGUAAGCUUAUUCAGGCAAUAUAACGGGAAGCUCACAAAGAGCCUAUAACGGGUAGCUCCAAAAAGUAAUUAACGGGUAGCUCCGAAUAACAAUUAACGGGAAGCACCGGAUAGCCAUAUAAAGGGAAGUUCAAGCCAGCACUAAUGGGAAUCUCACAAAGAGUCUUUAAUCGGGAAGCUCACGAAGAGUCAGAUAACGGGGUGCUCAUAAGAGCUUCGGUGUGCCCACAACACAUAUAAGGUCACAACCGAUCGGGAUGCUCUGAAGAGUAUUUACUGAAAAGUUUGCAAGAACACUAUAGAGGGAAGCUUGAGAGGGCUUGUAACGGGACACUCUUUCGAGCUACGAUACGUCUACAACAUAUGCCGAAACACUACCAUUUCGGGAAACAGAACCCCGUAUCCAUCGAAUCUCAGUAUCCAAACAGUACUUAUUUCUUUAUCAAGAAUUUUCAGUUAUGAGAUCAAUUACAUACACAUAUAUGAAAUUUACACAAUUUACAUAUUCAACACUCAAUAUAAGCAUAUAAAUGUACACAAUUAAGUUACACGAACUUACCUCGACAAUUGUUCGUGACUUGUAAAAUACUAAUCCGAUACUUUUUUCUUUUCCACAAUCUAACUCUGCUUUUCAUCUAUCCAGAUCUAUUCAAGUGAUUUUAACAUCAAUUUAAAACAAUUUACAUUCCAUUCAAUCCAAGUCACAAUAUAGGUAAAAAUAUCGUUUUCUCAUAUACUUUUAAUUAAUGACGAUUUCAUCCCUAAGCUCGAAAAAUGAAAUUCAUGCAAUUUAAAUCCUUAUCCCAAGCCUAAAUAUUUUCAUAUAAAUAUAUUAAUAGUAGCCCAUGAAUUCCAUGAAAUUUUAUAAUUUUUCAUGAAUUCAACAACUUUUCAAUGUAAUCCCUCAAUCAUGAUUUCAUCCAAAAUCCUUUAAUAAAAUACCUUUAAAUAUCCAUAAACAUCUCAAUUUCAUCAUCUAAUAACUAAAAUUAUAUAAAAUUAUCAAUGGUAUCUUCCAAAACUUUCAAUAAAAUCAAAAACUAAUGAAAUGGUUAGUUAGACCUAAUUGUAAAAGUCCCAAAACAUAAAAAUUUCAAGGAAAGAGCAAGAAUUAAAUGUACAUGAAGAAAAUAUUGAUAAACCAGAUUAAACCCUCUUCAAUGGAUGUUUUAGAACUGAAAAAUGAUGAUGAAAAUGUCUAGAAUUUCAAUUUCCCUUUUAUUUGACUUAAAUUUGGAAAAAUUUACAAUUUUGCCCUUAUUUCACAUCAAUUCCUUGAUUUUUCUAUGCUUAUGCUGACUCAGCCAUCCCAUGUGGGUCCAAUUUCCCUUUUAGUUCUCCUUUAUUUACUAUUUAGGCUAUUCAAUCAUUAUUUCUUUAAUUAGCAUGUUUUGCACAUUUUUUAAUUUAGUCUUUUUUAAUGAAUUAACUACCAAAACGUUAAAAUUUUCUAACGAAACUUUAAUACUACCUUAAUUAUGCUCCGUUAAUAUUUAUAAAAAUAUUUACGUCUCGUUUUAUAGGACCGAAAUGUCGAUACCUCUUUUCUAAGUCACUUAACCUAAUAAAGCCUUAUAAAACACAAAUUACUAAUUCAAAAAUCUUUUAAAAACAAGAUUUUGCUUGUAAAUAUUAAAUAAUAAAAAUUUACGAGCUUAUUUGUCAGAUUUGGUGGUCUCAAACCACCAUUUCUGACAUAAUUAAAAAUCGGGAUGUUACAGCGAUACCCAAGGGAUAUAAUGAUACCAUUGAAGGGAAUCAUUGGUCUUCUAUACUGUCUGGUAUGUUGCAAUUCCAAGGGUCGUAUAUCAUGAUACCUAUGGCCUUGGUGUCAUUCUUGCUCGUUUUCAACCCUUGACACAUCCUUACAGCACUCAAACACACGUUAGGCCUCCAAAUGGUAUUAACAACCAAUUUGGGUAAAAAAAAGAAGAAGACAAAAUUGAGACAUUUUCACUUAUUAUCCGAAAAUAUGAAAAUAAUGAAAAUAACAAAAAAUUAUACCAAAAAAAAUCUAUUUUGCUCGAGAAAAAGCUACUUAAACGUGUUGAAAAAGUCUAAUUUGCCACGUCGAUUUGUGGCAAAUCACAACCUUACUGGAAAGAAACUAUCUCCAUGGCUAUGAAAUAGAAUAACGUGAGCUUCUCAUAUUAGAAUCAUUAUAACAAAACAACCCUUAGGAUGACACUUCUGGGUCGAUAAUUUCCUAAGUGUUGGGAUAGACUUGCUAAUAUAUGCUUUGACCAACUCUUUGUAUAAGGGUUAGGAUAUGCAUGCCUAAGGCAACACUUAAAUAAGAGUCGGCUUUGUCCAUCACUAUACCGACACUUUGGGGCUUACAGUUUCCUAAGUGUUGAGAUCAACUUGCCGACAUACGCUUUGGCCAGCUCAUUGUAUAAUGGUUGGGAUAUGCAUGCCUAAGGCAACACUUAAAUAUGAGUCGACUUUGUCCAACACUAUGCCGUGUUUUGCUAUACAUUUCCUAACUAUAUAAAAGUGUCGCCAUAUGAAAAGCUUAAUAUGACUCUUUUUGGCAUAUGCUGACCCCUUUUUUUGUCAUUUAAAUUUGUUCUUUUAAGCAACUUUUUUGGGCGUUGGCAAAAUCUAAUCAUAUCCUAACUUUUUAAGAAGAGUUGGGAAAAUGUUAACCUAUCCCAACUUUUACUUUUAGUAGGAAAAUGUUUUAUCUAACCUAACUUUUUUUUUUGUUCCCUUUAUCUGCUUGUGAUUUAUCCCAAACUUUUUUUUUCAUCAGAAAAUAUUUGGCUUAGCCCAACCUUUUGUUUUGUUGUCUUUGUCUACUUUCAAUCUUCAGCAACAUUUUGUUGCUUUACUAUUGGAUGUUGUCAAUUAUGUUUUCAUACUCACAUUAUUUAUUAUCGUUUUGCCAUCAUUUAUGAAUAUUAUCAAAUGAGUGGCCAACUUUUGAGUCUAGUGAGUGUCUCACCCAUCCUCUUUCCCAAUUCUCAAUUUUCAUAGGCACCACAAAGAUAACUAAAAUGGUGAGCAUAUAAAAGAUAUAUAUACCUGUAUUGUUGUUGAGCUAGGUUCUUCUCAACUUCACUGUAACAUGUUUGUUAAACACAUCAUAUUUGUAAGAGGUAAAGUAACAUUUAGCCAUUGAAUUUGUUUUUUUAAUUAGUCUUGAAAUUUAGUAAUUUUUCACAAUUUAAUAUUUAAAUUUGAAUUUUGUUAAGGUAUGAUGACAUGAAACUUUAAUAUUUUGCUUGUCAUCAAGUAAAAAUUUUAAAAUAUAUAAUCUAAAAAAGAUAAAAAUAAUUAUAUAAAAAAACUAAUAUUAUGCUAUGUCAUCAACUGCAUUCAAGUUUAAGAGCUAAAUUUACUAAAAAAAAGUCUAAAAUUUUGAAAAUAAUAUAAACUAAUAAAAAUUAAAUUGUUUUUCAUUUUAAAAUUAAAUUAUUAUUAAGUCUAAUUAUUUUAUUUUUACUUUCCCCCCAAAUCCUUUUACUUUCCCCCAUUUUCCCCAAAUCAAAAUCCUAUUCCUAUUUUGUAACAUCCCGUUUUUAGUGGUGCCAGAAACGAUGGUUUUGGGACCACAAUUCUGACUAAUGAGUUAUUAUUUUAAUAUUUAUUCAAUGUCUACGUGAUUAUAUUAAGGCCGUGUUAAAAUUUUGUUAAGAAAUUUUGAUGUUUAAAUGGUUAAUUAGGUAAAAAGGACUAAAUUGUAAAAUGUGUAAAAGUUGAAUUCUAUUAGUUAAAAGGGUUAAAUAGCUAUGUAAAGGAAAGCUAAUGGACUUAUAUGGUAAUUAUACAAUUUAAGGAGUUAGUGGACAAAUAUGGACAUGAAUUUGAUGUUUUGUAUUGUUAAUAACCAUUGUUAAAAUGAUAAUUUAAUAAAUAAAUUAAAACAAAAGAAACCAAAAGAUGAUAUCAUCUUUAUUUUUGUCUUUUCCACCAAUAUUGAGGGUAAGAAAAUAACCAUUUUUAAGCUUUAGGGUUCAGUUAAGUGAAAGGCUUUUAUGUAGGUAAUUUUAAUCUCGUUUUUAAUGAUUUUUAUGUUUUGGUGAUUGUAUUAGCUUAAUCUAGCUAGCCCAGGGGUUAAUUUGCAGACUUGUUAAAGACUGAAUGCCUUUCCAUGAAUUUUUUUAAUAUAUUUUGAUGUUAGUUGACAGAUGAUUAACUCUAGUUGUUAGAUAAAUAUAUUUUGUUAAGUGAUUUUUGGUGAAAUUGUAAGUAGGGAUUAAAUUGUUAAUAGUUUAAUCUAUGAGUUUUAUUGUGAAAUGUUGGUAAUAAUGGGUUGUUUCAAGGUCUUUGUAACAUUGGUUAAGUUGUAUUUAGGCUAAAAUGAGUUAUAUUUAAGUUAUGAGCUUAAGGACUAAAUUGUAAAAAUUCAAAUUAUUAGGGGUAAUUUUGGAAUUUUAAAUAAAUAUGAACUAUGGAUUAAAUUGAAUAUGAGAAAUAUUUAAUUAAAUGAAAUUAUUUAUUUAGAUCAAGAUAAACCACAGUCAGACUUAAAUCGAGGAAAAGCUAAAGUUUCGAAUUAGUUCAAAUUCCACUUCUAUGCCCUUAGUUAUCGACGUAAGUUCGUAUGAACUAUGAUUGUUUUAAUGUUAGCUAAAUUGACUAUUUGCUAUGUUGUUUUAAUAUAAAUGAUUUUGAAUAUAAAUGUAUCAAUGCUAUGAUGAAUUGACGGAUAACGAGUUCCAUCUGAACUUUAAAAAUUCUUAGGAUACAAAUGACAUGUCAUUAGGGAUUUCAUGUUUUGGGUACUGGUAUUGAAUGUCCUACCGAUGGCUGAGAUCCUGCAUUUGUUUCGGAUUCUCCACAGCUCAUGUGAAUAGCAUCAUGUAGCUUACAUUUUGACCCACAGCUCGUGUGCGUAGGCCCAUUUCACAGCUCGUGUGAGCAUUAAUGUAAAAGAAAUGUUACGGUUAUAUGGAAAGGCACAGUAUGUGUGAGCAUUCUUGAGUAUUCAAUGUAAUUCUAGACGGUUUAAUGGGUAAGAAAAGUAAAGGAAAUGGUAUGUAUGCAAAUGGAAUGAAUCAUGAUCUUAUGAAAAGGUUGAUGAGUUAAAUGAUGUUUAUACUUAUGGAAAUCUACUUAUCUUAUGGUUGAAUUCAUUUGUAUCAUGAACAAGUGUACUAACUUAUGAGUUUGAUGAUGUUGUAUAGGCUUAUACUAAGCUUAUGAAAUUGAUAAUGAUUUAUGCUUAAUCUAUGAACUGUACCAAUGAAAUGGUAAGUUAUGUUUAAGUUUAUACGAGCUUACCAAGCACUCAUUGCUUACGUAGUUACUUUCAUUUGUAUUAUAGAUUAUUAGAAGCUUGAUUGGUUGGAAGCUCAUCGGAGGCUUAUCACACUAUCCAACAACCAUUUUGGUAGUUUUUGAGUAUUUUUGCCAAGGUUAAUAAUGGCAUGUAUAGGAUCUUUGUAAUGGAUGUUUUGGUAUGUUUAAGCUUUUGAAGUUAUGGUUGAUUUGGUAAACUUUAAUACCUUAUCAAGAUAUGUCAUAUUGGUCAAUUUUAAGUGCUUGUAUAUAAGGUCCUUUUGGAUGUAUGUGAUGGUUUGUGAAUGGUCAUUUGUGGUAUCAUGUAGUGAUUAAAUGAACUAAGUUUGCAUGUUUGGAAAAUGACAAUAUUGACUUGUUAUGGUAAGUGAUGUUUUGGUACAAUUGUGGUGCCUUCGAAUGACAUAUUGGUUAGAUGAAUUAUGGUGUUUGAAAUGGCAUGUUUACGAGUGUUUGAAUGAUGUGUAAAUUACUUGAAUGUGUACCCAAAUGGUAUUGAUGGUUAGGUAUGAAUUGAACUUGAAAUGACUUGAUUUUAGGUAAAUUUUUGGGUUCACACGACUUGGCAACACGACCGUGUGACCCUACUUAAUGAGUUGUACGGGUGAGGAAACGGGUUGGGACACGACCGUGUGUCCCUUUUUUUAAAUGUUACACAGCCUGGCUGUGUCACACGGCCGUGUGACUCCUAUUUUCUAAUUUUUUGUAACUUUUACUUAAAGAUUCUAGUUUUUUAAAAUUAGUCCUGAUUUACUUCUAAGCUAUUUUUAGGAUUUUGAAGGCUCGAUUCAGGGACAAAAUGCGUAUGAUUGAUUGGUUUAUUAUAAGUUCAACUUAUUGAAUGUUAUAAUGUUAAAUGAUUUCUGGUUGAAUGGUAAUGCUUCGUAAUCCUAAUCCGAUGGCGAAGACGGGUUAGGGGUGUUACAUAUUUCCUAAUUCUUAUCCUGAAAUCAAACCCCCGCAAAUCAAAAAUCAAAAGCCCUAAAUCAAACCCUUCAUCCUUCUUCAAUUCUUCCUCAUCAUUUUUUGAGGAGGUUAAGUUUCAGUUUAUCGAAUGAAUUUGUUUAACUUUAGCAAUUGAGAAAUUGGGUGCAAUUUUAACUAGCCCAGCUAAAGAAGAAGAAGAACAAGAAGAAGAAGUUAUGGAUAUACCUUUAGAGGGAAGAGUUAAUUCUUAUAGUACAGUAAAGGCUUCAAUUUGGAUCAAAAUCAAAUUGUUUUUAUUCUUAGAGGACUUUAUGUAUUAGGUUUCAUUUGUUUUCUAGGUUAGGUUUUAAACAUUUUAUUUGUUUAGAUCCUACUAAGUAGAAUUCGUAAACUAUGCUAGGGUUAUUUUAAGACUUUUUAAACCAUUUUUAAGAAUAAAAUCAAAAGAAAUCUUAGGUUUCAUAAUCUAUGGAAUUUGUGAUUUUGCUCCGAAUAAUUGUUGCCCCAUCAUCCUUUGGAUCCAUAAAUAAUAAUAAGAAAAUUCAUUGCAAACAUUGAAAAAGAUGAUACUGCAAUACUAGUGGAUUUUCUGAUGUUUCUUGAAAUCUCUAGUGUUUCAGGUUUUGGGUCCUGUAUAGGGCUAAUCAGGAUGGUCUCGUAGUGUUGGUAAGAAGUUUCUCUUUUCAGUUGUCUUCAUAAUCAGUCUUAUUUAUUGUAACUUUAUUUCAUUCUUAAGUGGAUUUUGUUUCUCGACUUGUAGGAUUGGCAACACCCUUGGGAGGGCCAUGAUGACCAUUCUCAUGGCCAUGGAGACAAGCAUUAGGUAUUGCUUUUCUUUUUAUGUGAUUGCUUAACAUGACUUGCUUAGUUUCCCUUUUGUGUAAUUUUGCAUUUAUGAUAGCCAAGUUUAACACAAGUGAAAGGGGGUCAUUAAUUUGUUGAUGCUUGAAACCUUAAUUUUCAGUAAUUCGAGUUUAUUACUAAACUUCAAGUUGUUACAUAAAGGUAAAUGACCAUAGAUGUGCUUCAAGUCUAGAACUUAAAGGUUUAAUGAUAUGUUUAUAUUGGGUAUAUGAGUAAUGAAAUUUGCAUAUGCAUGCACAAGAAUCAUCAUUAAAACAUGAAUAGAGAAGAGAUAAAUCUCAGACUCAUAUCGACAUUAUUAUGAGAUCUUAGAACCUUUUAAUGGUUAUUUCUUUUGCUCCUUUUUUAUGUGUUUAUUGCCAAUAAAUAUGUGCAUAUAAGUGUGUUCAGCAAGAAUUAAGUAUGACAUGAACAAAACUUGUUCUCCAUUUUAAUGAUCAAUGACAUUGUGUUUAGCUGUAGCUUGAAGAAGCUUAUUUGCUUAUGAGUGCGUGGCACAAAUGCUGUUCUGGAAUUCCUUCUAUUUAUUUUCUUUUGUGUCAAUAAAGUGAUAGUGAAAUGGGAUUGUAAGCAUAAUUUAUUUGUUGUUCUCUUGGUGGGAUUUAUCGAUUUCAUUGUCAACGAUAGUUGAUGGAGUACUCGUACCUAUUAGAUUUGGUUGAUGAAUGCAUAUUCUCUAAGGCUUGAGCAAUUGUUUCUUUGUCAUCUGUGUAGAUGUAAAAAGAGGAGUGGCAAUCGGUCCAAGAGUAAAUCUAGGAGAAAUCACAUUAGAGAUAUUGGCUCUCACUGAAUGGUUGUUGAAUUCAUUUGAUAUAAUUAUCUUAUUGCUUGCAGGCAUAUUCUCCUUGGCUCUACAAUGUACCUUGGGAAUUGUACACAUGUUUGAUGUAUAUAAAGGAAAAGUAUGGGAAUCCAACUAUAAUUUUGUCUGAGAAUGGUAUGAUUUAGUUUAACUUAAUUAAAUUUAGUUUAAUGGCUUAUUUUUGAAUAGGUUGGUAUGGUUUCUGACUUCUUUUACAUUUUUGCAAUGAAUGAAUGAAUUGGUUGGUAUGUUUAAUGGCUUAUUUUCGUUACGAGAUUUGCAGUUACCAAGUGAUGUAAUCGACAACAAGCUGACAACAUAUUGUGCUCAAUGUUAUGAGAUUCGCUCUAGUCUUCCUCUUUGUCUUUUUCCAGUACAUCCCGUUCACUUAUUUGCAAUACUUCCCAUCUCCAUUAAAGAACUCUCUACAGUAUGUUUCUAACAAACUACUUUGGAAACAGCUCCAAAUGGUGUGCUUUAGCACAAGCUAAACAAUAAGUUAAUACAUUGAAAUACAACGUGAAAGAGAUGGAAAGAAGAUUUUAAGUUGAACAGGUAGAAGACAAAAGAAGAUAUGAUAAACUUAAUCAUAGCAUAUUGAAUUGAAGUUGCAGUUUCAGACUGUAUUAGCUUUUAUGUAAUACAACAUCAAUAUCAAUGUCCAUCAUCUUAGAUACUUUUUUAUUUGUUUACUUUUGUACAUUGGGUUGAAUGCUGGUGGUAUACAUUUCGGCUAAAUGUUAGUAUAUUUUAAUUGUUGGAUCGAUUUUUGUAGUGAAUAUUCAACCUUUAUUUUAAUUUUAAUUUUAUAUUUUUAGUUUUAUUUAAAGCUCAAUUUCUAUCAUUAUCACUGUAAAUGUUUAUGAAAAUAUAUUAAUAUUGGAAUAAUAAAAAUAGAAAAAAAAUUACAUUAGAUAUGUCCAUCCCAACAUUUUUAAGGUUGCCUUAGACGGGUCUAUCCCAACCUUUUUAAAAUUUUCUUAGACGGGUCCUUUUUAAGGUUGCCUUAGACGGGUGUAUCCCAACUUUUUUAAGGUUGACUUAAACAAGUCUAUCCCAACCUUUUUAAAGUCACCUUUGACUGGGGCACAAGCCAACAUUUUAAAAGUUGGCAUAUGAAUGCCUUAUUCUAACCUUUUUUUUCAUUGUUUAUUUCCUCCUAUCCCAACCCUUUUUAAAAGUUGCCUUAACUAGGUCUUUGCCAACCCUUCAAUAAAGGUUGGCCUAUAUUGAAUUAUGCCGGGACCUAUGCCAACGGCACAAAAAACGAUGUUUUCGGAAGCGUCGGAAGAAAGGUCAGGAUGACCUAUGCUAACCUAUCGUCCUAAGUAAAAAAAAAGUGUCACAGUAGACCUGUUUUGUUGUAGUGAAUUUAGCAUAAAAUUGGUUUUGGGAAGAAAUUAGAAUUUGCUUUCUUCACUUCAGAGGGAUUCGAAUAUCCAGUCUUACACUUAUUCGCAUGAAUUGCCUGAAACCCCUACUAAGUUGUUUCAUGUAAUAUUCUUCAAAAGAUCCAAUAAAAUUGCCCAACUGUUUUGCUAUCGUUUCUGCAAAAAGCCCUGAAGGUAGAUGAAAAAUAAGAGUGCUCUUUUUACCACUCUCUCAAAGUCUAGCCUAUUAAAGACUUUGAACAUAAAAUGUUUCUCACCCAAAUUUGAGACCUGAAAACCCCCAACAAGUGCCAAAGGUUGGCAAGAGUAUUACACAUAGCCGAAAAGUGUACCAGACUUGUCGUAAAAAAACCCUAACCAAAUAAAAACCAAACAUAAGCUUAUGUUCUUCAUUUGAUCCAUUAAAUUGUCAUGCAUCAUCUUCUUCAUCCCUUAUGUUUAACCCCUCAAAUCCACUCUCCAUAAUCAAAUCAACGCAAAAAUAAAAAUAAAAAAAAUUCAGUAAAAUUAAAAAGCAAAACGCAUAACUAUAGGAAGAACUUUUAAAAUAAGAAUCAUGAGAACCAAAAUGAUCAUAGCUAUUAGAUCAAAAUAAAUGGUUCUAAGUCUUAGAUUUUGUAUUUAUUUUACUUUAUUAAAAUAAAACCAAUACCCAAUUUUUCCUCCUUUCUUUUUUCUUUUCAUUGCAUAAUUGAAAUCUUAGAGUGAAAAAAAAUUGGAUAAUUUUUACUUUCAAUUUUUUUUGAGAAAAAAAUGGAAUGGAAAGUAAGAGAUUAAGGUUAUUAUAAGAUUAAUUAAUUUGUGUAUUAGGUAUUUGUUUUUCUUGAUUGAAAAAAUUAAUCGACCAUUUCAUUCUAAAAAUUUUGGAAUUUUUUCUUGGUUGAUUUCAAGUACUCAUAGAAUUUCAAGUAUAAAAAUUUAAAACUUACCUCACUUUUCUAGUGAAAUGCUUGAAAUAAAUUAAGAAAACAAUCCCAAAAGUUUUAAAAUGAAAUAGUUGAUCAACUUUUUGUUCCAUUUUUUUUUUUGCUCCAUGCAAAAAUUAAAUCUAAAACCAUAAUACUUUAAUUACAUGAAAAAAGAGAUAGAAAAAGAUGGAAUAUUGUUGAUUUUAUUUUAAUAUAAUAGUUUAAAUACAAAAUUUAAAUUUAGAACCACUUAUUUCAAUCUAAUAAUUAAAAUCAACAAAAAUUGUCAUAAUAUUUUUUAUUGUAAGCGGUACAACUAUGGUCCAAUCAAUUAAUUGAUUUAACAUGGUAAUAAUAAAUUACAACUUUAUUUUAUAGAAAUUCGGUUACGAUUAUCACCCACAUAUUAUAAUAAUCAAUGAUGUGAUUUUUAUGACCAUAAUAAUAAUAAUAAUAAUAAUAAUAAUAAUGUGUUUUCCUAGGAAUAUGCCAUUGAAGAUGCCAUGCAGGGAUCAAAAGUUGAUAUGAUAUUUAGAAUAGUGAAUGGGACAGCCAGAUUACUCUAGACUUGGUUACCUUUUUUAUUCAGUUAAUUGGUGUUUAUUGAAAAAAAAUUAAAAUAUUACUAUAAAAUAAAUAGCUAGAGCAGAGUGUAUUUUAUUGAUCAAUUAGGAUAUAUAUAUAACUUUUUCAAAGUCUCUAUCUAUAAACAUAAUAAGUAUAAAUGAAGUAGAGAUCUGAUUCUAAUGACUAAUAGAAUUGAAAGUGUCGAAACCUUUUUUUAUCGACUUUUAUUUUAAAAUAAAAAUAGUCACCACCAAUCCUUUUUAUUAAGUGUGAUUGGAUCAGCUCGUAAUUUAAUCAUUUUAAUAAAAUGUUAGAUUUACUAAAUUGAUAAUUUUCAGUCUACAAAAUCUAGAAAGUGGGUUCGGGAGUCGGUUACGCAUGAGGAAGAUUAACACCCUCAUAACGCUCAAAAUUGGUACCUAGUUGAUUACUUGACUACUUAGUGUUGAGAAUUGAGAAUUCAAAGAAAAUUGGUACCUGGCCGAUUACAAUGAUUACUUGAUUAAAAUAUCGCUAACUAAAAAAAAUUUUAUGGAAAGAGUCUUCUUAUUUUGACUUAAUCGAGAAAAAAAGAUCAUGUCCCGUAAGUUAGGACACGAUAUCUCGAACCCUCGAAAUAAGAUCAUUUGAUUAUUACCUAAGUCCUACGUGUCUUGAAUUUUCAAUAGGAUGUUUGGUUAUUUUGGUUCUAGGAAGAGGCCAUACUUCGUAAGUUAGAAGCACAACUCCUCAAAUCUCGAACAUAAUGAAUAUUUCUUCGGUUUUAAUUAUUUUUAUGCGUUUACGCCGAAAAAUGGAUGAAUGUAUGUAGCAUAAUUUACAAUGCACAAUGAUGGCAAAAUUAUGGUAUUAACAAAAUAAGCAUAAUAUUCAAUAAAAUAAUGACAAUAAAAUAAAAUAAAAUAGCUACAUAGGUACAAACAAAAUAACAUCAAAAUGAAAUAAUAAAAAAUGAAAUAAAAUGAUUGUAGUAAAAGUAAUGAGGGUAAAAUAGUAAAUGACUAUAACAUGAAAAUAAUAAUAGUAACAAUAAUCAUCUCUAAUGACAAAAAAAACUACUCAAGGAUGUAAACAAAUAUGUAAUAUUUAGAGAGGAGAAAAAUAUAAAUAAUCAUAAAAAUAACAGUGUUGGAAAUAAUAAAAUAACAAAUAAAAAAUAAGUAGGCAAAGGACUAAAUUGAAAGCUAAAAGAAAUUCUAAGCAUAAAUUAAAAAACAAAAUAAAAAGUAAACAAAGGAUUAAAUCAAAACAAAAUAAAAAGUAUAGGGACUUAAUUAAAUAAACAGGGGACUAAAUAAAAACUAUAACAUGACUUUAAGAUAUAAAUAAAUAAAAUAAUAAAUAAAUGGUUAGAUUAAAAUAUAAUAAAAAUGCAAGGACCAAAAGGGCAAAUAAGCCAACAUCAAUACACGUGCCACUCUUCAGAGGGUCAACACUCUAAGGACCAAAAUGAAAACAAAUUGAAAUUAAAUAGCAUAAUUUUAAAAAGAAGAAAAACCAAAAUUAGGACCAAAUUGUAAAGCGCCUAAAGGCGGAAGGACUGGAGUGACAAUUUGACCCCUCCUUAAAAAACACUAGGAUCCUAGAGGAUCUGGGUCGAGUCAUCUGGUCAUGUCCAAAACGACAUCGUUUUGGGGCUUCUGAAGCCAGGCCAAAACGACGUCGUUUCAGUAAGCCUAUAUAAGUUAAAAAAAUAUUAAAAAAAAUUCUAAACCUGUUUUUUUUAAUUAUUUCUUUUUCUUUUUCUCUCAAGCUCUCCUUGGUCUGGCCAUGGGAGCCGCCGUAGCUCCGCCAUGGCCGUCGGCCAUCGACGAUCGUCGCCUCUAGUGGCCGAAAAAUCUCCAAAAUACCCCAUUUGUCUCUCUUUUUCACGUAGAACUCCGAUUUAGGGUUAAAAUCCCUAAAAGUUUAAUCAAAAUUCAACAAAAACAAGAGAAACCUUUCGGUUUCUUCCCCUUUUCUGAUGCGAGCUUAGCGAAUCCCUAGGGAUUCGGAAGCCUUUCACACCAAAAAGGAACACUAACGGUGGUGCAAGUAAACAAAAAAAAAGUCUUUCGUUUCUUUUAUAUAUAUAUAUAUGUAUGUUUUUCAAAAAAAAAAGUAAAUGGGACAACUUUUCUUUUAAACUUUUUUUUGUAUUCUAUUUCCUCUGUAAAAAUUACAAAGAGUUUUUGUUCGGCUUUUAUAGCCAAAUCAAUUACAAAAUAUUGUUUUUCUUUGUUUUUGUUCUUAAAUUGCUUCUUUGUUUUGCCAUCUGUUCUCUGCUCUUUUUUUGCAGGUAUUCGUGGCCAGGUCAAAGGUGAUGGGAAGCCACGCUUUGCCAUUUCGGUGAAAUGGUGGCAGAGGAGGCUUGCUUGCUGACAUGACAAGCAGCGGCUAAAAGGGCUAAGGGGAAAUUAGGGUUUCUGAUGUGUUUAAGAUAGUGGGCUUUGAGCUUAGGUUUUUUUAGAUUUUAGGGUUUUUUGUAUUUGGGCCAUUAUUUUUGUAAAUAGACUUUAAUAAUGGAUUUUUUUAUUAUUUUUAUUUAUUUAUUUAUUUGUUUUUGUUGGGCCAAAUGAAAUUGGGCCUCUAGAGUUGUCCCUCUUUGCUCAUAUUCGUGUAACGGAAAAGGAGCAAAGACCUUUACAGAGGAAAAAUUUUGUUCGGUCUUGCUGAAUCUUGACUUCUCAGGUGCUUCUCUUUUUCAAAUGACUCACUCUUUCAGUUCCUUAGUUACCCUACAUUACUGUAUCCGCUUUGCUACAAAUUUAGGAAGGCAGGAUUUAGUAUCACUGCUUCAUCUUGCUCUAUUGCAACUUCAAAUAGAUAAGAUUUAUUGUUGAAAUUUCAAUCCAUUCCACUACAAUUUUAGGGAUAUAAAAUUUGUAGCUUCAUCUUGCUCCACUGCUACUUCAGGGAGAGAAGAUCCACCAUUUUAGUUUUAAUCUGACCCACUGCAACUUUAGGGAGAUAAGAUUAGCUAUGGUAGUUUAAAUCCAACCCACUACAACUCCAGGGGUAUAGGAUUUGUAGCUUCAUCUUACUCUACUGCAACUUUAAAGAGAUGAGAUUUGUUGUUGUAGUUUUAAUCCAUUCCACUGCAAUUUUAGGGAUAUAAGUUUUGUAGCUUCAUCUUGCUCCACUGUAACUUCAGGGAGAUAAGAUCCACCAUUGUAGUUUCAAUCUGACCCACUGCAACUUCAGGGGUAUAGGAUUUGUAGUUUCAUCUUGCUUCACUGUAACUUCAAGGAGAUAAGAUUCACUAUGGUAGCUUCAAUCUGACCCACUGCAACUCUAGGGGUAUAGGAUUUGUAGCUUCAUCUUACUUCACUACAACUUCAAGGAGAUAAGAUCCACUAUUGUAAUGUCAAUCCGACCCACUGCAACUUCAAGGGUAUAGGGUUUGUAGUUUCAUCUUACUCCGCUGCAACUUUAGGGAGAUAAGAUUCGCUAUGGUAGCUUCAAUCCGGCCCACUGCAACUUUAGGGGUAUAGGAUUUCUAGCUUCAUCUUGCUCCACUACAACUUUAGGGAGAUAAGAUCCACCAUUCUGGUUUCAAUCUGAACCACUACAACUUUGGGGGUAUAAGAUUUAUUGCUUCAUCUUGCUCCACUGCAACUUCAAGGGGAUAAGAUCUGCCAUUGUAGUUUCAAUUUGACCCAUUGCAACUUUAAGGGUAUAGGAUUUAUAGUUUCAUCUUGCUCCACUACAACUUUAAGGAGAUAAGAUAUGCCAUUGUAGUUUCAAUCUGACCCACUACAACUUCAGGAGUAUAGGGUUUGUGGUUUCAUUGAUCUGUUACACCGCUUUUUGGGAAUAAAACCUGUAGAAUCCAUUUCAUUGGCCUAUAUUUUAUGCCAAGCGAUUAGGAUAUUAUCAUCAGAAUGAAUCAAAUCCUCCUAAAUAGAUGUAUAUAAAUGAUAUUUGUAUGAAUGCAAAAUGUCAUUUUCGAAAAUGGUCCCCUUUUUAGUGCUUAGGAUGACAUUAGUCGUUGUUAGUCAAGGUUCUAUCACUAACGUGUUACCAUGCCCUCUUGUUCAGGUCUGGUUUCUUUGACAAGAAACCCGAAGAGGUAAUCACAAUCUGAACUAUUCGUUCCAAGAUCUUUUCAAUCUUCAAAUUUGAUUAGUUCUAAAUAGUGGUCCUAUUUCAGGUCCCUAUACUAUUUAGAAUUCUUUCAGAGCAAUAUGCAGAAAUCCUUUUGUACUUUAACAUUGUGAGUCCACUAACCGUUAUUUCAAUACAAAGUGCUUAAACAAGGUCUUAAAAAAAUGGAUAAGAUUGAAAUUUAUCGGGAGCAAAGCCAUUAAUGAAAAGAUUAAUCAAAGUGACAACCAUUGUAAAAACACAAAGUGGGUGAAAAUGAAACUAGUUUCCCUAGAUAUUGUAGUAUGAAUUUCUCUGAGCAAACCUACUGAAGUCAAUCCCAAGCCAGAUAUAUGUUUGGGAGAUCUAAAGUACCUUGUUGAUGCCCCAAGAUGUAAAGUUUCUCCUCCUUAUUACCUUUGCGGGGAAACGACUAUUACAUGCCCAUUCUUUGAUCAAAAUUUGAGCCACCUUUUUCGGGUUUUCAACUCAAAAUUCAUUUGGUCUUAAGACGCCCUUUGCGGGUUUUCACCUUGGCCUCUCAUUUUUUUCCUAUUUUUAGGUGAAAUACCUCUUGAUUGAAUCUGAAUUCACAGGGUAGGGCAAAUUUUUGCCAUCCAUUUCGGUCAAAAUCAAUGCUGCUCCAUAAAAGACUUUUUUCACCACAUAAUGUCUUUCCCAAUUCAACAUACAUUUUCCUCUGAAGUCCUUUUGUAUAGGAAGGAUCCUUUUCAACACCAAGUCCCGCUCUUGGAACUCUCUGGGGCAGACCUUUUUGUCAUAAGCUCACAUCAUUCAUUUUUGGUACAUCUAACCAUGACGGAUUACUUUUAGUCUAUUCUCUUCGAUCAAGUUCAACUGAUCAUAUCGAGAUUGGAUCCAUUAUUUUUCAUCUAAUUUUAACUCUGACAAAACUCGAAGAGAAGGAAUCUCGAGUUUGUUAGGAAAUACUGCCUCCAUUCUAUAAACUAAUGAGAAAGGCGUUGCCGCAAUGAAGGUUCUGACAGACGUUCGAUAAGCAUAAAGGGCAAAUGGUAACUUCUAAUGUCAAUUUUUAUAAGUUUCUAUCAUUUUCCCCACGAUCUUCUUAAUGUUCUUAUUGGCUACCUCUACUGCACCAUUCAUUUUUGGACAAUAUGGUGAAGAGUUGUGAUGUUUGAUCUUGAAUUGACUACAGACCUCCGUUACCUUAUUUUUGUUCAAAUUUAAUACAUUAUCAAAUAUGAUCUUUUCUUGUAUUCCAUAUCGACAUAUAAUCUCUUUCUUUAAGAAUUUGCUAACUGUCGACUUUGUGACACUAGCAUAAAAAGCAGCUUCUACCCAUUUGGUGAAGUAAUCGAUGACCACAAAGAUGAAUCGAUGCCCAUUAGAAGCUUUUGGCAAUAUCAGCCUAAUAACAUCCAUGCCCCACAUAGAAAAAAAGGUUAUAGAGAAGUCAUAACAUGAAGAGGUGAGGGAGGCACAUGAAUUUUGUCUCCAUAAAUUUAGCAUUUAUGACACCUCUUAGCAUAAUUAAUACAAUCCCCUUCUAUGGUGGACCAAUGAUAUCUAAAUAUCAUGUUUUUCCUGACCAUUGUAAAACCAUUACAUGUGUUCUACAAACACCCUCAUGGACUUCUUCAGAGAUUUUCUUGGCCUCAACAGCAUCUACACAUCUUAGUAACACUUGAUCCUUUCUUCUUUUGUAUAGGAUCUCCCUAUCUAAGACAUACUUAUUGGCAUGUCUCCUAGCGUCCUUUUAUCAUUUUUGGUUGCCUGCCUAGGGUAUUCACGGUUCUUUACAUAUUACAGUAUAUCGUGGUGCCAAGGGUGAUCAUCUUUUUCUUCUUCCCCGAUAUUGUAACAAUGGGUCAGAUCCUCAUAAAUACUUAUCUGGAUAGGUUUUACAUUAUAUUGUUUGUUCACUUUAACCAUAGAAGCUAAGGUAGCCAAGGCAUCGGCCAUCUGAUUUUCAUCUUGCGGGAGGUAGCAGAAGGUGAUGUCAUCAAACUCCUUAAUUAACUCAAGGACUAACCUUCGAUAAUUGAUCAACUUGGGAUCUCUCGUCUCCCAUUCACCUUUGAGUUGAUAGAUCACUAGUGCAGAAUCCUCAUAUAUUUCCAACACCAUAAUUUUGUGUUCUAUAGUUGCACAAAUACCAAUGAUGCAUGCUUCGUAUUCUGUCAUACUAUUUAUACAAUUAAAGUCAAGUUUACUGGUGAAAUUAUAAUGUUCUCCGUUUAGGGAUACCAAGACUGCCUCAAUUCUUUUACCCAUAACAUUUGAGGCUCCGUCAAAAUUUAGUUUCUAAGGAUAUUCUUCUGGAGCACUUUCUUCAGUGGUUACAACAUACAUCAGAUCAUCGUUUGGGAAAUCGAAAUUUAAAUGCUCGUAAUUCUCUAGAGCUCUGCUAGCUAAAAAAUCUGCUAUUGCACUCCCAUUUACCGCCUUCUAGUUUACAUACAUUACAUCAAAUUCGGAGAGCAGAAUUUUCCAUCGAGUCAUUCUUCCAUUCAACGCAGUUGACUCCAUCAUGUACUUUAAAGGAUCCAUCUUCAAGAUAAGCCAAGUCAUAUGGUACAACAUGUAUUGUCUCAGCCUCCGGGUAGUCCAGAUUAAGGCGCAGCACAACUUCUCAAUUGGCGAAUAAAUUGUCUCGUAUUCAGAAACUUCUUGCUUAGGCACUAAAUUGCUCUUUCUUUCCUCCCUGACUCAUUAUGUUGGCCAAGUACGCAUCCCAUAGAAUUUUUAAAUACUGCCAAGUACAGUAUCAGUGGUUUAUCUGGGCUAGGUGGCAUUAACACUGAGACAUUGGACAUGUAAUGUUUGACCUUGUCGAAGGUCUUUUCGCAUUUCUCAUCCCAUACACUUGGGUUAUGUUUCUUAAGGAGACGGAAUAUGGGGUUACACUUCUCAGUUAGUUGUGAAAUGAACUGGGCAAUGUAAUUUAAUCUCCCUAAGAAACCCCAAACCUCUUUUUGGGUACGUGAAAAUUGUAACCCCUGUAUAGCCUUAUCUUUAUUUGGGUCAAUCUCGAUCCCUUUCUCGCUAACUAUAAAUCCUAACAGUUUACCCAACAUGGCCCUGAAAGUGUAUUUUGCUGAAUUCAAUUUUAGUUGGAAUUUUCUCAGUCUCAAAAACAGUUUCCUCAAUACUUUCAUAUGCUCCUUUUCUGUUCAAUAUUUUGCAAUCAUAUCAUUGACAUAAACCUCGAUUUCUUUUUGCAUCAUAUCAUGAAACAAAGUUACGAUGGCUAUUUGAAAUGUUACUCCCAUAUUUUUAGUCCGAAUGACAUCACUUUAUAACAAAAUGUUUCUCAGGUUGUUAUGCAUCAUAUUAUGAAUGUGGUUAUAUCUGGAGAAACCAUUCAUGAAGGAAAACAAUGAAUGAUCUAUCGUGUUGUCUACUACAGUAUCGAUGUGGGGCAACAGGAAAUUGUCCUUCGAGCUGGCCUUGUUUAAACCCCUUUAAUAAACACACAUUCAUACUUUCUCAUCUUUCUUAAGGAUGGGGACUAUAUUGGCUAUCCACUCCGAAUAUUUGGCCACUUGUAGGAAAGCAACGUCAAUUUGUUUCUUAAGCUCUUUUUUAUUUUCAAUAGUACACCUGGCCUCAUCCUUCGAAGUUUCUGUUGAAUCGACUUGCAUUUUUCCUUUAUGGAAAGUCGAUGUACCACAAGAUCUGUACUUAAACCAGGCAUGUCUUGACACGACCAUGCGAAGACAUCUUUGAAUUCUUUGAGUAACUUACCGAGGUCUUGCCUUGUCUCUGCAGUGAUGCAAGUUUCGAUUUUCACUUCUUUCUUUUAUGGGUCAUCCCUUAAGCUCACAACUUCUACUAACUCUUUGUGAGGUAGAAUAUGUUUCUCAUCUUGCUCUACUAUCAUUAACAAAUCAGGAGACAAGUUACAAUCUCAAUCAUCUUCAAAGUCAUGAGGUUCAUUUAGACACAUAUCCUACUCGAAAGGAGACUCUAAGUUAAUAGCAACGUUACUCAUAUCAUUGAUACUCAGAGACCUGUUAUAUGAAUAAAAGGAGACCCAAGGAACAAAUGAAUUUAAGAAAGAUUAAAUGUGUGGUAUGAGUAUGAGAAAAAAAGAGAAAAAAAAGUAGAAUAUUUUUCAAUGGGACAUAAAAAUGCAUUGUUUUCAUUGAAAUAAAGGUAAUGGAUAUGCGCCUUUUUCACAAAAGGAUCAUUAUUGUUCUCAGGCUUAAAGCAAUAGGUAUGUUUUGAAUAUUACUCUGAAAUGAUCCUAAAAAAUACAGGGAUUUCCUGUACAGUCUAGUUGUUUAGAACACUUCCGAGGAUGUGGAAACAAAUUCAUAAUAAUUUUUUUAGUUCAUUCUUCAGAUGCAUAAACAUCUUUCCCUUCCAAACCCUUAAUAUCUUCAAAUAAUUCCAACUUUUUAUUAUCCAUCAGGCUCUAUACUAGAGUUCUGAACUCGAUGCACUUUUGGAUUUUAUAAAUUCAUUGCAUGCAAUGAAAUGUAAUGUUAAUGAAUGGAAAAGAUGCAUGCAAAAAGGCGUUGAUCCUAGUUCAAUUCCAUUAGAACAACUUUACUAGAAAUCGAGUUUCUUUACAUAAAACUGAUACUUCCACUUUAUCAAGAAACCCCUUUUCCAUGACAAACUCUCUAUUUAGCAACCGAACACGAAUCAACACCCUUUUUUAAAGAUGAAAAUACAACGCAGCCACAGCCAGAACAAAGAGAAACAAGUCAGUACAUAUUGUAUAAAACUUGAAUAUAAAGCAAAAAAUAAUAAAUAAAGCAUCUCUUCUUUGUAAUCUAUUCGGGUGACCUCUAAAAGUUCUAUAUGGUACUACCUAGGGUAGGCUCUUAGGGCUCAUUACAUGCGGUUUGGUUCUAAAGUAAGGGUACCUAAACCAGCAGAUUCCUCAACCCUCACCCAUUAUAGGCUCAUACAGACAAAGUUCAUUUCGGGGGAAUACAUUUCCCUAUGUCUAUAUGGAGGCAAAUACCUUACGAAGAUAUAGGUACGAAUGUAUCUCGAAAGCGAUCCACUAUCCUAUACGGAGGUGAAGACCUAAUGAAGGAAUAGCUUCCCACUCUCACUUAAGAAAAGGUAAAAUGGAACGAUUAUGCAAUGCAAUAUAUGUGAAAACAUACAAAGAGAAACUCUUGAACCAAUAAAACAGAUGUAUUAGAUCGCUAUGUAACUCGAGAUAACAAAGACAUUUUUUACCACCAAAACAAACAUGAAGGAUGAAAUACAAGGAUGGGAUCGUCAAUUUAAACCAACUUAUCAAUUUUCGACAAAAAGACCAAAAAGUAAUCAACUCGCGGUUUGAAUCUCUUAUUUUGUCCUCAGUGGAGUCGUCAAGCUGUCGAAACAUUUUUUCUUUUUUGUGAUCGACUUUUAUUUUAAAAUAAAAAUAGAGUCACCACCAAUCUUUUUUAUUAGGUGUGAUCGGAUCACCUCGUAAUUUGAUCAUUUUAAUAAAAUGUUAGAUUUACUAAAAUGAUGAUUUUCAGUCUCCAAAAUCCAACAAGUGAGUUCAAGAGUCGUUUACGCAUGAGGAAGGAUUAGCACUCUCAUAAUCCCAAAAUUGAUACCUAGUUGACUACUUGAUUACUUAGUGUCAAGAUUUGAGAAUUCAAAGAAAAUUGAAAAUACGAUCCCUUUUUUUUGCAUGAUGUUAUUUGAUUAAAAUAUCGUUAACUAAAUUAAAUUUUAUGGAAAUAGCCUUCUUAUUUUGAGUUAAUCGAGAAAAAAAGAUCAUGUCUCAUAAGUUAGGGCACGAUAUCUCGAAUCCUCAAAAAUAAUAAUACUCAUCAUUUGAUUAUUACCUAAGUCCUACGUGUCUUGAAUUUUAAAUAGGAUGUUUGGUUAUUUCGGUUCUAGGAAAAGGCUACACUUCAUAAGUUAGGAGCACGACUCAUCGAAUCUCGAAAAUAAUGAACAUUGCCUCAGUUUUAAUUAUUUUUAUGUGUUUACACCAAAAAAUGGAUGAAUGUAUGUAGCAUAGUUUACAAUGUACGAUGAUGGCAAAAUUAUGGUAUUAACAAAAUAAGCAUAAUAUUCAAUAAAAUAAUGACAAAAAAAAUAAAAUAAAAUAGCUACAUAGGUACAAACAAAAUAACAUCACAAUGGAAUAAUAAAAAAGAAAAUAAAAUGAUUGUAGUAAAAGUAAUGAAGGUAAAAUAUUAAAUGACUAUAACUUGAUAAUAAUAAUGGUAAUAAUAAUCAUAUCUAAUGACAAAAAAUAAAAUAAAAUAAAAUAAAACUACUCGAGGAUGUAAAUAAAAUUGCAAUAUUUAGAGAGGGGCAAAAAUAUAAAUAUUCAUUAAAAUAAAAGUGUUGGAAAUAAUAAAAUAACAAAUAAAAAAUAAGUAGGCAAAGGACUAAAUGGAAAGCUAAAAGAAAUUCUAAGCAUAAAUUAAAAAAAACAAAGGAUUAAAUCAAAAUAAAAUAAAAAGUACAGGGGCUUAAUUAAAUAAACAGGGGACUAAAUAAAAACUAUAACAAGAUUUUAAGGUAUAAAUAAAAUAAUAAAUAAAGGGUUAGAUUAAAAUAUAAUAAAAUGUAGCGACUAAAAGGGAAAAUAAGCCAACCGUAAUACACGUGUCAUUCCUCAGAGGGUCGACAGUCUGAGGACCAAAAUAAAAACAAAUCAAAAUUAAAUGACAUAAUUUUAAAAAGAAGAAAAACCAAAAUUAGGAUCAAACUGAAAGCGCCUCAAGGUGGAAGGACUUGGGCGGCAAUUUGACCUCUCCUUCAAAAACACCCGGAUCUUAGAGGAUCUGGGUCGGGUCAUCAGGUCAUGUCCAAAAUGAUGUCGUUUUAGGGUUCUGAAGUUAGGCCAAAACGACGUCGUUUCAGUAAGCCUAUAUAAGUUAAAAAAUAUUUUUUUUUAAAAAAAAAAAGCAUUCUAAACCUGUUUCAUUUUUAAAUUCUUUUUUUUUCUUUUUCUCUCAUGCUCUCCUUGGUUCAGCCAUGGGAGUUGCCAUAGCUCCACCGCGGCCACUGGUCAUCGGCGACUGCUACCUUUGGUGGCCGAAAAAUAUCCAAAAUACCCCAUUUGUCUCCUUUUUCCAUGUAGAACUCCAAUUUGGGAUUAAAAUCCCUAAAAGUUUAGUCAAAAUUCAACAAAAACAAGAGAAACCUUUCGGUUUCUUCCCCCUUUCCAACGCGACCUUAGGUGAAUCCCUAGAGAUUUGGAAGCCUUUCAAGCUAGAAGGGAACACCGAUGGUGAUGUAGGUAAACAAAAAAAAAAUUCGUUUCUUUUUUAUAUAUAUGUGUAUGUUUUUCAAAAAAAAAAAGAGUAAAUGGGACAACUUUUUUUUUAACUUCUAUUUUUUUUUUUGUAUUCUAGUUCUUUCGUAAAAAUUAUAAAGAGUUUUUGUGUGGCUUUUAUAGCCAAAUCAAUUACAAAAUAUUGUUUUUCUUUCUUUGUUUUUUUUCUUUUGUUGCUUCUCUGUUCUGUCCUUUGUUCUCUGCUUUAGUUUUUUUUUCUUUUUUGCAGGUAUUUGUGGCCAAGUCAAAGGCGAUGGGAAGCCACGCUUUGCCAUUUUGGUGAAAUGGUGGCAGAGGAGGCGUGCUUGCUGACAUGACAGAGGCGGCGGCUAGAAAGGCUAAGGGGAAACUAGGGUUUCUGAUGUGUUUAGGAUAGUGGGGUUUGGGAUUAAGUUUUUUUGGAUUUUAGGGUUUUUCUUGUAUUUGGGCAUUAUUUUUGUAAAUAGACUUUAAUAAUAAUUUUAUUAUUAUUUUUAUUUAUUUGUUUGUUUUUAUUGGGCUGGACGAAAUUAGGCCUCUACAUAAAGUACAUAAAAACUUAUAUUGAUCUUGAUGGACAUAUACUUAAUAAGAUAUUCAUAAUAAGUAUGAAUUACUCUAUUCUUUUUUAUAAAAAUAACAUCACAAUUUACAAUAAGUAAUAUCAUUCAAUGAUCUUUUAAAACGUUAUAAGUAAAAUUAUGAUAAUACAUUGAUUACAAUCACAAUUAAUUAUUUUAAUGUAUAAUAAAUUGAUAAUUAGAAUAUAUUUGAAUUUAAAUAAAAAUAAACCUAACUUUCUCACAAGCUUCCUAAAUGCAAAAUGCAGAGAUUUAUUCUAUCCUUGAGAUUAAUAUGUAGAAAGCCCGGAGGAAAAUAACAUUGUCAACUGUCUUUAAUUUCUCAUAAUUUUAUUAGCCUUGUGUACGAAGAAUGAAUGAAAGAUGAAUUGGUUUUUAAAAAUGCUUUUUCUCUAUUACAAAGUUGAUUGGAACUAUCUUUGGUUUAUACUGAUCAAAUUGAAUAUUGAUGAGAAGUGAGUAAAUUGGAUAAUAAAUUACAUUUAUCUCAUUUAAUGUUAAUGAAGUUCAAAGUGUGGAGUUAAGUAAGAGGACCGUUUUUGUUCUUUGUACAGAAGGUCUUAAGCAGUUACAUGGCAUCUCUAUUUGCCGAGGUAAUUCAUCUAUUUCUCAUUUACCUAUGUCUUUUUCAGAGCUUUGAAUUUAAAAUGUCAAGUGGUGAAACAUAUUCUUGUUACCUUUAGUUCAAGAUAAUCAUAAUUUGUGUACAAUAUUAAAAAAAAAGGAAAAAAGGAAAACUUAAUCAACGCAUGCUAAAAAAUAUGGAGUGGUGAACAAAAAAAACGUAACAUCCAAAUAAUUAAAAUAUAAUAAAGAAAAUUAACAACAAGUUUAAUAACAAUAAAGCAAUUUUAAAUAAAAACAUAAUAAAAAUAUUUAUUUUAAUUACUAAAUUUUGAAAAUAUUUAUUUUAAAAUAACAUAAUAACAUAAAUAUUUAUUUUAUUAACAAAUAAAAUAAUCAAAUGAAUACUUGAAAUAGAUAUUCAACCAAAAAAAAAGGGAAAACAUCACUCAUUUAAUCCCAAAACCAAUUAGAAUAUCAGGAAAAAAAAAACUCAAAUUUGGAACUAUGAAAAAAGAAAACCCCAAAUCUAUAACGACUUUCUUUGCUUACAAGAAACUACAACAAUGGGAUCUAACAACCAACCCUUCAAUCCUUCAAAAUACCAAAACCUUAAACCCUAUGGGUGCAAAAAAUGAUUCGGCAAAGGGCCAAAUAUCGACCACCAUGGCUGUAAUAGUCAACCCAUCAAAAACAGGAAACCUAAUAUUUCAGAUUUUUAAGGUCAGUAUUUUUGAAACCCAUUUGAGAGAUCUAAGCUAUGAAGAAGUUCAUCAUACCAAGGAGAAGUCAUGGUUGAAGUUGCAAGAUGGUUCAACAAUCAUAUCUUUAGAUCAACGUUAGAGAAAUUCAAAAGUUGAAGGCAUUUUUGUUGCUUUUAGAAAAUUUUUCGAGAAACCUAAUCAAAACAUUCAAAGGAAGGAAUGGAGAGCAACAAUUAGGUGCCACUUUUGGGCCAAAAAAAGCAGCCAAUCAUGGUGGUGUGGGCUAGGUGUUGGCUAGGGUUGAGAGAGGAAGAAUGAGAAAAGAAAAGAUAAGGAGAAAUGGGGGAAGGAAAGAAAAAAAAAUUUGAGAAAGAAAAGGAACGAAGCAAUAUCAUUUUUAUUAUUUUUGUAUAUAUUUUUAAAUUUAUUAAUCAUUUUUAAUUUAAUUUUUAGAUGAUGACAUCAUUUUGAUGUCACUAAUGACAUAUGUCGUUGUCUAAUACCACCACAUGUUCGAGACUUAACGGUGUUAAUAAAAUGUACCAAACUAGUUGAUGGAGAAAAAGUUCGGGUACCAAUCUGGGAAAAAAACCUUAAGUACCAAUCUAGAAGAAGUGGACAAAUUCAAGUACCAAAUUUAUAUUUGACCCCUUAUUUAAAAUGAUACAUUUUUAAAAAAUAACAAACUUUUUAAUUAAUAAAUAAAUUCUCAUUUAAUUUGUAAUAUCCCAAAAAUCGGGUUAGAAGAAAUUGAGUUUUCAAACCAAAAAUGGUCAUCCCUCGAUUUGAGUUUAGACUUUAAAAAUUUUUUACUAGUAAAUUGAUCCGGUUCAGUGGUUAAGUGUUCUGGGUAUGUGUGUGAGGUUCUGGGUUUGAAUCCUGUUCCUAGAAAUUUUGUUAUUUUGCUUAAACCCUUACCUUUGAACGUUGGUUUAUAAGUUAAACUCAGUCAAUUAAUGUCAAGAAUGAGUCUGCUGGGUUCCAAAAACCCCUUCUUCUUCGAAUUUUAGUCAUUGAAAAACGAGACUGUCGACACCACAGGACUGUGUACCAGGCCGUGUGGUACAUCAUGUGGCAGGUUGUGUAACUUAUUGUUCGCAAAAAUUGGAGGCACACAAGCGUGUGCCUAGACUGUGUGUGUGGUUAAAUUGUACAGGAUUCGCACGGGCCAAUGACAUGAGCAUGUGUCUAGGCCGUGUAACUCACUAUUUGUGAAUUAAGACCGCACGGGCAAAUGACACAGGCGUGUGUCAAGCCAUGUGGGAUACACGGGCAUGUGCUAGACCGUGUAGAAUCACAAGGGCCAGUUCUCCAAGUCGUGUGAAACCACACAAGCGUGUGAAACAAUAUUUGGAAUUUUUCGUUCAGGCCACAAGCGUCGUUCGAAACGAAUUCAAGCCUACUGUAGUGUCCAUAUGAUUUAAAUUAGACUAUAUAACUUGAUAUCUGUUGAUUUGAUGAUGAACAACUUGGGAAUAGUACGUAUGUGUACUAUGUUGAACUUAAGUACGUAGGAACUGUCAGAACGUAGUGUGCUAUUGUAUAAUGUAUGCGAAUUAUCCAGGUGCAGUCUGUAUUCUGUUAAGUUUGCUGGUACGCCUCUGUGUUACUCUGUUGAUGAAGAAUAUGCAAUAUCUGAAUAUGUUAGGUUGAUUGUUACUAAUUCUGACUCAUAAUCGUACAUGUGACUUCAUGGAAAAUCUGAUAUGAUCUGUUGAGGUUUGAUAAAUCUGUCUUACAAAACAUGAAUUCUCAUGUUUACUGAUUCUUUUAUUGAAUGAUAGCAUGUCUUACAUGCUUAUCACUCCGAUUCUGUAUUUGCAUGCCAUGACACAUUAUAUGGGAUUUGGGUUAAUGUGAAAGGAUGAAGUUUCUGGCAGUUUAAUGAUCUGUAUUAUCUGAUGGGUAAUCCACAAUUUUAUAUUGGCAUCUCACCUGUCAUAUAAUGGUUUGACCACGUAUAUUUGGUCUGGUAGUUUCAACUGCAAAUAUUCUAGUGGCACUGUCCACAAGUAUCUAUUGGUGUGAUAGACUGGACAAGUUCUGGGGAAACUCUAUUUUGGUGUGUAGCAGAGUUGGGUAGGAUGUUUUCUAAUAAAUUUGCAUCUUGAUUUGUUUGAAAGAUACUGCAUCUGUGUAAACAUACAUGCUCUGCUCUACUCUAUUCUGUCCUGCUCUAUUCCAUUCCAUUACGUUAUGUUCUACUCUAUUCGGUUAUGAUCUGCUUGAUUUGUUUUGUUCUAUUUUGCUAUGUUCUGUUGUACUACCUUUGUUGAAAUCUUUGUGAUACUUGUAAUAGGCCAAUUUUGGCUUGGGCCCAAAUUACCAAAAUAAAACAAAAACCCAAACCAAUAAAUAAACAGUCCAAAAUUACAUGUCCAUUAUAGUCUAAGUUUUUACCGAAACCCUAGCCAAAUUCUAACCCUAGCCCAAAUUAGCCCAACACCUAAACCACAUAAGAAAACCUAGCCUCCCUACCCCUCUUUAGCCGCCACUCCUCCCACACACACCAGCCUCCUCACGCGCACCACCGCCACCGUACGCCAUCACCAUGCUCGUCUGACACCUGUAAAAAUUGAAUGCAACAACAGAAAAGGCAUGCUAACAAGCAGUAAAAACAAAUGCCAAAAGACAAAGAAUAGAAACAAAUGGUCUUGUAUCCGGCUAUAAAUUCCAAAACUCUAUCUUUGUAAUUUUUUACGCACACUAGUAAAUCAAAAAGCAGAACAGAAGUUUAAAAAAAGGUAUUGGUUUUGAUCUUUUCCUUGUUUCUUUUCGUUUUCUCGUUUCUUUUUAUUUUUUUACAAAUCCAUUUUAAUAAAAAAGGCAUAGAAUAAAAAGAAAAAGUCUAAAAAGGGCUACCUGAUGGUUGCGCUCCAACGUUGUGGAUGUUUGAGGUAGCCACCUCCGAUGAAAGGUGGCUGGAAGUCGAGGGGUACUUCGUUUGUCUAGGCAUUCUCGUUUGAUUAUUGGAAGUUUCGGGUUCAAAAUGGGCUUAGAAAGGUCGAAACGACCGAAAUGGCCUCUUUUUUUGGGCUCCGAUAUCCGUACACGGCGGUCACCGCCGUGUCAGCCGGCGACCAUGACAGACGGUGGCCUUAUUGGCCGGAGAAAAUGGAGGGGUUGAGAGAAUUUCAGUGGUUUUUUUUAGGAAGAAGAAAUGAAGUUUUUUUAAAAAAAUUUAUUUAAAUAAAGAAGCAAAACAGUGCCGUUUUGGGUUAGGGACUCAGGCCCGCUCAAGGGGGGAUCCGCGUGUUUUUGCCUUUUGGGUUAUUUACACCCCUGGCCCUUCUAUAUUUCUGUUCUUUUUAAUUUAGUCCCUUUGGUUUAUUUUUUAUUUUUUCUUUUUUUAAUUCAACCACAAGAUUUUGUUUGUUUUUCAAUCGGGUCCUCGGCCCACUGAUGCACUGGAAAAUAGACACAUGUCCAGGGAUUGGAUUUUUUUACCCAUUUGGCCCUCUGCCCUUUCGCGCCCUUUCAUUUUGGUCCUUAUUUGUUUAUUUUAUUAUAUUUUUUACCUUUAAUUUCAUUUUUGUCCUGAUUUAGUCCCAAAUCUAUUUGAUUUCAAUUUAUUUUCGCAAAAUUUUUAUUUGUUUAUUUUAAACCUUUUUCUCAUAUAUUAUUUAUUUUAAAUUGUUUUAUUAUUAUUUAUUUUAAGUUUUCCACAUAUCAUGUAUUUUAAACUAUUUCAAACUAUUAUCCAUUUUAAAUUUUUUAUAUAUUAUUUAUUUUUAAACUAUCAUAUAUAUUAUUUAUUUUGAAUUGUUUUUUUAUAUAUAUCAUUUAUUUUUUAACUGUUUUGUAUAUUAUUUAUUUUAAACUUUUUAUAUAUUAUUUUAAACUGUCUUAUAUGUUAUUUAUUUUAAAUUGCUUUGUAUAUUAUUUAUUUUAAUUUGUUUUACAUAUUAUUACUUUAAAUUGUUUUAUACUAUUUACUUCAAAUUGCUCUAUAUAUUAUUUUGUUUCGUUUUCUUUGAUUGUUAAUAUUGAUAUUAAAGUGACAUGUGUUGUGUGAUUAUUGUCAUUAUGUGUAUUAUAAUUCGUUUAUUAGUGUUUUCAUAUUAUUGUGAUUCAUUAGUGUAACAUUUAUUCGUAAAUUAUUACUCCAUGUUUUAUAUUAUUAUUCCAUCACAUUUCAUUAAAAUCACUUCAAAGGUCGCGUUUAAUUUUUUCCUUUAUCCAUAAUGGGCCAUUUUAUUAUAUUUCAACUAAAUAGCACGCAUCGUUUAGGUUUUGUAAUCGCUAUUAUUCAAAAAAAUAUUUUUAAAAAUAAGGCAAUGUUUCGUUUUUGAAAAUUCGAGAAGUCGUACCUUAACUUACAGGGUUUUGAUUUUUUCAUUAAAUCUAAACAACUAAACAUCCUUCUAAAUUUAAAAUACCUAAGUUUUGAAUAAAAAUUAAAGGCAAGCUUAUUCUCGAGGGUUCAAUUGUCGCAUCCUAACUUACGGGAUGUGGCAUAUUGUUAUCACGGGAUGAGUGAGCCUUUGAUGCUCGUUUCAAAUUAAUUCAAGCAUUUUUAAAAUUAACGUUAAUAAAAGGGAAGGAUUGUAUUUAAAAUUCUUUCAAAGUUUUCAAUUUUUGACAUUUAGACAUUAAUUAAUUAAUUAGGUGUCAAUUUUGGGCUUGACGAGGAUGCUAAUCCUUCCUCGCACGUAACCGACUCCCGAACCUGUUUUCUCGAAUUUUGUAGACUAAAAUCGUUGUUUUGAUAAAUCGAAAUAUUUUAUUAAAACAAUCAAAUUACAAGGUGACCCGAUCACACCUCAUAAAAAAAAGAUUGGUGACGAUUGUCAUUUUCAUUUUAAAUAUAAAGGUCGACCCAUACAAAAAAAUGGUUUCGACAAUACUCUAGAUCUGUUCCGUACUGUUUAUACAACUAUUAUUAAGUUCUUUGCGUUACUACGAUUUAUAUAUUACGCUCUGUUUAUUUAUAUUUGAGUUUGGUUCUACGCUAUGUUUGGUAACUUGCCCUUUGUCUUACCUUUAUUUGUUCAGGAAAACAUCUGGUUUAGGAUUGGACGACGUACAGGAGCUCAGAUUGUUUUACACUAAAAUAACUACGAUUUAAUCUUUUAGGUUUGUAAUAUGUUUUGGACUUGCCUUGUUUUUUUUUUAUAAUCCCAUUAGUAUUUCUGAUUUUCAAAGUUAAAACUCUGAAAAAGAAUCAGUUUUUAAUACGUUAGCGUAACCCUUUGAGAUUCGACUUGAACUUCUAAGUCGGGCUUGGGGUGUUACAUAAGUUUUAUAUGAAAGAUAUCUUUUUUUACAGGACUAUAAAUCAAAAUUUUAAUAAGCAUUUAAAUAAAUUAUUUUUAUUGACUUAAGUAUUAAAUAAGUCAAGUACUUUUUCCAAAAGAAAUAUCAAUUAAGUCUUUUUUUUUUUGCGAAAAAUGCACAUAAUUAAGUUCUUAGAUAUUAAAAAUCCAUCAAUUAAACUUUUUGACUAACAAUUUUCAUCAUUAAUUGUUACUUUAUUUAUGCCACUAAUAACAAUCUUUGAGUCAGCCAUUCAGCUAUUAAUGUUAGUCAAAAAUAAAAAAAAAUUUCAAAAGAAUAUAAAAAUUAUUGAAAAUAUUAAGUUCAUAAUGAAUUUAGAUAUAUGGACAUUCAAGUUUAUUUAAAUAUGGAUAUCCAUUUGUCUAGAUUCAUUUUGGAUGUAAUUUUUUUAAUUAUAAAAUUUAAAAAUGUAAAAAGAAAUUGUCGAAACCAUUUUUUUGGAAAAAUGGGAAUCGACUUAGAUUUUGAAAAUAAAAAUGAAUAGAGGAGUCGCCACCAAUCCUUUUUUGAUGAGGUGUGAUCGGGUCACCUCGAAAAGUGGUUGUUUUUAAUAAACAAUUUAAUUUUUAUUAAAACAACGAUUUUGGUCUGCGAAAUUCAGAAAAACGGGUUCGGGAGUCGGUUACGCACGAGGAAGGGUUAGCACCCUCGAUACGCCCAAAAUUGGUACCUAGUUGAUUACUUAAUGUCUUGGUGUCGAAAAUAAAAAACUCGAAAAGAAUUUAAAAAUACGAUCCUUAAAAGAAACUCUGAUAACGUGAAUUGAAAUAUAAGACUCUCUUGUUCCGAAUGAAUAUCACAUCCAGCACGUUAGGACACGAUACUCUAAACCAUCGAAACCAAGAUCACCUUAUAGUUUAAUGAAACCAUACUUUGAAGCUUUAAGAGGAUAUUUGGCUAUUUAGUCAAACGAGAAAUCGAAACCCAGCACGUUAGGGCACGUUUUCCCGAGUUUCCAAACGCGAAAUAUUGCCUUAUUUAGAAAAAUUUUCCUUUUGGUGUUUAGUGUCAAUGCUUGGCAAAACAAUAACGAAUACGACAAGGUGAGCAAAGUAAAGUGAGUAACAACAAUACAAUAGGCAAAAUGAAAUGACGAGGCGAUUACAUAAACAAAGCAUACAAAUAAAUAAAUAGAACUAACAUUUAAAAAAAAGCAUAAGUGUACACGAAUAAAUAAACAAACACCAAAUAACAAUGAUGGCAAUAAAUACAAUUAUGUAAAAAUGUAUAUGCAUAUAUAAUUUAAAGCCAUAAAACAAGAAAUGCAUAUAAAUUAUAGAAUAUGAAACAUAGAUAAAUAUAUACACAUAUAAAAAAUCGGUAAGUAUUAUAAAAAUAAAAAUGUAAAUGUGUUUAUAUAUUUACAAAUCGUGAUAAUAUAAAAUAUAUGUAUGUGAGUUAUAAAAUAUGUGAAAUAUACAAAAAGCAUUUUUAAGAAUAUAAAGAAUAUAUAUAUAUAAGUAUGUAUAUGAUGUAAAAUGUGCAUAAAUAUAUGUAAGUAUAUAAGAAUUAUGAAAUAUGGAAAAUAUAUUUAAGUAUGUAUAAGUAUGUAUAUAUACAUAUAUGUGUAAAAAAAUAUAAUAAAAAAGGGGUAUAUAUAUAUGCGUAAUAUAUAUAAAUACAUAUAUAAUAUAAUGUUAAAAUAUUCACAUAAUAUACAUAAUAAUAAUGUUGAAAACAUCUAUUAAUAAUAAAUAUAUACUUAUAUGUAUUAAAGAUAUAUUCAUAAAUACAAAAACAUAUACUAAUAAUCACAAUAGUAAAGAUAAAAAAUGUAUACGUGACAUAAUGCAAAAAUAUAUAAAUGUUAUGACAUCUAAAAACAUAUACAUAAAAAUGAAAGAGAUAUAUGACGAAUAAUGCAAAGAUAUUUGUAUGAAAUAAUGGGAAAUAUACGAAUAGCACGAUAUUUACAAGUGUACACUUAAUAUAAUUAUUUAAAAAAAAUGAUAUAAAUAAAUGAAUACAUGAAAAUAAUACCAUAUACACAAAAAUACCUAUAUAUAUAUACGUAAUGAAAUAUGUGAACAAAUAUUAAUAUUAAAGAAUAUAUAAUAUAUGUAUAUAAUAGUAGAAACGAAACGAAAAAUAUAUAUAUAGUUAAAUAUAAUACAAUAAUAAUAAAACAACAAUGAUAAUAAUAUUAAAUAUAUAACAAUUAAUAUUUAAAAUUGAAUUAAACAGCAAAAUAUUAUGAAAUUUAAGGUAAAAAAAAAUAGAUGAAAAAGGGAUGAGAUUGGAUUAAAACCAAAUCUUUGGGGCAAAUUUUAAAAGAAAUUAAAGGAGAAUGGACUUAUUAGAACGCGCGUUAAACUAUGGGGGAUCAAAUAAGUAAUUUAUCCAAACACUUGAAACGACACCGUUGGAAGGGGGACUAAAUCGCAAAGUGUGAUGGAUUUCAGGGUCAAUUUAUAAACAACGAAUAACUUGAUUGCGAAAUAUAAAAAUGCGGAAGGGCCAAUUGCGCAAAUAGCCCUUCCACUUGAAAACACGCGGAUCCUGCCUUGGUGCGGGUCGGGUCGACCCGACCCACGUCCGAAACGACGUCGUUUUAUCAUUAAACAGGGGGACCAAAACGGUGCGUUUUGGUCCCCUAUAAAAGCUAAGUUUUUUUGAAAAAAUUCAUUUGAGACCAGGUGAGGGAAAAAAAAAAAAGAAAGAGGGAGAGGGAGGGCACGGAGCGAUUUCCGGCCAGGGGAGGUACGUCGGUCCGAUCGCCGGCGCCGGCCGCCGUACACGGCGGUCGGAGAGGUAAAAUUUUCAAAAUUUUUAUUUUAUUUUUUUUUAUAUUUGUAUAUAUUUUUAUGUUAAAUAGAUAGAAAAUAAAGAAAUAUAUAUAUGUAUGUAAAAAUCGAAAGGAACAAAGAAAAAAAAUACAACCUUUUGUUUUUUGUUUUUAACAAUCACUGCUAUCUGUUUAUUGAAGACUGUAAAUUUCUCUUUAGUGUUUACAAAGUAGAAAAGAAGAAGAAGGAAAAAAAAAAGAAGCCCUCUCUUUACAAAAUAGUUUCGGUGGCUUAAUAUAGCCUUCUACAACUUUCUAUUAUUUCUUUGUUUUCUGUCUUUUCUUCUUUAUUUUUGCAGAUGCAAGUGGCAUGGGAGAGGUGAUGGGAUGGUGGCAGAAAGCAGGUGAACGGCGGGGUUGGUGGCGGUGGCAGAGGGUAGGUGAUGGGGGU